rnacentral:lncRNA from 1 species
GGGAGAUGAAAUGGUUAUACAUGUAGAUGUUGUGCAAUUGGUUGUGCGGAACUAAAAUUCAAAUUACAACCUCAUCACAACAAAUCACAGUUCAAUAAAAUGGGGCACUAUGUGAAAAUUAAAAUGUAGUCCUUUCAUGCACAAGACUUUUUUUGUGUGUGUUUAAAAGAUUUUAUUUUUCUUCUGUGGCAUAUUUAUAAGUACAAAACUUAAUCUGAAAGUCAACUUUGUAACACAAUAUCUUCUAUUAAAUAAUAGAUAUAGAAGAAUUUAAAGGAAGGUAUAUGUUAAACAAAUGAAGUUUUUAACCAAGAAAAAAAAUAUAUAAAAAGAUACAGUAUUUUCAAAACAGAAAAACAUUGGGUAUUUUUUAAAUUUGUACUUAGUUAAGUUAUGCAUAUACAGUUUUUUUUUGGAAUAUAUAAAACUGAAAUAUGUAUAUAAAAUAAAUAAUUAAAAGUUCCCUUCCCUUGGAGACGGAGACUCUGUGCAGCUGUUCCUUCGGGACCCCCACAGCCGACACUGACUAAGACCAAAUUGGUCUUUGGCUCACACGCCAUUACACAUUCUAUAAUUACAAAGAAGAAUAACUAGGGACCUGCCUAAGCUUUUCCUUCCUUACAUUUGUGUCACAUAUCAGCAACAACUUCCGAUGAAAACUCCUCUGCUUUCAUGGCUUUUCUUACUCCGCAUUUGCUAUGUUUCACUCACCUUCCAUACGUUUGUGGUCUCUACCCAAUGUCCCGGCGAUCAGAAAUCUUUGCUGCUACAAUUGAAGGACACCCUCGCAUUUGACCCUGCAACGUCUCAAAAACUUGUGAAGUGGAACAAUGCCUCGGACUACUGCUCUUGGGAAGGAGUGUCCUGCAAAGAGGGUUGUGUUUCGAAUCUGGACUUGAGCAACGAGUGGAUUACUGGUGGACUUGAUAAUUCCAGUCCUCUUUUCGGUCUGAAGUCGAUCGAGAACCUGAAUUUGGCUCACAACUUCUUCAACUACACUCAGAUUCCUUCCGAGUUCAAACAGCUAGCCGGUUUGCGUAACCUGAACUUGUCGAAAGCUAAAUUUGCAGGGAAGGUUCCGAUUGAGAUUUCGCACUUGACGAGGUUGGUAACUCUCGAUUUGUCUACCCUCGACAAUCCGUUGCUAAAACUUGAGAUGCCGAAUUUGAAAGUGCUCAUUCGGAACUUUUCUGAGCUUGUUGAACUUUAUCUUGAUGGCGUGAAUAUAUCAGCACAGGGGACUGAAUGGUGCCAAGCUAUAUCAUCUUCACUGCCAAAAUUGAGGGUGCUGAGCUUGUCCGCUUGUUCUCUUUCAGGCCCUAUUGAUAGUUCAUUACUGAAGCUUCAAUCGCUCUCGGUUAUUCGUUUAGAUGGCAAUGAUUUCUCUAUUCAAGUUCCGGAGUUCUUCUCAAAGUUCCCAAAUUUGACUUCCUUGCACCUAAGCUAUUCUGGCUUAUAUGGUACAUUCCCAGAGAAGAUCUUCCAGGUACCUACACUACAGACUAUUGACUUAUCUUGGAAUCCGCAGCUUCAGGGUUCCUUACCAGAAUUUCCAAAGAAUGCUUCUCUUCGGUCCUUGGUUCUAUGCGGGGCUAACUUUUCAGGCCAGUUGCUUCCGAACUCUAUUGGCAACCUCAAAAUGUUGUCCGAGGUAGAUAUUCGGUGGUGCAAUUUCACUGGAUCAAUCCCAAGGUCAAUAGAAGAUCUUCAUCAAUUGGUUUCUUUUGACUUGUCAUCAAACAAGUUCAACGGUUCAAUUCCAUCCUUCAGUAUGGCCAACAAUCUGACCGUGAUCAAUCUUUUUGACAAUCAGCUGACAGGUCAGAUUAAUUCCACUCACUGGGAAAAUCUCACUAAUCUGGUGAAUCUCAAUUUGAGAUCCAAUCAACUAGAUGGGACUAUUCCGUCAUCUCUGUUUUCUCUUCCCAUGCUGCAAGAUUUAGAGCUUUCUAACAAUCACUUCUCCGGCCAGUUACCUGAAUUUGGUAAUUUUUCUUCCCUACGAGUCCUUGAUUUGAGUAGCAAUAGUUUGGAAGGGCCUAUACCCAUGUCCAUCUUUAAUCUACGAGAGCUUAUUUUUCUCUCACUUUCUUCAAACAACUUCAGUGGGUCCUUUCUGCUUAAUGAUAUUCAACAACUGAAAAAUCUCUUAAGUCUUGAUCUUUCAUACAAUAGCUUGCUAAUUAAUUAUGACAGUUCCAAUUCCUCCUGCUUUCCUCAACUUCUCUUAUUGAAAUUAGCCGCUGGAAAGUUGAGAACCUUUCCUGAUUUCUUGAGAAAUCAAUCGGCAUUAGGCGCUUUGGACCUAUCCCUAAACCAGAUUCAUGGGGAGAUACCCAACUGGAUUUGGAGGCUCAGUAAUCUUGUUCAACUAAAUCUUUCUUGCAACUCUCUGGUAAAUCUACCAGGUCCUUUCCUCAAUCUUACUUCUUCUUAUGUGCUUGAUAUUGACCUUCAUUCCAACCAGCUUCAGGGACCAAUUCCAAUUGUUUCACCAUCUUCCGCUUAUCUGGAUUACUCAAGAAAUAAUUUCAGCUCAAGCAUACCGGCAGAAAUUGGUGAUUUCCUUGUGAACACUAUGUUCUUCUCUCUUGCAAGUAAUCACAUCCACGGGAUCAUUCCAGAAUCAGUAUGCAAGGCGACAUCUCUUAAAGUUCUUGAUCUGUCCAAUAAUUCCUUAAGUGGCAUGAUUCCCCAGUGCUUGACUGCAAUAAACGGGCCUCUUGCAGUACUUGAUUUAAGGAGAAACAAACUUUCUGGCACUCUUCCAGAUAAUUUUCCUGAGAACUGUAGUCUACACACUCUAGACCUCAAUGGCAAUGUGAUUGGUGGUCAGUUCCCAAAAUCUCUAGCCAACUGCACAAUGUUAGAGGUGUUAAACCUGGGAAACAAUCAGAUAACAGAUGUCUUUCCAUGCUCAUUGAAGAGCAUAUCCAGCUUGCGUGUACUUGUCUUGCGUUUCAACAAAUUUUAUGAUCGCAUUGAAUGCCACAAGACUAAAAGUGCCUGGCCAAAGCUUCAAAUUAUUGACAUAGCUCGCAACAAUUUUACUGGCGAAAUACCAGGAAGUUUUUUUAAAAGGUGGCAAGCAAUGAUGGCUGACAAAGAUGGUGCCGUGUCAAAGAUUAAUCACCUCCAAUUUCAAGUUGUAGACUUCGGCCAGGUGUACUAUCAGGAUACCGUAACAGUUACCAUCAAAGGUCUAGCUAUGGAAUUUGUAAAGAUCUUAACAGUCUUCACUUCAAUUGACAUCUCCUGCAACAAUUUUAACGGAUCAAUACCUGAGGAAGUGGGAAUGCUCAAAUCACUUCAUGGCCUAAACUUGUCCAGUAAUGCUCUCACAGGCGCAAUCCCAUCAUCACUAGGUAAUCUAGGACAGCUUGAGUCCUUAGACCUUUCGGACAACAAAUUGAGCGGAACAAUUCCAUCACAACUUUCCAAACUUAAUUUCCUCUCAUUCCUAAAUCUGUCGAGCAAUCAACUUGUCGGGAAGAUUCCAACCGGCACUCAGAUUCAGACUUUUUCAGCAGAUUCUUUCGCAGGCAAUAAAGGAUUAUAUGGGCCACCGUUAGAUAACGGAUCACCAAUGUUGCCACCAACAUUAGAAGGCAAACAUUCUAAUUCUGCGCACAGAAUUGAUUGGGAUCUUAUCAGUGUUGAAGUUGGAUUUAUUGUUGGCUUUGGAGCUGCGGUCGGGUCACUUGUGUUGUGCAAGAGAUGGAGUAAAUGGUAUUACAAAACAAUGUAUAAAAUCCUUGUAAAGAUAUUCCCUUAGCUUGAAGAUAGAAUUGGUCCUCACCGAAGACAUGUCCACAUAAAUCAGAGGUUCGGACGUUGAAGUUAAUGAUCAUGGGGACCAAUGCAGCUGGACCUCAAGCUAUGCCUGGGGAAUUUGAGAUCCAACAAAUAAGAGGUUUGCUUUUUGGUUUUACCUUUUAAAUUUAUGUAUGUUAUAGUUAUAUUUGUAAUAGUUUAUUGUGUAUCUUUAUCCUUUGUUUUCAAUAAACUUCCUCGUACCGUCGAGGUUCUUGAAGUUAGCGUAAUUUGAUAUACCCAAAAGAGUGUACUACAUGUAAUGUAUUAUUUGUUUGAAUUGUGUAGUACAAUGUCGAGACCAACUCCACCCAAAAGAGUGUACUACAAAGAAUAUCUUGACUUCUAAAUUGCGAUAUGUUUUAACAUCUUGUCAUUCAAUUUUAAACUCAUCAUAUCCAGUUUAUUUUUCACCUCAAUUUAUAAGAGAGCAAACCAGCACUUUUUAUUUCAGAAUUUCCUCACCAACUUUUAUGUAUGAGAUUGCACCAAAAGGCAAAAGCCAACCCUCUCAGGUAACAAGAAGUAAUGAAAAACUCAACCGCUUCAACAAAAUCGGCAAACUACGGUUCAAUCAGUAUUCUCCCUUUCAUGCCUAAGCACAAUGAAAUACUCAUCUGCUUUUACAAGAGUUGAGUCACUCGCCCAAUUUCAACUGGUUUUAGGAUGAACCUCAACUUCAAUUAUAGGACAAAAGCUUCUAUCGUUUAAGACUUUAUGUUGUCAAAUGCGAAGUAUCGAUCGCGAUGAUUAGGUCUUCCAUAUUAACACUUAACUACCAUAGUUACAUACAAUACAUGAGUUUUUCGGAGAAUAUAUUUCUCUUGCUACCCAGAAAAUCAACAUGAGCAUACACAAACCAUUCUGUUUUUCUUCCACCUAUAACGGUAUGUAUGUAUGAUCGACUAUAUAUGGCCUUCGUUAGUCAAAAACUAAAAUAGGAGUAACAUGUAGAUUGCAGAUAUGCCUAGACUACUUCAAAGUGAAUUAGAGUCAAUCAAAUCAUAAACCUGAGUAAUGCACUGAAAAUUUCUGGUUUGGAAUCUCUGACGCUCAGGGAAUAAGCAAAAUGCAUGCAACAAAGCCUCCAUUGUUAACCUGAAAUAACAACAGUAUAUCAAGUUUAAUUUUCUUUUCAUUUGAAUCCUGGGUAAACAUAAUUCUUUCAAAAAGAUCGGACGCAAAUGCCAAUAUCUUACAGAUUUGUAAUUUCAUAUUGUGAACUAGCACCGCAACAAAAUAUUUACAUGUAUAUUGCAUAGUAUUUCUAAAUGCUGACCAAUUGGUAGCAUUAGCUAUUAUAUUGCAGUGUAAACCUCCUUCUGAAUGAAGGAAGCCGAGUGAUAUCUCCCACAAAUGUGAAGAACUUGUUGGAAUCAAUGCUUUUCUCUGAAGCUUUAGCCCUUACCAAAGACAAAAUCUUCAAUUAAUAACUCAAGUCCACUAAAACAAGUCUAGAAUUUCCAAGCUUAUUCCUAAAUUCUAUAACUUUCUCAACAAUAAUAUCAGAUGCCUUUGCAAGGUCAAAUUGAAAAUCUGCUGUUGAAAUGGAAGGAAAUGCCAGAGUGGAAGCAUCGUUUAGAGAACCAUCACCGUCAACAGAGCCUACAACUAGCUUUUCACCUUCCUUUGACUCCUUACCAGAUUUUUCAGAAAGUGAAACUGUUCCUUUCAAAGAGGUUUCCUUUUCUUCAGUAAUUUGAGAAGCAUUAGAAUCCGGUACACUCUUCAACGUUGAUUCAGUAUUGGCAGGACCAUCUGUUUUCUUUAAGAACUUCAUUAUACCUGGUUGAAUUUUUGCACCGGGGUUCUUCUGACCAAAAUAACCAUUGGGCAGUGUAUCUAACGGACCAAGUCCACUAUAUGCAUCAACGGAAGAUUGAUCAUCACUCUCACUCUGGCAACAAGUAAUUCUAGCAAACCCUUCACUCAGCUCAGGCAGUUCUUUGUUCUGCAGCAUUCUAUUCACAAUCGCCACAGCUUUCCCGCCUUGCACGUUUCCUUCAUGGCCCGUUCGCUUCACAUACCGCAAUAUACAAAGCUUGGCAGGAAGAUCAAGCACCACAGCAUGAACAUCAACUUGGGAACUACCACCAAGCUUCACAAAAUCAUCCCAUUUUUUCUUUCUCCACAUUACAACUAUCUAUAAACACACACUACCCAUCCUUCAACGCAUUCAUUGCACUAUCUAUACACUGCCCCUUCGUUCCGGCUUUACCAAUUUUGAUAGUAUCCUACAAAAACAUAAAUAUGAACAUAUAACAGCAUAAAACAAGAACCCAAAUGAAUAGAAAUCCGGAGUACCAUAUUACGUACUCAAAAUAACAAUCUUGAGCCCACUGCGACAUUUCAUCGAACACACUGUGUGCACAGAGAUAUACCUGGCAAACGCAAACCCAAGGGCGAGUGGAGCGCAUGACAUGUUCGCAGAAGGUAGACUUGCCGCUUCUAGGCGCACCCACCAAUAUUACUACGACAGGUUUUAUGAUCACCGAAGGCGACGACGACCGAGAAUGGUAAAACGCGGCGUUUUUGAGAAGGGGCGUAUCUUUGGCUGUUUCGUCGAUAUCCAUGUCCAUGUUUUGGAAGACUCUGCAAGGCACUUUUGAAUUAACGGCGGAAAAGCAGCGGUUUCUUCUAGCAUUGGGCUGGAAGCCUGAAGCUUCUAUCGCCGGUGCCUGGUGCUUGCGUAAUGGAACACAUGUCACACAUCGUCGACCCGAAAAUUGACAAGAUCCGAUUCGAUUUAGAUUUUAUCCAUAUAUUAGCAUCUUCGCAAACGCCCACGCACAAACCAGAAUAUUUUAAUCAUGGGCCUUACGCACCCUUUUGAGAAGGGGCGUAUCUUUGGCUGUUUCGUCGAUAUCCAUGUCCAUGUUUUGGAAGACUCUGCAAGGCACUUUUGAAUUAACGGCGGAAAAGCAGCGGUUUCUUCUAGCAUUGGGCUGGAAGCCUGAAGCUUCUAUCGCCGGUGCCUGGUGCUUGCGUAAUGGAACACAUGUCACACAUCGUCGACCCGAAAAUUGACAAGAUCCGAUUCGAUUUAGAUUUUAUCCAUAUAUUAGCAUCUUCGCAAACGCCCACGCACAAACCAGAAUAUUUUAAUCAUGGGCCUUACGCACCCUUUAAAGAUGGGUUUGCUUUAAUUAUUUUUCUAGUUGUUUAAAAUUGUUAUUUGGUAAAAAAUUUGUGAGGACCUUUCCUUAUCAUAUUAGGCAUCAAAAUUUUCUUAUCCUUUUCUUUUUCAAUCAUCUUCUUGUGAUAAUUUUUUCUAUAAUUGUGUUAAGCCCUCCGUAUUCCGGUAACCUACAACAUGUUAAAUCUAUAGAAAUUAUAAACUUGUUAAUUACGUUCAUAGCACAAAGGCCUAUACAUACAAUCGUGUUUAAUUGGUGUACAGGUAAGGAUCUCUUCAAAUUAUGAAUACAAUCAGAACCAGAUUACACUAUUAAUUGCUAAACCUUAAGAAGGACGAUUUCCUUGCACAAGACUCCUUCUCUAACAUCAUGACAAACUAGACGGUCGAGAGGCGACAAGUUUGGACCAUAGAAGAAUAAACCGUGGUUUAGAUAGACCUUUUGUCAAGAGAUUUGUUAGUUGAUCCAAGAAUGGGAUGAAAUGAACUUUGUGAGUACCAAGCUUAACAUGUUCACGAACAAAAUGAUAAUCUAACUCAAUAUGCUUUGUGCGAGCAUGAAAUACCUGGUUGGCUGCGAUAUACCUAGUACUAAGAUUAUCACAAAGGAGAUAGGUGGGCAAAGAGGCAUGAAACCGAAGUUCAUGAAGUAAGUGUUGCGUGAGUCAACCUUAGAAAAUAAGGAAUGUAGAGAUUUUUUGGGUAUAUAAUUAUGUAAUUGGUAUCCUUGUGUUUAUGGGAUACUUGUUUCCUAAUUUAUAGGAGAUUGUAUCAGUUUAUAUACCUCUCUACGAGAGAAGAAUAAUAAGAAAAUAUAUUCACCAAAACCCUAGAAUUUUAUCUUGGUAUCAAGAGCCAGGUUUCGACCUGACUCCUCUCGGAAAAAGAACCCCUAAACAUCGUACAUGCCCUAACCUGUGAAACUUUGGUUCUCAAAUUUUGAACCCAUAGGUCAAACCCGUAGUCUUUGGAAACAACAGAGCUACACUGUCAGUACAAUGGCAGAAAACAAAGCAGGUGCCCUAAUUCCCAUGCACCCCGUGGCUGCUCAGGGUGAGUCUACCAAUAUCAAUGCCGUUCCAUUCGGGUUUCGAUUGAGCGACUCGAACUUCAAGGUUUGGUCCAAGAUGAUGGAGGUUCACGCUUCAGGACUCGGGAAGCAAGGCUAUUUAACGAGUAAAAUUCCGGCCGUUGAUGAAGAUGAUCCAGGAUAUGUAAAGUGGGCAACUGAAGAUGCUAUCGUACGCGGGUGGUUGCUCAAAACCAUGGAACCACACCUACUUGGUCUCUUUAUAGACUUACCCACUGCCAAAGAUAUCUGGGAGACUGUCACCCAGAUGUUCUAUGAUGGUUCCGAUGAGUCACAAUACUAUGAACUCCGGUGCAAGGCUACACGAACGAGACAAGACGGUCGUCCAAUCAAUCUAUAUUUAACUGAACUAAAGGGUGUUUGGCAGGACCUAGACAGGAGACGUCCUCUCCGUAUGGUGUGUGGAGCGGACCUGAAAACUCAGAAAGAAGAAGUUGCAAAAGAUAGGGUGUACGACUUUCUCGCUGGAUUAGAUAGCGGUUUUGACCAAGUUCGGAGUGAGAUUCUAAGGAUGAAACCUAUCCCUGGAAUCGAAGAAUGCUUCAAUUUGGUACGACGAGAAUCCCAGAGAAAGGCCACUAUGAUGGGAACAAAGACUACGAUGGCAGCACCCCCUAUGGCUAUGGCAACCAAGGCGUCUAGUUCACGUCCACGGGCAUAUGGAAACACUCGAUCAUCUCGUACCCAGGAGGAUAUCGAUAAAGAUAAACUCCAUUGUAAUCACUGUAAUGGAACACGACACACUGAGGACACCUGUUUUGAAAUCCAUGGCUACCCAGAUUGGUACUGGGAAAGAAAGAAGGAGUUGAAGGCUAGGGAACUAAAAGGAUGGGUCAAGUCCGUGUAGCGGUUUCUGGAUCUGGAGCGGCAUCUAGUGUACAAGGGAGUCAAACUGGGCUCCAAGCCCAACUUGGAAAUUCUGAGGGAACCCGAGGAGUUGCUGCUAUUGCAGCGAGUCAGCACCGGCCUAUUUCGUCCAACCCAAUCACAGCAGCCCAAGCUGCAAGGUCCACUCCAAAUGCGGCAUCCACAGAAGAUGAAAACAGCCCACUCCUAUCUUUAAUCAAUCAAAUAUCAGUGAGUGACAAUCCAGAAGAUUCAGGUAAAAUCGGUUAUGUUUUAAUAACAUCCACAAAAAAAGAUACUGGUUGGAUAAUUGACUCUGGAGCUUCGGAUCAUAUGACUUAUGAUGCGUCAUUAUUCUAUCACAUGACUUUACCGUCUAAAGAAGAGGUCAUUACUGCCAAUGGUGACGUUGCUCCUGUAACAGAAGCAGGUUCUAUUUCACUUACUCCAUCUUUGUCCAUUCACAACGCACUACUUGUUCCGUCUUUAUCCAACCAUCUACUUUCCGUUGGUCAAGUUACUGAGCAAUUAGACUGUGUUGUGCUAAUGUUUCCCAAUUUUUGUCUACUUCAGGAUAUCCAGACUCGGGCGAUAAUUGGGCGUGGUACUAAAAGGAGGGGGUUAUAUUAUGUGGAUGAUGUCUCGGCAAGUCGAGUAAAUCAAGUACGUAGCAGUCACUCAAACAAGACUAAGACAGUUUGGUUAUGGCAUCGUCGAUUAGGACAUGCAUCUUUUGGUUAUUUGAAAAAAUUGCUUCCAUCUUUAUUUCAUGGCAUUUCAGACUCUGAUUUCCAGUGUAAUGAUUGCAUUCUUGCAAAAAGUCAUCGUACUUCAUAUAAUUUGAGUUUCAAUAAAAGAACAGUUCCUUUUGAGUUAGUUCAUUAUGAUGUGUGGGGGCCUUCUCCAGUAGCUACUAAUCAUGGGACUCGUUGGUUUGUUAUCUUUGUGGAUGAUUGCACCAGAAUGACAUGGCUUUAUACUAUGAAGAAUAAAAGUGAUGUUGGUCAAAUAUUUCACCAGUUUUACUGCAUGGUGAACAAUCAAUAUUCUCUUCCCCUCAAGGUUCUUCGGUCUGAUAAUGGUGGGGAAUAUCUCAAUACUGAACUUUCUCACUAUUUUCAGGAGCACGGCAUUCUUCAUGAGACUACCUGUCCACAAACCCCACAACAAAAUGGGGUUGCCGAACGCAAAAAUAGACACAUUUUGGAAACCACUAGAGCACUACUUAUCGGUGCUCAUGCUCCUCAUUCCUAUUGGGCGGAUGCCGUCAGAUAUUCUGUUUAUCUCCUGAACCGAAUGCCCUCUCGAGUGCAUAAUUUUCGCACUCCUAUAGAAGUUUUUGCCAACCAUGUGAUGUUACCAUCCUCACUCCAUUUGCAACCCCGUAUUUUUGGUUGUGUAGCCUAUGUGCACCUCCACAAAAAUCAGCACAGUAAGUUGGAUCCAUGUGCAGUUCGAUGUAUUUUUCUGGGAUUUAAUGGUCAGCAGAAGGGGUACCGAUGUUAUCACCCACCUACCAGGCAUAUGUAUGUCACCAUGGAUGUCACAUUUUCCGAACAUGAGAUGUUUUUUCUUCCUGAUCACACUCACUAAAAUCUUCAGGGGGAGAUGAGCAUAGAAGAUUAUAGUUGGAUUGAUCUUCCAACAGAGCAGGUGCAUGGUCACCGUGAGCAAGACAUAUGCAGUGGUGGGAUUUGCCAGCCACCUGUGAUCAACCAAGACCCAACAGUGGGGUCGAGUGACUGCCGUGAGCCCAACAAAUGUGUAGAAGAGCACCGAGAGCCCAGCAGCAUUGGGGAGCCCAAUAUGGGCUUGCUAAGCUUAAAUGAUCAGGGUGAGCCCAAUUUGGAUUUGAAUAUUUGCCGCAAGCCCAAUCAGGCAGGUGUACUUGAGCUCAGCGUGCCAUAUAAACCCAGCGCAGGUAAUGGACCGUGCUGCAACAUUCUACACCCUUUGACUCAAAAUGUGGACAACCCAAAUGCUUCAAGAAAUAACCUCUCCCUAGUUGUACCCGUCCAGAUGCCUGAGGAUAUCCAUGAGGUAAGUUUGUCUCAUUCUGAAGUAGCUCAUAAUUUGACUAACAUUGAAAGUACUUAUGUAGCCUCCUAGACAAAAUCGUGGAAAACCUCCUGACAGGUAUUCUCCGGAUGAAAAAAAUGAGAUAUGCAAUUGCAAAGUAUGUCUCUACGCAUCGGUUAUCUCCCAAGUACCAAGCAUUUGUGAAUACAAUGGAUGGAAUCAAAAUUCCAACUAAAGUGGAAGAAGCCUUGCAGGAUCCUCGAUGGACAGAAGCAAUGGAAGUUGAAAUGAAGGCCUUACAAAAUAACAGAACUUGGAGCGUAGAGUCACUACCCCAAGGAAAAAAACCAGUAGGGUGCAAAUGGGUGUUUACCAUCAAACACAAGGCGGAUGGAACCAUCGACAGAUACAAGGCAAGGUUGGUUGCUAAGGGGUACACACAGACUUUCGGAGUAGAUUAUGGGGAAACAUUUGCUCCGGUAGCAAAGAUGAACACUAUACGGGUUCUCUUAUCUUUAGCUGCUAAUUUUGAUUGGCCGUUGAAACAAUUUGAUGUAAAAAAUGCUUUUCUACAUGGAGACCUAGAAAAAGAAAUAUACAUGGAGCUUCCACCUGGGUAUGAAGUGCAGAAUAGAACAGGUAAGGUGUGCAGACUACGAAAGGCUCUUUAUGGACUUAAACAAUCGCCAAGGGCCUGGUUUGGAAGAUUCACUGAUGCAAUGAAGAAAUAUGGUUACCGACAAGGAAAUGCUGAUCACACUUUGUUUAUCAAACGCAGGGGUAAAAGGUUACCUUGUUAAUAAUAUAUGUGGAUGAUAUGGUAGUCACAGGUGAUGAUACCGAAGAGAUGGACAGACUACAGGUGUAUCUCUCUACGGAGUUUGAGAUGAAGGAUUUAUGAGGUUUGAAGUAUUUCUUGGGAAUUGAAGUUGCUCGUUCCCGUGAUGGUAUUUACUUAUCUCAGCGAAAGUAUGUUCUGGAUCUGUUGUCUGAAACAGGGAUGUCGGCUUGUAAACCAGCAGAAACGCCGAUAGUUCAGAAUCAUCAUUUGGCAAUAUACCCGGACCAGGUCCCGGCAAACAGGGAAAGAUAUCAAAGGUUAGUAGGAAGGUUGAUUUACUUGUCUCUCACUAGACCAGAUAUUGCAUAUGCUGUUAGUGUAGUAAGUCAAUUUAUGCACUCUCCUAGUGAAGAUCACAUGGAUGCAGUAAUGCGAAUAUUAAGUUAUUUGAAGGGUGCACCUGGAAAGGGAUUGUUGUUCAAGAAACAACGGCAUUUGGAGGUCAAAGGGUACACUGAUGCUGAUUGGGCUGGGAAUAUUACUGAUAGACGCUCUACAUCGGGGUAUUUUUCAUUUAUUGGCGGAAAUCUCGUGACUUGGAGAAGCAAGAAACAGAAUGUGGUUGCUAGGUCAACAGCUGAGGCUGAAUAUCGUGGUAUGGCACAUGGAAUUUGUGAGUUAUUAUGGCUGAGGAUUCUUCUUACAGAGAUUGGGUUCGAGCCACAUGGAACUAUGUUAUUGUAUUGUGAUAAUCAGGCUGCGCGGGAAAUAGCUAAUAAUCCAGUUCAGCAUGAUCGUACCAAACAUGUUGAGGUGGAUAGACAUUUUAUCAAAGAAAAGUUGGAUGUUAAGUUGGUAGAAAUUCCGUACGUAAGAUCUGAAGACUAGUUGGCCGAUGUGUUAACUCAUGCAGUGUCAGCAAAAGUGUUUCAGGACUCACUUGGCAAGUUGGGCCUAGGUGAUAUCUACGCACCAACUUGAGGGGGAGUGUUGCGUGAGUCAACCUUAGAAAAUAAGGAAUGUAGAGAUUUUUUGGGUAUAUAAUUAUGUAAUUGGUAUCCUUGUGUUUAUGGGAUACUUGUUUCCUAAUUUAUAGGAGAUUGUAUCAGUUUAUAUACCUCUCUACGAGAGAAGAAUAAUAAGAAAAUAUAUUCACCAAAACCCUAGAAUUUUAUCUGUAAGUAGGACACCUAAAGAGAUUCGAUACAGGUGUGAGCAAGAGCACGAUACUCAGACUCCACACUAUAGUAAGAAACAGUAGGACGUUUUGUAGAACUCCAUGAUAUGAGAUUCGGACCCAUAAAUAAAAGAUAACCAGAUGUCAAUUGACGAGUGUCAGUACAAGCCCAAUUUGCAUCGGAAUAACCCUGGAGAAUGAGGGGACCAUGGUGAGGCCAAAAAAUCAAACCAAAUCCACCAUAAAAUCAAUUGACAAAAUGGAAAGUAACUCAAUAAAUUAUAAGCACAUUCGUCACUUCUUUCUUCGACGUGGGAUGGAUACUCAAAGUCCACUAUAAAAUUGAAGAAACUUGUACAAAGUUAGAGUAGAUUUUCCAAUCUCCUUUGUUAGUGACAACAUAACUACCUUUGCCUAAAGGAAAAGGAUCAUCGCCGAUCCUUUUCCUAGGGAUCCUAGGAAUUUCGUGAUCCAGACAAUCCAUCGUACAUCGUGUGGUUAAAAAUCAUUUUAAAAUUUAAAAUUAAAUAUAAAUAGUACUUAAAGAAAAUUGAUCGCAUGAUUAAUAAUGAACGAUCCGGAUCACUGGAUUCCUAAGAUCCCCAUGAAAAGAUUCCAGCGAGGAUCCUUUUCCUUGCCUAAAGGGCAGGAAGACAGUCUAAGGAAAGGAUUUGGAUCCUCGCUGGAUCCCCUCACUGGGGAUCCUAGGGAUCAAUACACGUGGACCGUUGAUCAAAAAUCGUGCAGCCACAAUUUUUUCUUGUUUAUAUUUUUUACGUAAAACGAAGCUGCUUUACUUUUAAAAAUAUAAAAAACAUUUAAUUGGGACCGCAUGAUUUUUUAUCAACGGUCCACGUGUGUUGAUCCCUAGAUCCCCUUAUCCCCAGGAAAGGGAUCCGGCGAGGAUCCAAAUCCCUAAGGGAAACCAGGGUAGUUGGGGUAUGACACGUCGCAUCGCAUGGGACCCUUUUUGACCGUUUAGGCAGAAUAUUAAUACAACUCCAAAGACUCCAAGAAAGAUAUGUACCACACGACGACUCCUUUCCCUUGUCUAGACUCCAAAUUGGUAUGGAACUCUAAUCAUUGCCCUUAUUAAUUUAUCUUUGUGUAUGUGUUUGUUUCCCUCGAUUUUUAGACGUGUAUUUUGGUGCGAAACUGUUUUACAAGUUCCGGCAGGUUAGGUAUUAUUCAUGAUUGUGCUCGGUAGAAAAGGUUUUUUUAAUUUUUUAGUAAGCGUUUUGGGAGAAAAAAAAAAUUAAGAUACUUCUUUGGAAAGUACUUUCUCGUACUUGCAAGGAAGCACUUGGGGGUUUUGAUAAAAAUUCAACUUGUUUCUAAUUAAAGCACUUUUAACAAAAUCGUUUAUGAACAAAAUAUUUCUUACAAGAAUAGUCCCUGAUCACUCGGUCUUUUUUUAUGUGCAAAUCAUAGUAAGCAAAACAACUAAUAAGCACCAAACUCCACGGCUAAACGUCAAAUUUUACCGACAAGAUUGCAUGACUUUUGCUAUUUACCAACAAUGACACUGACAUCAGCUUCAAAAUCAUCCAUAAUUGAAAUAACAAAUAAACAAUAAUUUGUUCUUCUUUUCCAAAAAGAAGAAAAUGUUAGGGUGACUCUCUUAAAAAUGAGAUUCUUUGUCACAUCAUGUUUUUACAUUAGGUUUUAUAAUGUUGACACGUGAAUUAACGUAAUUUGUGAGGUGUCAGAGAGUUCAUAAAGAGUCUACUUUGAGAUAGUCUCCUUAGAAUUUCUCUUCCAAAAAUUGACCUACAAUUCAAGAUGCCCGACUUAUAAAUGAUUUCACACCACAAAAUUGUAGUAUUUAAUCCUUGUGGCACUGAAAUCAACAUUUCUUAUCAAGAAAUUAAGAAACGAUGCAUGAUAGAUGCUAAGGAGACUCUCUAAAUAAUUGUUUAUAGUAACUUAGAGGUUAUUGUAAAUUUGUAAUUAGGGUUUCGUCAAGGAUAUACCUACCUGCACUGAUAACACAAUAAUAUAUCGCUAUUGAUGACGUUAUUUAACUCGAAGCAAUACCCUUAAUGUGUGGGGUUAUCCUUUUUCUUCACUAAUCACAGUAAAAUGAACAAAAGAAAAUUUCUGGCCCUCACUAAACAGCCGGCCAAGAUUUCAAAUUCUAUAAGUCAACAAGUCAACCCAGCAAUUAAUAUCGAAAUUCUAUAGUGUGACUUAUCAUGUUGUAUGUCUGUGGAUGUGAUGACAGUUUAAUUGUAUAAACAAGGGUUUCGGGCAAUAGGAUUGCUUAUCAUGUUUCGCAAUUAAAUGGAAAAAAAGGUCGGCUCAAAUUAACUUCACAACAAUUUGUUUUGCCCUGAUUGAAAUUGAAUUGGUUGAAAUAUGUAUGAUUGGUUUAGCUGUGUAUUCGAUUUAUUGACGAGGUGUGCAGUUUAUUCAAAUUGCUUAUUCGUAGAGGAUUUUGACAAGUUUCGUGGAGCUGUGGACUGUGUUAUGCAGCGCAAUCCAUUAAAUAUGACUGGACAUGAUUAGAAGAACAUGUUAUGUAGAACUGUCAAAUAUUAUUUUAGGCAAGUGCUCAAAUUGUGAGAGAGAUUAGUGUACAUUACUUUCUGUGGUUAUGAAGUACUGAGGGGAGGAUUGAUAUUUUUGGAGCUUAACAUUCCGGAGUUAGCAAAUGAGACUUCUUUCUGGGAAAUUUAAACCCCCUUGAUCUCAGGUUUACAUAAAAUAGGACUUAUGGAAUAGAUUUCAUAGUUGUACAUCUAUGGCAUCAUUACACUAUGAAAUAGGACUUUAAAUUCGCUGCUCUAACUUUGAUGGUCAUCUAUAUUAGUGUUAUUAUUACGUUUUGGUCAUCUUUUCACUAUCAUCUCUCUCAGUCAUGACUUAGGUACUACAGAAUGGGUUUUUGUGCAUCUGUUUAUUUGUAAUUGUCCAAAUAGCAAUGUAAUUGUUGAAUAGGUUUUUGUGUAUCUUUGCUGCUCCGUAUAAAUUAGCUUGAGGUUGCUUGACAGGUGACAGUGAAUUUACCAUGAGGUUAUGUAGUACCUUACAAAUAAACGUCUCUGUCAUGACAUAUAUUGUGAUUUUUUUUUUCCUUCCAUCUGUUUGUUGAUACAAUCCUUUAGGUAGAGCAUGUUAUGAUGUUUCCAAUUUGAUAAAUGCCGUUAAGUCUUUAUGAAUUCAACCAUUGUAUGAUUUGCAUUUAUUUAGAAUUCAUAAGAACUUAAAAAAUCUAGAACUGCAGUGUAUAAACUUGGUUAUUUACUUCUCACGCCAUUGAGGCACAAAAGUUGUUCCUGCACUAAGUUCUUUAUAUCGAAAUUGAACAAAUUUAAUUUUCCUUUAUAUCCAAAUGCAUUAAAGUAAUUGUGAGUUGUAUGACAUGACUGUUCAAUUAUGGCCUUGGCUGAAGCCCCUUGCUUAUCUUAAUAAAUGUGCUUGCUUAUCUUAGUAUACAUAUGUGUUUUGCCGCUUAUCAAAAUCUGUUAGCCAAUAUUUUCGCACCGCUCUUUCGCACUCUUUUCCACGGCUAUCAUGUUUCUCUCUAACCUUCUAAAUUGUACCUUCAUUCACAACAAAAAACCUCGCAGUGAGCAAAUAGAGACAACCAAUUCUACUAUAAUUGCUAGAGAAUUCCAUAAUUUGGUUGUCCCUAAGAUUGAGCCCGCAGACAAAGAGCCGAUAGCCGCACUCAGAACAAAGUCUCAAGCCAAAAAAACCAAAGAUAGGUAAGUUACUAUUUGUUUUUCACAUGCACGCCUACAUAACAUCCGUCAUACCAGUGUUCACUAAACUAUUAUUUAUGUUUUUUGCUAUAGUGCGAAAGAUGUCCGCCCACAAAAAAAAAUGAAUGACCGCAGUCUCCGUUAUUAGUUGCUACAAAGGCGUUGUCCAUGUUUUUGCCUUUGAACAUAUGUGCUUGAAAACUUCCUUGCUGAACCAACAACAGAACAGUUUUUAUGGUUUUUGUUAACUACUAAAACAGGUGGCUGACCUGCAAGACAUGUAUUUUACCACCUUAACUACGGGGCAAAAUAUGUGUUGACUGCAUCUUGCUUCUGUUUCUUCUGUUUCUUACGGAAACAGGCAUCCUGCAUCUUUUUUGCUUUGGACAUUAGUGCUUGAAAGAUUAGCUAUUGAAACAAGAACAACAGAGCAUUUUUUGCAACCGUAUCUUUUGUAAUCAGCUCUGUUCAAUGUUUAUAAAACCCGAACUGCUUAUCUUACCAACGCCGUUCACUCAUCUAUCCCUUUUGUUUGUUUAUGAUUAUGUUGAAUUUUUUUCAGGUUCAAUGUGUCUUAUUCAUGUGGUUAAGGCUGGUGCAUUCAAGUCCCGCAACAACGCGGGGGCAUUUUUACUAGUAACUGCUAAAAGAGAGGGUUAACAUUUAACUACUAAAAUGAUUUGAAUUGGGCGUGUUCCUCUGUUAGAGACUUAAUUGAAGGAAGUUACCCCGAUGAGUCCUCCAGGAUAUCAUAGUGACAUACAAUCGAUGAGUUUUUCAGACAAUAUAUUCUCUUGCUAUCCAGAAUAUCAGCAUGAGCAUACACAACUGUUUUGUUUUUCUUCCACCUACAACGGUGUUUGUAUUUGAUCGACUAUAUAUCACCUUAAUCAAUCAAUAACUAAAAUAGGAGCAACAUGUAGAUUGCAGAAAUGCCUAGACUAGUUCAAAGUCAAUCAAAUCAUAAACCUGAGUAAUGCACUGAAAAUUUCUGGUUUGGAAUCUCUGACGCUCAGGGAAUAGGCACUGACUCAUUCAAGUGUGUUUAUAUGGAAGCUAAUCUAAAUUAUUUGUUCAAUUUAUCCCGUUAGUAACAUCACGUCAAGUGAUUUUGUAGAAUGCACUGGGAGAAUGCCGCUUUCGACCAAAAAAUUAAAGAAAAACUAACGAGAAGUCUAAAGAAACUUUAGUUUUAAUUAAAAAUAACAAACAAAGGUGUAAUGAAUAGUACCAUGGAAAAGUAAAAAUAUGGUUUUUGGUUAAGAGUGAAUAGUACAUUGAGUGUUUCGUUAAAACUCUAAAAAAUUAAACAUGAUUUCAUUAAUUACCCCACUUGUCUUGAAAAGAGAGACUUAUGCUUCGUUUGUAAAUACUUUUAAAAUUAUUGAAAGCGUUUUUAAAGAAAAUGUUUUUGGAUUCGAAAAACACUUAAAAUACUUUGUGGAAGAAGCAUCACUUCAAGUAAUUUUUGAGGAUUCACCUUUUGUUUUUACUAAAGAUUGGUUUCAAAACAUUUUCUCUAAAAUGCAUUUAAUCGUUUUAAAAGCACUUUCUAAUAAGCUCUUAUAUGAAACUGGAAGUGUAACCCAUGUAUAUGAACGUGGGGUAUACACUGUUUCGUGAAGUUUUAGCCCCGAGUUGGGGCGAAAUUUUACCCUUCUUUCCACUCAAUAGUCCGUCGACAUCGAAUAAAACAACCGACACUUUGAAGUCAACAAGUCAAACAAAUCACAAAAUUAUACCUGCUAUACACAUUACCAUCACGUUUUCCUUAGUAUGGCUCGCUUAAGUUAUUUAGGAUUUGUUUGAUAAUCAGUUCUUUUUAUUUAUUUUUAAAUUAAAAGUAGUUACCAAAUAAAUUUUUAAUUUUUAAAAAAUAAAAAGAAAUGAAAAUAGAACGAUUAUUAAACGGUCUUUGGGAAUUUGAAAGUCGUUUCCAUUUUUUUUUUGUGUUGAAAUUUGUUUGUUAACCAUUUCUUUUGCAUGUGAACGAUUUCCUCUUUCGCCUUACAAAAAUUAAAAUAUCUAUUUACGGUCUUCUGUAUGGCAUGGUUUGAAGCGUGUUUUGCAUAUUCUAAAUAAUAAUAAUUGUUGAAUUAUUAGUGAUGGGAGGUCAGUUUUCUUUUGGUAUAUGCAUAGCUUACAUUUUGAUUUUAUUUUAUUUAUUUAUUAUUUUCAAUUGACACGUGAGAACUAUAAUUUGGACCUUGAAAAACUUUAUAAAAUAUAGGACAAUUGUUUUACACAUUCCGAUUAACCAAGUGCAUAAAUACACGUUCACAGUUCAAACUUCAUCACGGUUUCAGCUGACGCUUAGAUAGUCAUUUUUGUUUGUAUUGACUAUGUAUUGUCGUGGUCAGUCAAUAGCCACUGGAAAAUGAAGAUAGAAAAGCAACACAGUAAGACUUGAACGCCAUGUUGUCUUAUAUUUUACUCUAAAUUUUACAUGAACAAUAUCUAAAAAUCAAUUAAACUCCAUCAAAAGUUAUAAAUUGUGACAAUCAAGACUUCAAAAUCAACGUCAACCCAUAAAAACAAGAGAAAUUUUUUAAAAUGUUAUGUGAAUUUAUACACCUUCUUCAAUUUGUCAUAUAUGAACGAAAAUUUUAAGCGAUUUGUCAUACCAACUUUUCGAAUCAUUAAUUUGUCAUCUAACUUUUCCUCCGUUAAAUUUUUCAUUCAAAAUAACUCAUGCGUAAGGCACGCAUAAUAUGUUCAGGAUUAAUAUUUGAGACAUUUCAACGAGUACUGUCCCCUUUGCAUUUAAUAACCACAAAAGGCAUCAAAAUGCCUUUCAUUCGUCUCUGCUUUUUAGGCACCGAAAGGCAAAGGCAUUUGCCUUUCCUUUUUUUUUUCAGUCCGCUUUUCUUUUUGCCGUGUAGGUGGAAAUUUCCGAAGGUAACAGUUGCUUCUCCAAGUCCUUGCCCCCACGGCCACGGCCACCCGCUUUUAGUUCUGUUCCUAUUUUUCAUGCAGGUUACAGACUUGCAGAUAUGGGAUUUGGGAGGGAGAAGACUUCAAAGUCAAGCCACACGUUUACCAUGCCUAUUAAAGUUGCCACAACCAUUCUCAGUUUCUCACAACUUAAUUUCCCUAAGCUUCUCUCUAAACCUCAAAAUAUUAAGUUUAUCCAAGAUGAAACCUCUCUUCCCACUCCCAUAUUUCUUCCUCCUGUUCUUCAUCAUCAUUAAUACUUUCUGUGUUAACAUUGCGGCUGCAGUCCAUGGUCGGUGUUUCGAAGACCAGCAAUUGCUCCAUCUGAAGAAAAGCCUCACCUUUGCUCCCGAGUCAUCUGAGCAUCCUGCUUCAACCAAGUUUAUAUCAUGGAAUUCAAGUACCGACUGCUGUUCUUGGGCUGAUGUUACUUGCAAUGCCAACGGCAGCGUUGUUGGUCUUGACAUUAGUAGCAAAACAUCUCCGGUGGCAUUGACAACUCGAGCACUCUCUUCCAUCUUCAACAUCUUCAAAGCCUCAACUUGGCUGAUAACUCUUUUGUUAACGGCUCACGCAUUCCAUCAUCAAUCGGAAAGCUUACCAACUUGAGGUAUCUAAACUUAUCUGAUUCUGGUUAUUCCGGAAAGAUUCCCAUUGAGAUUUCACGCUUGACAAGGUUGGUUGUCCUAGAUAUUUCUCUAUGUAAACAUCAGUGUGCCACCAAACUUGAGAGCCCGACUUUGAGCAUGCUCUUUCAGAACCUCACAGAGAUUACAGAGCUAUAUCUUGAUGGGAUAAAUAUAUCAGCACAGGGGAGUCAGUGGUGCCAAGCAAUAUCAUCUUCACUCCCAAAUCUGAGGGUGUUGAGCAUGUGUGGAAGCCAGCUCUCAAGUCCUUUUUGUCAGUCCCUCGCAAAACUUCAGUCUCUCUCAGUGAUUCAAUUGGAUAGUAAUGACAUCUACGGUCCAAUUCCAGGAUUCUUUCCCAAGUUGACUUCUUUGAGUCUUUGUAAUUGCAUUCUGAAUGGAACAUUUCCCAAAGAGAUCUUUCAGGUACCUACUUUACAAGCUAUUGACCUUUCCGGUAACAUACAUCUUCAUGGUUCUUUUCCAGAAUUUCUUGAGAAUACAUCUCUUGGAUUUUUGGACCUAAGCCACACAAAGUUUUCAGGGUUAUUGCCUGACUCCAUCGGCAACCUCAAAUUGUUGUCCAUUUUAAAUCUUUAUAACUGCAGUUUUAGUGGAUCAAUCCCUAAGUCCAUGGCAAGCCUAACAAAAUUGUUUUACUUGGACAUGUCGUCAAAUAUGUUUAAUGGUUCGAUUGAUUCUAUUUACUGGAAAAAGCUUGUAAAUCUCGAAUAUUUAGCUUUGGAUUCAAAUUUCCUCACAGGUAGUAUUCCGUCAUCUCUGUUUUCAGAUAAGGAACAUCCUCAAUGUCUGGACAAGUGCAAUAAACACUCAUUACAAGAUUGCCAGGUGCCUUAACAACCUCGCCUGCAACAUGGGCUGCCAUGGAAAGACUGUCCUUCCCACAAUCAAUUGCAAUACCAAGUUCAAUCAUUGCCACUGAAAGAGCUGUAGCAGCAUCAUACAUAGCUGCUUCUUCCCCAUCAAGCUUGGUUGCAUACAUCCAAUUCCCGCUGUCUUUAACAUCAGAUAGAGAAGUGACCUUUGCCCAAACAAGAUUUGUGAGUGCUUCUCCAACAGCCAAUCUCGCCAUUGCUUUUGGAUCCAACAAACCUUUGAUUGGCUACUCCCCAAUGGCACAUGCACCUCCAGUCAUGUCAGUAAAAGUCUGCGCUAUUACUGCAACAACAGAGAGAGGAAUUUGCAACGGCCCAACAGUUUGCUGCUGUGCUACAAGACCUGUAACACACCUGUCUACUUUGGAUGCCAAGAAGCGCUUUGAACAAACAGAUGGAAGUCUCAACACCCUCUUAAGUGAAUCCAUCACUGUUAUUCCAGGAGCAGUAUCAAGUGGUUCUCGUGCAUCAGUCAUCCUGUGGAAUUCAAAACUUUUCUGUGGCAUAUCACCAAGGACUUUCUCAAGCUCCAAAUCGACGGCAGGAGAUGUCUCAUGCAUGAUAACCAUCAUUCAUGGUUUAACAGAAAACAUAAAGGUGCAUUAGUAUUCUGCAGAUUUCAAAAUAAUUGCAGAUAACACAUGAUCAAAUCACCCAAGAUAAAAAAUUUAGCAGAAGAGUUUCAAUUCAAUUGAAUCCAUAUAGUUUUUUUUUUUUUUUUUUGUUAUUUCAAAGUCUUAUCCUUUAAGACCGAACAUAAACCCUCGACUCAAUAUGGAGAAGGACUUUUAAGCAGGAAAGAAUAAAACUUUGCAAUUUAUCAAACAUUCCUUGCACAGAUCCAAUUUAUGAAACAGCGCAGCGGAAUAACCAUUCAAAUUGAUCAUAUCAGUUGCAAGAUUGAUGAAAUUAUAACCCAGAAGCAUGUUUUGUUGGUUAAUGUUCUUAAUUGAAAAGGCCCAAUCGGAAAGAAAACCCCUUCCCUUGAAUUUGCAGAAAAUCCAACCGUAACAUCCUUUGAAAUUCAAACGGUCAUAUAUUUUCAAACAUGUUUUGUCGUUAUUCGCAAGGCAUUAUACUAGAACCUGUGUUCGAUUCCCCAACGCAACAACGAAGAUAUAUUUUUCUCAAUAUUAUUUAUGAUUUGGAACCUACUAGUUUUAAUCACAGAACUUAUAAUUUAUACGACCGAGAAUGGUAAAACGCGGCGUUUUGGAGAAAGGGCGUACCUUUGGCUGUUUCGUCGAUAUCCAUGUCCAUGUUUUGGAAGACUCUGCGAGGCACUUUUGAAUUAACGGCGGAAAAGCAACGGUUUCUUCUUCCACUGGGCUGGAAGCCUGAAGCUUCUAUUGCCGGUGCCUGGUGCUUGCGUAAUGGGACACAUGUCACACAUCGUCGACCCGAAAAUUGACAAGAUCCGAUUCGAUUUGGAUUUUAAUAUCCGUAUUUCAGCCUUUUUGCAAGUGCUAAUGCGUAAAUGAGAAGUAUUUUAUAAUCACGGGCCCCUUUAAAGAUGGGUUUGCUUUAAUUAUUGUUCUAAUUGUUUAACAUUGUUAUUUCGUAAGAAACUAGAAAAUGUGACCCGCGCGUUGCUGAAGGAAGUCAGACUCCUGCGUUGCUGCAACAUUGAAAAUUAUAACAUAUUAUGGUUAAAACAUAUAAAAGAUCAUGUAUCCAAUGAUUGUAGACCUAAUAAUCAUGCACUCAACACUGAACACCUAAAUGUCAUCAAACCAAAGUAAACUUUCAUUUAACUAAGUUAUUAGCACUUCAGUUAAAUCUCAAGUUAAAAAAAAAGUAGUUCAAUUUGACUAAAAUUACACGGAGGGAGAAAGACAGAACAAACAGUUGCUGAAAGGUGUACAACAACACUGAUCCUGCAAGUCAAAUAUGAAAAAUGUUCAAAAGAGUGUAAAAGCUCAAAUUAUUCCUAGCAUCAGUAGAUUAACAAUGAAGAAACAAAAUUCAUUUAAGUUUACAUUGCUUGUCGGUUGGCAAUUCAGCAUGGGAAAAAAUGCAAGAAAAAAAUAUUGUUAAAGCGAAUAAGUGAAUAAGAAUGAACAUUAUAUUUAGUAUAUCAUGAAUAUGCAUGUGCAUGGUAAAUACUAAGCAAGAAUAUGGAUAGGCAAACAGUAACUAUCAAUUAACCAUUUUAAUUAACACUUUAAAAAAAAUUGUUUUAAAGUAUAAAAAAUAUUAUUAAAAAAAUAUUCUAUAUACUAUACAGACACAAUGAGUGAAAAUAUAUACCAUUUGACAAUACAAAAUCAAGCAAUGUCUAAAGAUGAUAAACAGAUCCUAGAUGGUGUUUCUUACAGAAAGCAGAACCAUUAGAUCAUAUGCAUUGAAACAAUUAACAAAUUUUCAAUGGGCAAUACUAAAUGUUUAUUACUUAAGAUCAUUAAAUAAUGACUGCUCACCUUUUCAUCAACCAGUAUACAGCGCAGGCCUAUAUAUUUAUCGGUCGUUUCUGGAAUUCUCGCUCUCCACAUUGUACACAGGACUUGAAGUUUUACUGCCUUUUUAUACGGUUGUAACUGAUUGAUAGGUGUUGGAAUUGCAUCUUCCAUUCAAGCCACUGAAAUUAAAUACAAAUUUUGUAAAUUUGUAAACAGUCAUUACAGAAAGUUUAAAAUAAACGCUGGAACAACCAACAAUUUAUCAAUAGAAAUUUCAUAAUACUAUUGAUUUUGAACACAGAUAAAAAUAAAUAGAUAAAUAAAAUAUCAAAUUUAGUUUAGUCAGUUUAUAUUCAGUUUAUUGUUGUAUUUACGCUGACUAUGAAAUAAUCAUCAUGAAAUGAAAAACACAGAUACAAACCUUAUAUGUGUUCAUUUCUUUUUUUUCAUCAGACCAGUUUUCAUUCUCUAGCUAUUGAGUUUAAUUUUUCUUUCGAUUCACUAUGUAGAUGGGUUCAACCUCCCUUUGUUUUUCCUAGAUUUUUUUCACUGAAAUACAAACCUGUGUGAGUGCUUAAAAACCUGCAUUGGUUAUGGAUAUUAACAGUUGCAUAAUGUAUAUACCUGCAACAUUAGAGCAGAUGAGGAACAGUUAGUAUCAUCAAUAGUACUUGUCAUCAACAUGAACUUAUCAUCCAAAGCGGUAUUAAAUUUGUUUAAUUCUUCAUCACCUAUGAUAUAAAUGAAUAAUACAUCUCAAAAGAAUGAAAAAAAAAAUAUACACAAAAUAUAGUUAACAUUGCUUUGUAAUUUCAUAUCAAAAGGGCAUAAAAAGUUGGUUGAUUCAUUUGUGAACUAAAUUAAAAACAAACUUAAACGUUAAUUUACUAAUGAAGAGGUUGAUUAUUCGAUGAUAAACUUCACAUGCACGCAUUGUGUAUUUAAGGUGAGCAAUUUCAAAAUUUUAUACCUGAGGCACCUGGAACCGUACAUACGAAAGCGCAAAAAAAGAUAGCCACUGCUUCCUGAAAAUAAAAAAGAACCAAAUCAUAUAUACCCACUCUAAAAAUCCAAACACAAACACUAAUCCAUAAGUUAAUUAUAACCAAUUUUUUUUACAGAAAAUAGAUCCGCAAACGAAACACUACUGAAAUAAAUUCUAAAUUUUGUUCAACAAAAAAUUUAAGAGGAGGAACAUAAAUUAUAUACCUUAAUCAGAAAGGGCUUGCAACGUUUCCUGAAAUAAAAAACAACCAAAUCAUACACCAACACUAAAAAUCCAAACACAUAAACGAUGAACACUUGUCCAUGAAAAUUAAAACAACCAAAUCACACACCCACACUAAAAACCCAAACAGACAAAGGAAACCGUAAAAAUUAAUCAUCUGUAUUGUUCUUUUUUAGUAUUUUUAUAAAAAAAAAAAAAAAAAAAAAUUGAACCAGAAACGAAACAGGACCCAAAAAAAUUAAAAAUUUUGUUAAAAAAAAAGAUUUAAGAACAAAACAUAAAUUAUAUACCUCACCCAAAAAUGGCUUGCAAGCUCGUACGAUAAAACCCUAAAAUUCAAAGACCAAUGUUCCCUGCAACCAAAAUCGAAAUCAGAUCAAACAACCAUACACAAAGUACGAAAAAAUUAAGAAAACACUCGGUACAAAAUGCCUAGACUUGAAUUUUACACUAAUCAAUUCAAAAAAUUUCUUGCUAUCCAAACAGAAAAUAAAGAAGCGAAUGAAGCAACGCACCUAAAACGGUGCGAUUGGUUUCUGGAAAAGAGCAGAAAAAAACAGACGAACGACCUUUUUAGACGACCGGAUCGAAAUCUAAACGGAAAGACAGGCGGAGAGAUAUAGAGAGAGCAAAAGAAAAGGAAAAGACAGAAGAGAAGAGGAAAGUGAAAAGUGGAAAGUGGAAGAUGCUUCCAGCCAAAAAAUAAAACAACCAGCCUCUGAACAGAACCCCCCACGAUGAUCAACACGUGGAAGCUAGAGGUACCAAAAGCAGAGUCUAACCAAAAAUUAAAACAAACAAAGGCUAAGCAACAACAUUUAUGGGAGAGAGAGAGAAAACAUAAUAAUUAAAAAAUGAAUGGUAGGACAAACAAAUUAUUUAAAAAAUAGAAGUUAAAUCAGGCCACAUAGUUUGUGGCACACCAAACACUAAAAAAUUAUAAAAAAACUAAGGUAAAAACACAGAAACAGAGAGGAAGAGAAGGGAAAAGCAACGAAAGAAAAUGGAAGAGCCUUCGUGCACCUUCCCCACCAAAAACGACGCACACAGGUAGAGCACGUGACACAAUUAAUUCUCAUCUUCUCCCAACAGGCGAGAUGACAGGGAUGCAGGAAAGCAUGCGAGGGGAAGUCAGGACAGAAAAAGCGAAUAAAUAUCUCAAUUUUUAAUAAUUGUUUUGUCCAUGUAUCUAAUUUUUUUAUAAUUUUUUAAUGUGUUGUUUGCCACAAACCAUUGCAGGAUUUGAGUGGAAGACAAAAAAAAAGCAAAACCUAAAAAUAAAAUAACCUAAAGGCAAAGCAAUGAGAGACAGGCUUCUCAUAAAUUUUAAUAAUUAUUUUAUGCAUGCAUCUAAUUUAUUUAUAAUUUUUUAUUAUGUUUUGUGCCACAUGGAUCGAAGGUGAGAUGGCGACAGGGAUCACAGGGAAGCAGGAAGUCAGGAGAGAAAAAGGAAACAAAUACCUAGAAUCAAAAGGGUAAAACGGCAAAGCCGAGCAACACGCGGGUUAAAAAAAACAGAUAAAGGAAGGGGGUAAAAACGACAUUUCAUGUAGCAUCUUCAAAAUGCCAAAAAAGUGAGCGUUAGAUCAGGGGCAAAACCGGGUGAGCACUGUUAAUGAACAGUGUUUUUCCACCAACGUUUAGUAUAGAUAGAAUUUGUGAGGGCAUUUUCUUAUCAUAUUAGGUAUUUCAAUCGUCUUCCUGUGAUAAUAUUUUCUAUAAUUGUGUUAAAGCUUCCAGUAACCUACGACAUGGUAAAUCUAUAGAAAUUAUAAACUUGAUAAUUACGUUCAUAGCACAAAAGCCUAUACGUACAAUCGUGUUUACUUGGUGUACAAGUAAGGAUCUUUUCAAAUUAGAAAUAUAAUCAGAACCAAAUUACAAUAUUAAUUGCUAAACCUUAAGAGAGACGAUUUCCUUGAACAAGACUCCUUCUCUAACAUCCCAGCAAACUGAACAGGAUGAAAUGAACUUUUUGAGUACCAAGCUUAACAUGUUCACGAACAAAAUGAUAAUCUAACUUGUUUGUACCAUAUUUGACCAAUCCCGAAACUACUGAGCACCGGUCAACGUUAUACCAUCAAGGACCCAGAAGAGUUUCCCUCCAACCAGGAGGUCAAUCACAAUGCGACACGUGUCGACAUCAGAAGUCAAUCACAUCACGACACAUAUCAACAACAACACGACACGUGUCAAUGUCAAAACAAAGUUAGAAACUCUUCUAUAAAAGGAGAUCAUUCUCCCACAAUAUUUCCUAGUCAUUUGUACUAAAUCAUUCACUAGUACUCACUAAAGGAGAGCUUGAACCUAUGUACUUGUGUAAAUCCUUCACAAUUAAUGAGAACUCCUCUACUCCUUGGACGUAGCCAAUCUGGGUGAACGUAUAUCUUCUGUUUGCUUCCCAGUCCCUAUCCAUUUACAUACUUAUCCACACUAGUGACCGGAGCAAUCUAGUGAAGGUCACAAACUUAAUACUUUCUGUUGUACAAAGUCUUCACUGAUUUUGUGCCUCAACGUAACUCAAUAUGCUUUUGUUAAAUUAAUGUUUGGUUUUCAAUGCGAUUGCCGGAGCUUACAGUGAGAAUCUUCCAUUGAUUUGUAUAGUUGGAGGGCCGAACUCGAACGAUUAUGAGACGAACAGGAUUCUUCACCAUACUAUUGGGUUGCCGGACUUUAGCCAAGAGCUGAGAGGCUUUCAGACUGUAACUUGCUAUCAGGUUAGUAUGAAAUCAAGAUUUUGGCUUUUUAAUUUAUUUUGGAAGUUGAAUUUGAUGAUUUUUAUUGGGUUUUGUGAAAGAUUUGUAGUGAGUUUGGUUUUGCUAAAUGUGGAAUGUGGGUUUUUACUUGGAUGUGGUAAAUAAUCACAAGAAUUACCAUGUUUGGUUGUUUAUUUUCUUAUUCAAAUUUAAUUUCAAUGAUUGUUAUUGGGUUUUGAUAAAUUUGGUAAAAAAGUUCAUAGUGAGUUUGAUUUUGCUUAAUUUGGCAUGUGGGUUUCACUAAGCUGUGGUAAAAAAUCUGGAAGUUGUACAUGAAUUUACCAAGUUUGGUUUUGUAUUUGCCAUUUAUUUCAGUCAAUUUUUUUUUUUGGGUUUUGAUGGAUUUGUUGAAGAAUUCAUAUUCAUUUGAUUUUGUUAAAUUAAUGUUUGGUUUUUUGCACUUUCCUGGUUCGUUUUUUAAAGUUUGCUAAUUUUGGUAUGUGGGUUUUUACUAGGCUGUGGUGAAUAAUCUGGAAGAUGCGCAUGAAAUGAUCGAUACCGCAAUUUCAACUGCUUUGAAAGAAAGCAAGCCUGUUUAUAUCAGCAUAAGCUGCAACUUGGCUGGAAUUCCUCAUCCUACAUUUAGCCGGGAGCCUGUUCCAUUUUCUUUAUCUCCAAAGUACACAUUUUUGGGUUUCUGAUUCCAUUUGGUUGAACCGUUCUGGAAAUGCUUAUUUUAGGUGUGAAAUUUAUAUGUUUGUUUGUUUUGGUCUGCAGAUUAAGCAAUAAUUUGGGCUUAGAGGCUGCGGUGGAGGCGGCUGCAGAGUUCUUGAACAAGGCAGUGAAGCCGGUUAUGGUUGGUGGGCCUAAACUUCGAGUUGCACAUGCCGGCGAUGCCUUUGUUGAACUUGCUGAUGCUAGUGGUUAUGCUCUGGCUGUCAUGCCAUCUGCAAAGGGGUUUGUACCAGAGCACCACCCCCAUUUUAUUGGAACAUACUGGGGUGCUGUGAGCACUGCCUUUUGCGCCGAGAUAGUGGAGUCCGCAGAUGCAUACUUGUUUGCUGGACCGAUUUUCAAUGACUACAGCUCUGUUGGAUACUCUUUGCUUAUCAAGAAGGAGAAGGCCAUUGUGGUGCAGCCUGAUCGCGUGACCAUAGCAAAUGGCCCUUCAUUUGGUUGUGUUCUUAUGAAGGAUUUCCUCAGAGCUCUUGCAAAGAAGCUCAGGCACAACAACACUGCUCAUGAGAACUACCGCAGGAUCUUUGUUCCCGAUGGACACCCUCUAAAGUCUGCACCGAAAGAACCUUUGAGGGUUAACGUUCUGUUCCACCACAUCCAGAAUAUGCUGUCAAGUGAAACUGCUGUGAUUGCUGAGACAGGGGACUCAUGGUUUAACUGCCAGAAACUGAAAUUGCCGGCUGGCUGCGGGUAAGCCAAGGAGAGAAUGUAGUUUUCAUGUUUCUUUCUAUGUUAUAUAGUUGAUGAUUUAAUUGGGAAGUUGGAAUUGGGUUUGCAGGUAUGAGUUCCAAAUGCAAUAUGGAUCAAUCGGUUGGUCAGUUGGAGCAACUCUUGGGUAUGCUCAGGCUGUUCCUCAGAAGCGUGUGAUUGCUUUCGUCGGUGACGGGAGUUUCCAGGUACAUUUAAUUUUCUCUAGCACUCUCUAAAUUUUAAAGUACCCUUAACAACCUUAUCAAAUUUUCUCAGUUAAUUACUCAGAUUUGUGGCAUAACAUUUCAUCAAUAUUACGAAUCAUCGGUCUUUUCAAUGUUUUGUUCAUGUGUUUAUGCUUUCAUUGUUUCAAUGCCUAAUAGGUGACUGCUCAAGAUGUGUCCACCAUGAUCCGAAAUGGGCAGAAGACCAUCAUCUUCCUGAUAAACAACGGCGGGUACACAAUUGAGGUGGAGAUCCAUGACGGACCCUACAAUGUGAUCAAGAACUGGAACUACACUGGACUGGUUGAUGCCAUCCACAAUGGGGAGGGCAAGUGCUGGACAACCAAGGUAAUCACUUUGUUAAUGCAUUCUAAUCGUCUCCAUAAUCUAUUCCUCCAACUAAUCAACCAAAGGGUUUCCUGGAUCGUCAAACUCCUUGUAACCGAAUCUGUUAAUUCUGCAGGUCCGUUGCGAAGAGGAGCUGAUCGAAGCGAUUGAGACUGCAACCGGGGCAAAGAAGGAUAGCUUGUGCUUCAUAGAGGUGAUUGUCCACAAGGAUGAUACCAGCAAAAAGUUGCUUGAGUGGGGGUCUAGGGUUUCUGCUGCCAACAGCCGCCCACCCAACCCUCAGUAAAAUUUUCCAUGUCAUUUCCUUUCAUCUACGCAGCGUCAUUCCUUCUCGUUAAGGGUUUCUUAUAUAUGUUUCAAUUUAACACAUUUUCCCGCGGUCUGUGUUUUCAGUUGGAAUUUUUGCUGGUAUUUAUGUAUAUUCCCCUUUGAAUUAAGAGUAUAUUUCUCAUCGUUUAAUUAGUUUAUGUGAUCUGAACGAGCAUUCGACUCAAAACUAAUUUGCGUAUUGCAUAUUAGUGCAAAUCGCAUUUCAAGUCUGAGACGACUUCCAAAUGCGUCUUGUUACGUGUAACGUGUGAAUCUUUUGUAUUUAUACGUGCAUAAUUCUUAUCGAGUGACACAACCAUGAAAAAUGAUAUUCUUAACAACUCCACGUGUUUAAACAACAUUGUUGAUUGUAACUAAUCAUGUGUCUAAUAUCAGGAUUACUUAGGAGCUAAUAUCUUCCAGCAUUGUUCGACCCAAAAUAUUAACCUAAUAAUUAUGUUUAAAUGUGUCAUUGUCGUAACUGGUUAAUUAUCAGUGCUUUAUGAGAAGGAAGGGACAGAAGAGAACCAUUUAUUUACAACUGGAAUCUAUGAAUACAACAAAAUGUGCACCAUUGUUUUUAUUUCGCGAUGUGUUUUUGUUGAUUUGAUUGCGUGGCAAGAUAUAGAAUUCACAGCUUGUUACUGAACAUUUAUUCUGUUUUAUAUUUAGUCCAUGAACUUUAAUCUUAGUUUAGAUUUGAUUCAUAUCACAUAUUUAGAUUUGGAUAUAUGAGACCCACAUGUAUGAAACGUAAUCAUACAAGCAAAACUUUUAAUGGAAGUUAAUGAUAUGGGCCAAUGGUUUGAUGAAUCCUAUCCAACUUUCAGGCAUUAAGAUACAUUUCAGGAAUGGAUGGUUAUCAUAAAGGAUUCCCAGCAUAUCAUAGGAUUUCCUUUUGUGAAAAUCCGCACUUUUUCAAACCUAGAAAACAGACGGGAUUCUAGGAUUCCUUCUUGGGGCAAAUACUUUUAUGCAUUCCUCUUGCGGUUGAUCUAAAUGACUUAAAUUGCUCCGAAUUACUAUUUUCAUGGUUCUUGAUUGAAGAAAGUUGAUGUUUUGCCAUAAACUAAUUGACUAUAUAUAAGUAGCCCAACUUAGUUAUAAGCCAAUGCAAGAUCCCUCAUCCACUCACCGUGAGAUUUAUUCUCAACACGUCUCUUCACGUGUGACAAAUUUUCAAGCUUAGCAUGUGAAUAAUACAAAUCAAGUGACAUGUUGCAUCAAUGGCAGUUUGGUUUCACCCACAAGACAAACUUGCACUGAUACUAAAAGAAAGUUGAGAUUCUACCAUAACAAAAUUGAAAUAUUAGAAGUAACCCAACUUACUUAUAAGCAUAUGCACAGUCUCUCUUCCUUUAAUGUGAAAUUCAUUCUCAACACAAAUUGCUGUUUAUUUGUGUUCUCGUUUCUUAGUUGCAUGAGAAGUCAAUCAAGGUGUAGGCAGUGAGAAUUUUUUUUAUUUUUUUAUAUUUUUUUAUUUAUUGAAACAAGCAGUGAGAAUCUUUACCAAAUCCAAUUCCGAACCUUAGCCGGUAACUGAUAGCAUAUUCUAGGUCCUCCUCCAUCAGCGGUGUGUGGAUUUUCUUGGAAAUUGACGUCGAUAGGGAAUCAUCUUUGUUAGCCAUGCAUCAUUGUCCGCCAUGUUGUCAAACAAUUGCUCGAAUAAACCAAAUAGACGGCACCUGGUAGGAAAAGUGGGAUACCCAUGCGGCAUCAUUGUACUGGGGUGCUUUGAUAUUUGUUUGAUACUCAUUUGUAGUGUGUUUGUAGAGCGAUUUUUCAGUAUGAUCGGAAUACGGAAUAGUACAUUACAUGUCAUUAUAUAAGUGAUGAGAUAUUUGUGUUUAAAAAUUAACAAUUUUAAAAAAAAAAUUUCCUACAAAAAUAAAAUUUCUCACCACUUAUAUAAUAAUACGUGAUGUAUCAUUUGUAUUCUGAGCACAAUGACAAAUUUCUCGUGCUGAGACUCCACAAUAAAGGCCAAUGAUGUAGAUAUCUUACCAAAAUAAAUAAGUUAGGUGAUUUUUACUAAGCCACUAGGAAUAGCCUAGUGGUGAGGAUGUGGGUAAGGGGUGGGGUAGUUCUAGGUCCCAGGUUCGAAACCUGGUGUGUGUGUUUGUGUUUGUGUGGGUGGUGGAGGGUAAUUAAAAAAAAAAAAAAAAAAAAAAGUUAGGUGAUUUUUACACUGCAUGUAAACGCAUAUACGCAUUUCCCGUGAAGAAUGCAAGUAUUAUCCUUGUUAAUGCAAGUAUUAUCCUUGUUUUCGUAUACAUCUUUCUUUCUAACCGUUGAGAUUAAGACUCAACGAUUAUAAAGAGUCACGUGGACUAAAAUCUUAUAUAAAAUCUUGGUAAUUAGUUCUCAAUUUUACACGUGUCAUAACCAAAAUAUUUGUCGGUACACACUUCUUAAAAAAAUUGUUCCAGAACAUAUAUUUACAUAGGUGUAAAUAUUAGUUUAGUUAUGUAGACAAUACAUAGUAGUUGAUGUGUGAGUGAUGUACCAUAAUAUUUCUCAAUAUGCUAACAAGUAAUAAAAUAUUGAGAAGAAUAAAAUAUAGCCCUUGUAUCAGGAGCUAAAGGAGUAGACUAAGUCUCAUAAAAUAGGCUAGUAAUAAUAAGGUUUAAAUUCGUCUUUAACGAGAAUCGAAUCUUAACUUCUCACUUACAAGUAAAAAAGAAUAUUACUAAACCCGUACCUAGUACUAAGUAUCAACUAUUGGAGAUGGCCUAAUGUUUGGUGUGUAUAUUUAGGAACGGGAGCUAAAUACUUGACAACUAUGGAGUUCAAAAACGCUGUAAUUUUGACAACUAAAAACGAAAUGGUAAUCAAAUGGUAAUCAUGAAAAUGCAUUUUGUUACUACUAACCUCUGCGAGAACACAAAUUUGUGAAGAUUGAGAUUCAUGAAAAGGCAUACCAAGGAUCACAAUGCAAUACCGUUUAAGCCACCAAAGAGCAUUCGUCUAUUUACAACAAAAUUUCGAUGAGAUGCGAUGGAUUUUACACCUACGGAUCAAUGCUUACAUUGCUUCGUGCGUGAACAAGACAACCAUUUUGGAGCAGGGUGCUCGACAGUUGGUAAUGUGAGAUUUUAAUCGCGGUAUGUUGGGGUGAGCGCUUCUACAUCGGUGGCAUCGGAGCUCCAUAGACAACAGUCUAUCAUCAUCUUUUAGCUUUGCUUUUCCAUCACUAGUGACUUCCUCUACUGCAUCCAUGGAGUCUCGAAAGAAAGCAGUGUUGAAGGAGUUCCACUGUUUCUUGUUCUUCAAAUGUGUUGAAUCGAAAUCCUGGCUAACAACAUGCAGAUGCAGCUGUCGCAUUGAGGGAUCCUGCAAGAGAUGAUAUCCCGAAAAUUCAAGUUUAUUAUUUACAUCUAGUCUGAUGUAUUAAUACUAACCUCACCAGCCCUUUAGCAAAAAGGAUUUCGAGAGGCAAUGUUGGAGAAAACGAAUAUAACAGCAAGCUCUAAGAAAAGUAGCAUGUGUACCGAGUGAUAUCCAAGACGGAAGACCAAACAUGAAUCAUCAUGCAAGUUGGAAUUGCGGUUGGGUCAUUUGUGUUGUGCAAGAGACGGAGUAAAUGGUACUACAUAGCUAAGUAUGUUGAGAAAGUCAAGGAUCAUCAUCAAGAUACUUGCCAUAUAUAUUGUAAUUAAUUAUAUUCCUAUUUUGUAUUAUGAGCUGUCUAUUAGUAGCUAGUUUGUAGGAAUUGAUUGUAAAUAUAUGACUACAUAUAGUAGUAUUGUAAAGACAAUUUCAAUUAAUGAGAAUCGGUGAAUUACCACCUUCCAAAAUUUACAUGGUACCAGAGCCUUUCCUGGGUUCUUAGUUCUUUUUUUCUUGGAUUAUGGUGGAGGAUUCAACGUCAGCAAUGGCUAAACUUGAACCAUCUAGUGAUCCUGCUAGUCCUUUCUUCGUUCAUCAUUCUGAUCACCCGGAAAUGAUGCUCGUUUCAACCAAACUUACCAGUGAAAAUUAUGGCACUUGGUGUCGUUCCAUGUCAAUUGCACUCAGUGCAAAGAACAAAUCAGGGUUUGUUGAUGGCAGUGUUGAACAACCAUCUACGAAGACAAAGCCCACAGAAUCUGCUCUUUGGCAACGGUGCAACGACAUGAUCCUUAUGUGGAUUAUCAAUACACUUUCCAGUGACCUGGCCACCAGUGUGGUGUACAUGACGACAACCAAAGAUGUUUGGGAUGAUAUUCGAGAACGUUUUUCUCAACAAAACGUGUCUCAUCUCUUUGAAAUCCAACGUGAACUUGCACGUCUUACACAGAGUCAACAACCUAUCAACGUGUAUUUCACCAAGCUUAAAGGUUUGUGGGAUGAGAUGGAUUCCUACCAAACUUUAAAGCCGUGUUCUUGCGGGGCUCUUCAAUCUAAUAACGAACAGGUGGAGAGAACCAAGGUUUUGCAGAUUUUAAUGGGGUUAGACGACUCGUAUUCUGCGAUUCGUGGGCAGAUCUUACUUAUUCAACCAUUGCCUUCGAUUCGAUCUGUCUAUUCCAUGUUGACACAAGAAGAGAAGCAGAGAGGCAUGGCUGUUAGGCCUCGCCUCGUUGAACCUGCAUCUAUGGCUGUUCAAACGAGCCAUGGCAACAAUGGCAACCAUGGAAAAGGAAGAUCAUCCGAGAGGAAGCCACUGCAUUGCUCAUACUGCGAUAAGGAUCAUCACGUUAUUGAAACGUGUUGGAAGCUCCAUGGCUAUCCACCGGGACACCGUCUUCAUGGUAAGUCCAGUAGUUCGAGUGGUUCUGGUGGGCGCUCCACCGCUGCACCGAGCGGCAAACCAGCUGUCAACAAUGUGGCCUCCACCGUUGCACUGUCCAUGCCCAACCUCACCACCGACCAAUUUCAGCAACUCUUAUCCAUGAUGAGUCAAAAGAUGGGUCUUGAUUCCAAGGCUAAUCUAGCAGGUGGGCCUCCUUCUUUCCAAUGGGUUAUAGACAGUGGUGCCACUGACCACAUAUCUAGUCUCCCAUUGACUAAUGCAACCUCAAAUCCUCAUCUACCACCUAUGGCAUUACCUAAUGGGACUCGGGUUCCUAUCAAUUCUAUUGGCACAUACAAUUUUGGUUCCCAAAUAUCUCUUUCUAAAGUGCUUGGCAUAGCUUCUUUUUUGAUCAACUUAAUUUUCGUUAGUCGGAUCACUCGAUCGUUGAGAUGCUCAAUAACCUUUUAUCCUGAUUUUUUUAUUUUACAGGACCUGGAGACGAGGACGAUGAUUGGUUGGGGGCGACAACAUAAUGGACUUUAUUAUUUGAUGGACUCCAAAGGGCGGACAUCACCUACAACUACCAAGGUUUUUUCCGUCACGUGGCACCGACGACUUGGUCAUCCUUCACCCUUGAGACUCCAACUCUUAGCUAAACAUUUUCCUGAAAGUUCAUUUUCUGAAAAUAAACCUUGUGACAUUUGCCCUUUGGCAAAACAAACUCGAUUGUCUUUUGGAUUAAGUCAUAUUAAUACUAAGCAUGCUUUUGAACUUAUACAUUGUGAUAUUUGGGGUCCCCAUAGAGUAGCAUCCUGUUCGGGUGCUCCUUAUUUCCUUACUAUUGUUGAUGAUUUUACUCGUUGCACUUGGGUUUAUCUCAUGCGUCAUAAAUCAGACACUCAAUCUUUGCUUAAAUCUUUCAUUGCCUAUGCUGAAACACAAUGUCACUACAAAAUUAAAACCAUUAGAACUGACAAUGGCGGCGAAUUUGUUUCUAUGAUUCCUUUCUUUAAUGAUCAUGGCAUACUUUUUCAACGCUCUUGUGUUUCCACCCCUCAACAAAAUGGGGUUGUGGAGCGCAAGCAUAUACAUAUUCUUCAAACUGCACGAGCUUUGCAUUUUCAGUCACAUAUUCCCUUGCACUUUUGGGAUGAAUGCAUUUUCACAUCCAUUUGCCUAAUUAACCGCAUUCCCACCCCUCUCUUAUCGGGUCUUACGCCUUAUGAGAAAUUAUUUGGCCACCCUCCUUCAUAUACCCAUUUACGCACUUUUGGGUGUUUAGCAUAUGCCACUAAUCUUCACCCCCACCAUAAGUUUGAUGCUCGGGCUAAGAAAUGUGUUUUCAUUGGGUAUCUUUUUGGCCAAAAAGCUUACAAAUUAUAUGAUCUUCAUUCCAAACAAAUUUUUACUAGUCGAGAUGUCACAUUUCAUGAGAAUAUUUUUCCAUUCCACCCAAAUCCUCACCCCUCAACAGUUACCCCGCACCCACAUACUGACCCAAACAAUGUCCCCAUCCCUUCCCACAUAGACCACCCCACUACCGACCCGGGCCUUUCUCCUGGCCCAGCACUAGUCCCACAAAUACCCACCUCUGCCACUGACGGGCUUGACCAAGUCUCAGUUCUUCCUGAUGGGCCUGCUCUCUCUCUGGACCCGUGUCCACCAUUUGCCCAGCCUUCCGCUGCAUCUCCUGCUCCUUUGCGCCAUUCCAGUCGCAUUCAAGUUCCGCCGACCAAGCUCCAUGAUUAUGUUUGUCCGACUAUUCCGUUGCCCCCCGCCAACUCCUCGCCUUCCAGUCCUCGUACAAGGUAUCAUCUUUCUAAUUAUUUGUCCUAUCAAGGGCUCUCUCCCAAGUAUCAAUCCUUCAUUGCACAAUUGUCUACUGUUUUGGAGCCUAACAGUUAUACAGAAGCUGCCAAACAUCCCCAUUGGUGCAAGGCCAUGGACGAGGAACUCCAGGCGUUUCAGGCCAAUGACACUUGGACACUUUCUCCUCUCCCUUCCGGGAAGGUACCAAUUGGCUGUCGGUGGGUUUAUAAAAUCAAAAGAAAAUCUGAUGGGAGUAUUGAGCGUUACAAAGCUCGGUUGGUUGCUAAAGGUUACACCCAAUUAGAAGGUAUUGACUAUCAUGAUACCUUUUCUCCCACGGCCAAGCUUGUCACUUUCCGCUGCUUACUUGCUCUUGCUGCUACUCACUCAUGGUCACUUCAUCAACUUGAUGUCCAUAACGCAUUCCUUCAUGGUGAUCUCAUGGAGGAAAUCUACAUGCUUCCCCCGCCUGGUCUUCGGCGACAGGGGGAGAAUUUGGUGCGUCGCCUUAAUAAGUCGAUUUAUGGGUUGAAGCAAGCUUCUUGGCAAUGGUUUUUCAAGUUCUCACAAGCUAUUCGAUCAGCUAGUUAUGUUCAAUCUAAAACAGACUACUCACUUUUCACUAAAAGAAGAGGGAAGUCAUUUACUGUGCUUCUCAUCUAUGUGGAUGACAUACUGAUAACGGGGAAUGACUUGAAAGCAAUUGAUGAUCUCAAAUCCUUUUUGAAUACCAAGUUUCGUAUCAAAGAUCUUGGUAAUUUGAAAUAUUUUUUGGGAAUUGAGGUGGCACGAUCGAAACAAGGUAUUUUCAUUUCACAAAGAAAGUAUUUAUUGGAUAUCCUAAAUGAUGUUGGUUUUCUAGGAUCACGGCCUGCAAGCUUUCCUAUGGAACAAAAUCUCAAAUUACUCCCUGAUGAUGGGCAUGCAUUGGAUGAUCCAGUCAAGUACAGAAGAUUGAUUGGUCGGUUGAUAUAUCUCACUAUAACCCGACCGGAUAUUACAUAUUCAGUUCAUUUAUGGAGUAGAUUCAUGCAAUCACCUCAAAAGUCUCAUUAUGAAGCAACUUUACGCAUCUUAAAGUAUUUGAAAGGCACACCAGGGCAAGGCAUGAUGUUUCCAUCUCAAAAUUCAUUGAAGUUAAAGGCAUAUUGUGAUUCCGAUUGGGCAGGAUGUCCUACCACUCGGCGUUCCACUACUGGUUAUUGUGUUUUCCUUGGAAAUAGUCUUAUUUCAUGGAAAAGCAAAUGAUAGAAAACUGUAUCCUUAUCUUCUGCUGAAGCUGAAUAUAGAUCCAUGGCAGCAGCAUGUUGUGAGCUUGCGUGGCUCCAAAGCCUUUUUCGAGAUCUUCAAGUUCAAGACCAAGGGUCGGCUACCUUGUUAUGCGACAAUCAAGCCGCUCUCCAUAUUGCUGCAAAUCCGGUAUUUCACGAGCGAACAAGGCACAUUGAGAUUGAUUGUCAUUUUGUUCGAGAUAAGAUUAUGGAAGGAAAAAUUGUGACGGGAUUUGUUCCUUCCAUAUCACAACUUGCUGAUUUGUUCACUAAAGCUCUUGGGAAGGAAAUAUUUCAUUCUUUGCUAGGCAAGUUGGGAGUUCGAAACAUUCACUCACCAACUUGAGGGGGAGUGUUGAGAAAGUCAAGGAUCAUCAUCAAGGUACUUGCCAUAUAUAUUGUAAUUAAUUAUAUUCCUAUUUUGUAUUAUGAGCUGUCUAUUAGUAGCUAGUUUAAAGGAAUUGAUUGUAAAUAUAUGACUACAUAUAGUAGUAUUGUAAAGACAAUUUCAAUUAAUGAGAAUCGGUGAAUUACCACCUUCCAAAAUUUACAAAGUAUAAAAUCCUUGUUAAGAUAUUCCCUCAUUUUGAUGAAAGAAUUGGUCAUCACCGAAGACAUGUUCACAUAAAUCAAAGGCCAAGACAUUGAAAUUGUUCUGAGGGGCAAUGCAGCUGGCCUCGUUGUUCUGCCUGUGUUUGGCAAGAAACAAGAGAUAUGCUUCUGCUGUCACAUAAGUAUAAAGUACAAGAUGUAGUGUGAGCUUGUUCUGUUACUUUUUAAUAUUUUGAUGUUGCAAGUUUUUAAUCGUAAAAGGUAGAUAACAAAGACAUAUUUGCAAUCAAAAUUUUCACUGUUUUUUAUUCGUCUUUUCGAUACAAGAAUCAACAUUAUUCAUUACCAGAAGGACAUAUUCGCGAACAAAUUUUCGUAAGUACGGAAUUUGACACAAAGUACAAAUCAUAAACUACGAAAAACAGAAUUGUUUGGUGAUCCAAGCAACACUAAGGGCUGGUUUGGUAUUGCUGUGCUUUGAAAAAAAGUUGCUGUGAGAAUAAGCGGCUGUGCUGUGAGAAUAAGCGGCUGUGAAAUAAAGCCAGUAGAGUGUUUGGUAAACUUUUUUGUGAAAGUGCUUUUGGAAAAAAAAGCAGGAUGAUAGUGUGUCUUUUCAUUAAAGGAGCACUGUAGCUCCAUGUGUUUUGAAAAAACUGGCUUUUUUUCAAAGCAGCAAAUAGCAGCUUCAGCUUUUCCUUUGAUUUUCAGCUUAUUCUCACAGCAGCUUCCAAAAUAAGCCCUUUUUUUCAGUUUACCAAACACAAAAAUGACCCUCAGCUUUUUUUCACAGUGGCUUUUUUUAAAAUCACCUCAAUCCCAAACGGGGCCUAAAUCAAACAGUUUUAUUUAAUCGAGCUUCAUUUUACUGUGUCUUCACUUUUUUAGGCUUUGGUUCCUAGCUCUUUCUUUUACGGUUUCUCCUCUUCUGUUUAAUAUCAUGAACAUUUACUCUGUUAUAUCUUUGAUUUUUCUGGAUGAAGACUUCCUAGUCAAGCAAAACGACGACAAAUCUGAUGGAGAUAUUUUCCACAACAUUAAAGCCGCCACCGCAUCAAUACAAGCUGAGUGGGAGAAUCCCUUCGUAUUCCGGUGACCUACGGCAUGUUAAAUCCAUGGACAUGUCGAGUUCCACCAGAGUGCGAAACUUACUUUCCAUUCGCUUUUUGAAUCUCUCAAAUAAUCAGCUCGUCGGUAGGAUCUCAAUGGGUACUCAGCUUUCGACAUUUCCAAUAGCUUCCGUUACAGGAAACAAAGGAUUAUGGAGUCCACCUUUUAACGGUGGAUACAAAGCAGAAUUGUCAUCACCACCAACAUUCACUUGUCAUCACCACCAAACAUUGAAUGGACGCCUUCCAAAUUCUGGACAUCGUCAUGAGAUACUUGCGAUCUUUAUGUUUGAAUUUGUUAAGACCUCUCUCCGUAUACUUUCCUCAUUUAUCAAGCACAAAAAAAAAAUAUGAAAACCAAAGUCAAAAUGAAAUGGUUAUCAUGAAAUGCUUUAAUCCACUUGUAGAAUUAAACACAAUUUCAUUAAUUAUCCCACCUGUAGCCUUGUAAAAGAGAUACUUAAGCAUGGUUUGAAAGUGUUUUUAAAAUAAUUGAAAUCGCUUUUAAAGCAAAUGUUAUUAAGUUUUAAAACCAUUUGAAGUGCUUUUUGGAUCGAAGAAGCACCACUUCAAAUGUUUUUUCCAAGAUUCACUUGCGUUUUUACUAAAAAUUGAUUCCAAAAAUAUUUUUACUAAAAUGACUUUCGGUUAUUUUAAAAAUACUUUCAAACAAGUUAUUAAAUAAAAUCAAGAGGAUAAUGCAUAUAUCUGAACGUAGGGAUUACACUCCCUUGCAUGAAGGUUUAGCCCCUCUCUUGUCAACAUUGAAAAACACAACCCACAAUUUAAACCCCACAAGGAAUAUGGGGAAAGACUUUGAAGUCAACAAGUCAAGCAAACCACAAAUUUGGUAGAAACCAUCACCACCUUUUUCUUAGCGUCUCUAAGAGCCAUACAUACACAUGUUAAUCCAUUAAGUCACUUUAGUUAUUUAGAAUCCGUUUGAUAAUUAUUAUUUGUGUUUUUGUAUUUUUAUUUUUUAAAAUUAAAAGUAGUUACUAAAUAAGUUUUUAAUUUAAAAAAAAAGAUAAACAAAAUGGUUAUUAAACAACCUAUUGGAGCAUGGAAAUUAUUUUAUAUUUUGUUUGUAGUUUUCACUUUUUUGUACUUGAGAUAAGGGAAAAUGGGAGAUGAAAUGGUUAUACAUGUAGAUGUUGUGCAGUGCAAAACUAAAAUUCAAAUUACAACCACAUCACAACAAAUCACAGUUCAAUAAAAUGGGGUAUUGUGUGAAAAUUAAAAUGUGGCCCUUUCACUCACAAGACUUUUUUUUGUGUGUUUAAAAGAUUUUUUUUUCUUCUAUGGCAUAUUUAUAGAAGUACAAAAUUUAGUCUGAAAGUCAACUUUGUAACACAAUAUCUUCUACUGAAUAAUAGAUAUAGAAGAAUUUAAAGGAAGACAUAUGUUAAAGAAAUGAAGUUUUUAACCAAGAAAAAAAUAUAUAAAAAGAUACAGUAUUUCUAAAACAAAAAACCAUUUGGGUAUUUUUCAAAUUUGUACUUAGUUAAGUUAUGCAUAUAUAGUUUUUUUUUGGAAUAUAUAAAACUGAAAUAUGUAUAUAUAUAUAUAUAUUAUAUGGAAGCUAAUCUAAAGUAUUUGUUCAAUUUAUCCAGUUAGUAACAUCACCUUAAUCGCUUUUGUAGAAUGCCGCUUCCAACCAAAUAAAUUAAAGGAAAACUAAUGAAAAGGGUUUGAAAACUUUGAGUUUUAACGAUAAGAACAAAAUAAAGGGUAAAAUGAAUAGUACCAUGAUUGACUUUUUAAUGUAAAAAUGUGGUUUUUCGUUAAAGUGAACAGUACCGGGAACUUUUCGUUAAAAUUCCCAUAAAUUAAACAUGAUUUCAUUAAUUACCCCACUUGUAGCCUUGUAAAAGAGAGACUUAGUACAGAUUUGGUACUAAUGUGCUUUCAUAAAAAAUGGGUAUAAAAAAAAGCUGAGCUAAAAAAGGUGUUUGGUAAACACUUAAAUACAACUUAUUUUCAUAGUUUUGAUGAGGGAAAAAAAUCUAAAAAUGUAAAGUAGCAAAAAUGAGCUUAUUCUCACGGCACAUCAGAAACAAUUUUUUUUUUCAAAGCACAACAAUAUCACCAGCCCUUAGGCUUUGUUUGGAAGUGCUUUUAAAAUUAUUGAAGACGCUUUUAGAGAAUGUUAUUGGGUCCUAAAAAUGCUUGAAGUGGUUUGUAGAAGAAACAUCAUUUCAAGUAAUUUUCCAAGAUUCACUUUUUUUUUUUACUAAAGAUUGGUUCUAAAUUUUUUUUACUUCUAAAAAUGUUUUUAAUCGUUUUAAAAAUAGUUUCAAACUAGCUUUUAUAUGAAUCUAGGAGUAUAACGCAUAUCUGAACGUGGGGUAUACACUGUUUCGUGAAGUUUUAGCCCCUCCGUAGGGGCAAAAUUUUACCCUCUCUUUUCCACUCAAUAGUCUGUCAACAUUGAAUAAAACAACCUAUAGUUCAAACCCCACAAGGGUGGGGAAAGACUUUAAAGUCAUCAAGUCAAGCAAACCACAAAAUUAUACCCCUGUACAUACAUUACCAUCACCACGUUUUCUGUAGUAUGGCUCGCUUAAGUUUCCGCCAUUUUGUCAAACAAUUGCUCGAAUAAUCCAAAUAGACGGUACCUGGUAGGAAAAGUGGGAUAGCCAUGCGGCAUCAUUGUACUGGUGUGCUUUGAUAUUUGUUUGAUACUCAUUUGUAGUGUGUGACCAGAGUACGGGGUAGUACAUUACGUGUCACUAUAUAAGUGGUGAGAUAUUUGUGUUUAAAAAUUAACAACUUAAAAAAUAAAAUUUCUCACCACUUAAAUAAUAACAUAUAGUAUACCACUUAUAUUCUGAGCAUAAUAAAAAAUUUCUGAUGCUUAUGAAACUCCACAAUAAAGGCCAAUGAUGUAGAUAUCUACACAAAUAAAUAAGUUAGGUGAUUUUUACACUACAUGUAAACGCAUAUGUGCAUUCCCCAUGAAGGAUGCAAGUAUUAUCUUUGUUUUCGUAUGCAUCUUUCUUUCCAACUGUUGGGAUUAGGAUUCAACGAUGAUAAAGAGUCACGUGGACUAAAAUCUUAUAUGAAAUCUUGCUAAUUAUUUCUCAAUUUUACACGGGUCAUACCCGAAAUAUUUGUCGGUAUACACUCCUUAAACAAAUAUGUAAAUAUUAGUUUAGUUAUGUAGACAAUACAUAGUAGUUGAUGUGUGAGUGAUGUGCCAUAAUAUGAAUCCAGAUUUCUCCGGAUUUAAAAAAACUGAGCCUAAGGAUCAAAUGAUCCAGGCCAUUGAAAUUUGAUCUAAUUGCUACAAUUAUUAUAAUUUUUAGAGGGAUCCCCUGUUUGUAGCUGUUUGAUCAAAUUUCAAGGGCCCGAAUCAUUUGAUCCUUAGGCUUAGUUUUUUUAGAUCCGAAGAGGAUCUGGGUUCCCAUAAUAUUUCUCAAUAUGCUAACAAGUAAUAAAAUAUUGAGAAGAAUAAAAUCUAGCCCUUGUACCAUUGGAGAUGGAAAAUUAUAGCUAUGCUCUAUUCAAUUUUUUUUUUUAAACAAACUAUAUUAUCUACACUAAAGGGCUGAGAGAGUAAGCUAAGUCUCGUAAUGGGCUAACAAUAAUGAGGUUCAAAUUCGCAUUUGACAAGAAUCGAACAUAAGACUUCUGACUUACAAGUAAAGAAGAAUAUUACUAAACCCGUACAGUACUACUAAGUAUCAACUAUUGGAGAUGGCCUAAUGUUUGGUUGUAUAUUUAGGAGCGGGAGCUAAAUAUAUGACUACCAAGGAGUUCGAAAACGCUGUAAUUUCGACAACUAAAAACGAAAUGGUAAUCAUGAAAAUGCAUUUUAUUACUACUAACCUCUGCGAGAACACAAAUUUGUGAAGAUUGAGAAUCAUGAAAAGCCAUACCAAGGAUCACAAUGCAAUACCGUUUAAGCCACCAAAAAGCAUUUGUCUAUAUACAACAAAAUUUCGAUGAGACGUGAUGGAUUUUACACCUACGGAUCAAUGCUGACAUUGCUUGGUGCGUGAACAAGACGACCAUUUUGGAGCAGGGUGCUUGGAAAGGGGGCUCGACAGUUGGUAAUGUGAGAUUUCAAUCGCGUUAUGUUGGGGUGAGCGCUUCUACAUCGGUGGCAUCGAAGCUCCAUAGACGACAGGCUAUCAUCAUCUUUUAGCUUUGCUUUUCCAUCACUAGUGACAUCCUCUACUACAUCCAUGGAGUCUCGAAAGAAAGCAGUGUUGAAGGAGUUCCACUGUUUCUUGUUCUUCAAAUGUGUUGAAUCGAAAUCCUGGCUAAUAAAUUGCAGAUGCAGCUGUUGCACUGAGGGAUCCUACAAGAGAUGAUAUCCCGAAAAUUCAAGUUUAUUAUUUACAUCUAGUCUGAUGUAUUAAUACUAACCUCACCAGUCCUUUAGCAAAAAGGAUUUCGAAAGGCAAUGUUGGAGAAAACGAAUAUAACAGCAAGCUCUAAGAAAAGUAGCAUGUGUACCGAGUGAUAUUCAAGACGGAAGACCAAAGAUGAAUCAUCAUGCAAGUUGGAAUUGAGGUCGGGUCACCUGUGUUGUGCAAGAGGCGGAGUAAAUGGUACUACAUAGCUAAGUAUAUAAUCCUUAUUAAGAUAGUCCCUCAUUUUGAUGAAAGAAUUGGUCCUCACCGAAGAAUGUUCACAUAAAUCAAAGGCCGAGACGUUGAAAUUGUUAUGAGGGGCAAUGUAGCUGGCCUCCUUGUUCUGCCUGUGUAUGGCAAGAAAUAAGACAUUUGCUUCUGCUGUCACAUAAAUAUAAAGUAUGAGAUGUAGUGUGAGCUUGUUCUGUUACUUUUUGAUAUUUUAAUGUUGCAAGUUUUUAAUUGUAAAAGGUAGAUAAGAACGACAUAUUUGCGAUCAAAUUUUUCACUGUUUUUUAUUCUUCUUUUCGAUACAGGAAUCAACAUUACUCAUUAUCAGAAGGACAUAUUCGCCAACAAAUUUUCGUAAGUACGGAAUUUGACACAAAGUACAAAUCAUAAACUACGAAAAACAGAAUUGUUUGGUGAUCCAAGCAACACUAAAUCAAACAGUUUUAUUUAAUCGAGCUUCAUUUGACUGUGUCUUCACUUUUUUUGGCUUUGGUUCUUAGCUCUUUCUUUUACGGUUUCUUCUUUUUUGUUUGUAUUGCUCUGUUUGUUUGAUAUCAUGAACAUUUACUCUGUUAUAGCUUUGAUUAUUCUAGAUGAAAACUUCCUAGUCAAACUAAACGACGAAAAGCCUGAUGGAGAUAUUUUCCACAACAUUAAAGCUGCCACUGCAUCAAUACAAGCUGAGUGGGGGAAUCCCUUUGUAUUCCGGUGACCUACGACAUGUUAAAUCUUUGGACAUGUCAAGUUCCACCAGAGUGUGCGAAACUUACUUUCCUUUUGCUUUUUGAAUCUCUCAAAUAAUCAGCUCGUCGGCAGGAUCUCAACGGGUACUCAGCACAUUUCCAAUAGCUUCCGUUACAAGAAACAAAGGAUUAUGGAGUCCACCUUUUAACGGUGGAUACAAAGCAAAAUUGUCAUCACCACCAACAUUGAAUGGACGCCUUCCAAAUUCUGGACAUUGUCAUGAGAUACUUGCGAUCUUUAUGUUUGAAUUUGUUAAUACCUCUCUCCGUAUACUUUUCUCAUAUAUCAAGCACAAAAAAGUGAAAGCAAAAGUCAAAAUGAAAUGGUUAUCAUGAAAUGCUUUAAUCCACUUGUAGAAUUAAACACAAUUUCAUUAAUUACCUCACCUGUAGCCUUGUAAAAGACACUUAAUCAUAGUUUGAAAGUGCUUUUAAAAUAACUGAAAGCGCUUUUAAAGAAAAUAUUUUUAGGUUUCAAAAAUACUUGAAGUGCUUUUUGGAUCGAAGAAGCACCACUUCAAGUACUUUUUCAAAAAUUCACUUACGUUUUUACAAAUGAUUAAUUCCAAAAAUAUUUUUACCUAAAAGACUUUCAGUUAUUUUAAAAAUACUUUCAAACAAGUUAUUAAUUAAAAUCGAGAAGAUAAUGCAUGAGUUUGAACGUGGGGAACACACUCCCUUGCGUGAAGUUUUAGCCCCUCUCUUGUCAACAUUGAAAAAACAACCCACAAUUUAAACCCCACAAGGAAUAUGGGGAAAGACUAUGAAGUCAACAAGUCAAGCAAACCUCAAAAUUGGUACGUUUUUCUUAGCGUCUCUAAGAGCCGUACAUACACACGUCAAUCCAUUUGAGUCACUUCAGUUAUUUAGAAUCCGCUUGAUAGUAAUUAUUAUUUGUACUUAAUUAAGUUGUGCAUAUAUAAUUUUUUUUGGAAUAUAUAAAACUGAAAUAUAUAUAUAUAUAUAUUAUAUUGGAAGCUAAUCUAAAGUAUUUGUUCAAUUUAUCCAGUUAGUAACAUCACUUUAAGCGCUUUUGUAGAAUGCCGCUUCCAACCAAAAAAAUUAAACAUGAUUUCUUAAUUACCCCAUUUGUAGCCUUGUAAAAGAGAGACAUAGAUUUUGUUUGGAAGUGCUUUUAAAAUUAUUGAAAGCACUUUUAGAGAAUGUUAUUGGGUCCUAAAAAUACUUGAAGUGCUUUGUAGAAGAAGCAUUACUUCAAGUGAUUUUCCAAGAUUCACUUUUAUUUUUACUAAAGAUUAGUUCUAAAAACAUUUUUUUUUCUUCUAAAAAUGCUUUUAAUCGUUUUAAAAACAGUUUCAAACUAGCUCUUAUUUGAAUCUAGGAGUAUAACACAUAUCUGAACGUGGGGUAUACACUGUUUCGUGAAGUUUUAGCCCCUCUGUUGGGGUGAAAUUUUACCCUCUCUUUUCCACUCAACAGUCUGUCAACAUUGAAUAAAACAACCUACAGUUUAAACCCCACAAGGGAUAUGGGGAAAGACUUUGAAGUCAACAAGUCAAACAAACCACAAAAUUAUACCCCCCCUAUACAUACAUUACCAUCACCACGUUUUCUGUAGUAUGGCUCGCUUAAGUUACCAAACGAAUUUUCAAUUUUUGAAAAAAAUAAAAAAUGAAAAAUGAAAAUAGAAUGAUUAAUAAACGGCUUUUUGGAGCUUGAAAGUCGUUUUGUUUGUUUGUUUGUUUUUUUUUUGUGUGUUGAAAUUUGUUGAUAAUCAUUUCUUUUGCUCGUCAUCAUUUUUCUCUUUCAUCUUACAAAAAACCAAAAUAUCUAUUUACGGUAUUCUGUGUGGCAUGGUUUGAAGCGUGUUUUACCUAUUCUGAAUAAUAAUAAUUGUUGAAUUAUUAGUGAUGGGAGGUCAGUUUUCUUUUAACUCAACAAAUGAUCGGAUGAGCCUAUUAUUAGCUAUUCUUUAUCUUCAAUCAUUCCAUCUAAAGUUCUUCCUUGAGUUUCAAAAGUUAUUGAAGCACAAAAUUAGUUUUUGUCAGAUUAUUUUAUUAAUUUAUUUCCUUCCGUGGUGCAACAAGAUUUACACCAAUGUUUAGUGUAGUUGUAGUUAGGCACUAACUCAUUCAAGUGUGUUUCUAUGGAAGCUAAUCUAAAUUAUUUGUUCAAUUUAUCCGGUUAGUAACAUCACUUCAAGUGCUUUUUGUAGAAUGCACUCAUAGAAUGCCGCUUUUGACCAAAAAAUUAAACAUGAUUUCCUUAAUUACCCCCUUGUAGUCUUGUAAAAGAGAGACUUAGGCCUUGUUUUGAAGUACUUUUAAAAUUAUUGAAAACGUUUUUAGAAAAAAAUGUUUUAGGGUCUCAACAACAAUUGAAGUGUUUUGUGGAGGAAGCAUCACUUCAAGUGAUUUUUCAAUAUUCACUUUUAUUUUUACUAGAGAUUAGUUCUAAAAUAUUUUCUCUAAAAAUGUAUUUAAUCAUUUUAAAAAUAUUUUCAAACAAAUUUUUAUAUGAAACUAGGAGUAUAACGCAUGUAUCUGAACGUGGAGUUCACUGUUUCGUGAAGUUUCUCUCUUUCCACCCAAUAGUCUGUCAACAUUGGAUAAAACAACUUAUACUUUGAAGUCAACAAGUCAAGCAAACCAUAAAAUUACACCCGCUAUACCUAUACAUACAUUAUCAUCACCACGUUUUCCUUAGUAUGGCUUGCCUAAGUUAUUCAAGAGUCGUUUGAUAACCUUCCUUUUAUUUUUAAACUGAAAAUAGUUAGUAAAUAAAAUUUUAUUUUUGAAAAAAAUAAAAACGAAUUGAUUAUUAAACAACAUUUUGGAACUUGAAAGUCGUUUCGUUUUUUUUUUGUGUUGAAAUUCGUUUGAUAAUUAUUUUUUUGCUCGUCAGUGUUUUCCUCUUUUGCCCUUUAAAAACCAAAAUAUCUAUUUACGAUCUUCUAUGUGGCAAGGUUUGAAGUGUGUUUUGCAUAUUCUGAAUAGUAAUAGUCAUUGAAUUAUUGAUGAUGAGUGGUCAUAGUACUUUUGGUAUAUGCAUAGCUUACAUUUUGAUUUUUGAUUUUUGAUUUUAUUUUUUUUGGUCAAUUGACGCGUGAGAACUAUAAUUUGGACUAUGAAGAACUUUAUAAAAUAUAGGACAAUUGUUUUACACAUUCCGAUAAACAAAGUGCAUAAACACACGUUCACAGUUCAACUUCAUCAUGGUUUCAGCUGAGUUUAGAUAGUAAUUUCUGUUUGUAUUGCCUUAGUGAGUCCAUAGCCACUGGAAAAUGAAGAUAGGAAAGCAACACAAUCAGACUUGAACGCUAUGUUGUCUUAUACAAAUUUCUAGAAAUCAAUUAAACUUUAUCAGAAAUCAUGAAUUGAGACAACCAAGACUUCAAAAUCAACGUCAACCCGUAAAGCCAAGAGAAAUUUUUUGAAAUGUUAUAUGAACUUAUAAACCUUCUUCAAUUUGUUAUAUAUGAACUAAAAUUUCAAGCGAUUUAUUAUACCAACUUUCUGAAUCAUUAAUUUCUCAUCUAACUCUAACUUCGUUAUGUUUCCUUCAAAAUAACUCAUAUGCAAGGCACCCAUAACUUAUGUUCAGGAGUAAUAUUUCAGACAUUUCAACCAGUGUCGCCCUCAUAUCUGCCCUUUGCAUUUAAUAACCACAAAAGGCAUCAAAAUGCCUUUCAUUCGUCUCUGUUUUUUAGGCACCGAAAGGCAAAGGCAUUUUACCUUUCUUUUUUUUUAGUCUGUUUUCUGUUUGCUGUGAACAUUCCCUUUCAUUUGAACCACAUUAUUACUAACAUUCCUUUUCAUUUGAACCACAUUAUUACUAGUUCAUUAUAAUAUUAAAUUCACAAUUUUUCUUUAAUAUUAAUAAUAUCAUUUGUUCAAAAACAAAAAACCCAUAAGAGUAUAUUUCCAAAUUUAUUGGGGUCAAAGGAUCUCAAUGCACCUUUGUUGGCUCCACUAAUGAAAACAAGUCAUUGCAAAGUACGUGAUUUAUUUUAGAUAGAAAACUUAAUAGAAUUGGUAUGAGAAAUCGCUUAAAUAUUAAUUCAUAUGAUAAAUUAAAAAAAAAGUGUAAAAAUUCCUAUAACAUUUCAAAUUUUUUUCCUAAUCUAACAAUUCUACAGUGUCAUAUAUAAAUCCAAGUAUAUUAAUUAGUAUCUUUCAUGCGACAAAUUUCCACUUGCCACAUUGCCUAAAGUAGUACUACAAUUACUCUUAAGCAAUAAUAUUUCGCUAUUGAAAAAACAACCCACAAUUUAAGCCCCACAAGGAAUAUGGGGAAAGACUUUGAAGUUAACAAGUCAGGCAAACCAUAGAUUUGGUAGAAAUCAUCACCACGUUUUUCUUAGCGUCUCUAAGAGCCAUACAUACACACGUCAAUCCGUUUGAGUCGCUUCGGUUAUUUAGAAUCCGUCUGAUAAUUAUUAUUUUUUUAUUUUUUAAAAUUAAAAGUAUUUUCUAAAUAAGUUUUAAAUUUUCUUUAAAAAAUGAUAAACGGAAAAUAAAAACGAAAUAAUUAUUAAACAGCCUACUUGAGCUUGGAAAUUAUUUUAUUUUUUUGUUUGUAGUUUUCACUAUUUUGUACUUGAGAUAAGGGAAAAUGGGAGAUGAAAUGGUUAUACAUGUAGAUGUUGUGCAAUUGGUUGUGCGGAACUAAAGUUCAAAUUACAACCACAUCACAACAAAUCACAGUUCAAUAAAAUGGGACCCCCACAGCCGACACUGACUAAGACCAAAUUGGUCUUUGGCUCACACGCCAUUACACAUUCUAUAAUUACAAAGAAGAAUAACUAGGGACCUGCCUAAGCUGUUCCUUCCUUACAUUUGUGUCACACAUCAGCAACAACCUCCGAUGAAAACUCCUCUGCUUUCAUGGCUUUUCUUACUCCGCAUUUGCUAUGUUUCACUCACCUUCCAUACGUUUGUGGUCUCUACCCAAUGUCCCGGCGAUCAGCAAUCUUUGCUGCUAAAAUUGAAGGACAGCCUCACAUUUGACCCUGCAACGUCUCGAAAACUUGUGAAGUGGAACAAUGCCUCGGACUACUGCUCUUGGGAAGGAGUGUCCUGCAAACAGGGUUGUGUUUCGAAUCUGGACUUGAGCAACGAGGCGAUUACUGGGGGACUUGAUAAUUCCAGUCCUCUUUUCGGUCUGAAGUCGAUCGAGAACCUGAAUUUGGCUUACAACAACUUCAACUACACUCAGAUUCCUUCCGAGUUCAAGCAGCUAACAGGUUUGACCAAUCUGAACUUGUCGAAUGCUGGCUUUGCGGAGCAGGUUCCGAUUGAGAUUUCGCACUUGACGAGGUUGGUAACUCUUGAUUUGUCUACCCUCGUUAUUCAGUUGAAUCUUGAGAAGCCGAAUUUGAAAGUGCUCAUUCGGAACUUUUCUGAGCUUGUUAAACUUUAUCUUGAUGGCGUGAAUAUAUCAGCACAGGGGACUGAAUGGUGCCAAGCUAUAUCAUCUUCACUGCCAAAAUUGAGGGUGCUGAGCUUGUCCGCUUGUUCUCUUUCAGGCCCUAUUGAUAGUUCAUUACUGAAGCUUCAAUCGCUCUCGGUUAUUCGUUUAGAUUACAAUGAUUUCUCUAUUCAAGUUCCUGAGUUCUUCUCAAAGUUCCCAAAUUUGACUUCCUUGCACCUAAGCGAUUCUGGCUUAUAUGGUACAUUCCCAGAGAAGAUCUUCCAGGUACCUACACUACAGACUAUUGACUUAUCUUCGAAUCCACAGCUUCAGGGUUCCUUACCAGAAUUUCCAAAGAAUGCAUCUCUUCGGUCCUUGGUUCUAAGGAGGGCUAACUUUUCAGGGUUUCUACCGAACUCUAUUGGCAACCUCAAAAUGUUGUCCAACAUAGAUAUUUCGUGGUGCAAUUUCAUUGGAUCAAUCCCAAGGUCAACAGAACACCUUCAUCAAUUGGUUAAUUUUGACUUGCAAGGGAAUGAGUUCAAUGGUUCAGUUCCAUCCUUCAGUAUGGCAAAGAAUCUAACCUCGAUAUAUCUUUAUAACAAUCUACUUGAUGGGACUAUUCCGUCAUCUCUGUUUUCUCUUCCCAUGCUGCAACAUUUAGACCUUUCUAACAAUCUACUUGAUGGGACUAUUCCGUCAUCUCUGUUUUCUCUUCCCAUGCUGCAACAUUUAUACCUUUCUUACAAUCACUUCUCUGGCCAGUUACCUGAAUUUGGUAAUUUUUCUUCCCUACAAGUCCUUGAUUUGAGUAGCAAUAGUUUGGAAGGGCCUAUACCCAUGUCCAUCUUUAAUCUACGACAGCUUCAUUUUCUCUCACUUUCUUCAAACAACUUCAGUGGGUCCUUUCUGCUUAAUGAUAUUCAACAACUGAAAAAUCUCCAAGAACUUUAUCUUUCAUACAAUAGCUUGCUAAUUAAUCAUUACAGUUCCAAUUCCUCCUACUCCUGUCCUCAACUUCGCACAUUGAAAUUAGCUGCUGGAAAGUUGAGAACCUUUCCUGAUUUCUUGAGAAAUCAAUCAAUAUUAGAGGUUUUGGACCUAUCCCUAAACCAGAUCCAUGAAAUACCCAACUGGAUUUGGAGGCUUAGUACUCUUGGUGAACUAAAUCUUUCUUGCAACUCUCUGGUAAAUCUACCAGGUCCUUUCCUCAAUCUUUCUUUCUCUGUGCUUGACCUUCAUUCCAACCAGCUUCAGGGACCAAUUCCAAUGCUUCCACCAUAUGCCGGUUAUCUGGAUUACUCAAGAAAUAAUUUCAGCUCAAGCAUACCGGCAGAAAUUGGUGAUUUCCUUGUGAGCACUGUGUUCUUCUCUCUUGCAAGUAAUCACAUCCACGGGAUCAUUCCAGAAUCAGUAUGCAAGGCGACAUCUCUUGAGGUUCUUGAUCUGUCCAAUAAUUCCUUAAGUGGCAUGAUUCCCCAGUGCUUGACUGCAAGGAACGGGCCUCUUGCAGUACUUGAUUUAAGGAGAAACAAACUUUCUGGCACUCUUCCUGAUAAUUUUCCUGAGAACUGUAGUCUACAAACUCUAGACCUCAAUGGCAAUGUGAUUGGUGGUCAGUUCCCAAAAUCUCUAACCAACUGCACAAUGUUAGAGGUGUUAAACCUGGGAAACAAUCAGAUAACAGAUGUCUUUCCAUGCUCAUUGCAGAACAUAUCCAGCUUGCGUGUACUUGUCUUGCGUUUCAACAAAUUUUAUGAUAGCAUUGAAUGCCUCAAGACUAAAAGAGACUGGCCAAAGCUUCAAAUUAUUGACUUAGCUCGCAACAAUUUUACUGGCGAAAUACCAGGAAGUUUUUUGAAAACGUGGCAAGCAAUGAUGGCUGACAAAGAUGGUGCCGUGUCAAAGAUUAAUCACCUCCAAUUUCAAGUUUUAGUCAACGGCCAGGUGUACUAUCAGGAUACCGUAACAGUUACCACCAAAGGUCAAGAGAUGGAAUUGGCAAGGAUCUUAACAGUCUUCACCUCAAUUGACAUCUCCUGCAACAAUUUUAAUGGAUCAAUACCUGAGGAAGUGGGAAAGCUCACAUCACUUCAUGGCCUAAACUUGUCCAGUAAUGCUCUCACAGGCGCAAUCCCAUCAUCAUUAGGUAAUCUACGACAGCUUGAGUCCUUAGACCUUUCGGACAACAAAUUGAGCGGAACAAUUCCAUCACAACUUUCCAAACUUAAUUUCCUCUCAUUCCUAAAUCUGUCGAGCAAUCAACUUGUCGGGAAGAUUCCAACCGGCACUCAGAUUCAGUCUUUUUCAGCAGAUUCUUUCGCAGGCAAUAAAGGAUUAUAUGGGCCACCGUUAGAUGACGGAUCACCAAGGUUGCCACCAACAUUAGAAGGCAAACAUUCUAAUUCUGCGCACAGAAUUGAUUGGGAUCUUAUCAGUGUUGAAGUUGGAUUUAUUGUUGGCUUUGGAGUUGCGGUCGGGUCACUUGUGUUGUGCAAGAGAUGGAGUAAAUGGUAUUACAAAACAAUGUAUAAAAUCCUUGUUAAGAUAUUCCCUCAGCUUGAAGAUAGAAUUGGUCCUCACCGAAGACAUGUCCACAUAAAUCAGAGGUUCAGACGCUGAAGUUAAUGAUCAUGGGGACCAAUGGAGCUGGACCUCAAGCUAUGCCUGGGGAAUUUGAGAUCCAACAAAUAAGAGGUUUGCUUUUUGGUUUUACCUUUUAAAUUUGUGUAUGUUAUAGUUAUAUUUGUAAUAGUUUAUUGUGUAUCUUUAUGCCUUGUUUUCAAUAAACUUCCUCGUACCGUCGAGGUUCUUGAAGUUAGUGUAAAUUGAUAUACCCAAAAGAGUGUACCACAUGUAAUGUAUUAUUUGUUCGAAUUGUGUAGUACGAUGUCGAGACCAACUCCACCCAAAAGAGUGUACUACAAAGAAUAUCUUGACUUCUAAAUUGCGAUAUGUUUUAACAUCUUGCAAUUCAAUUUUAAACUCAUCAUAUCCAGUUUAUUUUUCACCUCAAUUUAUAAGAGAGCAAACCAGUGCUUUUUGUUUUAGAAUUUCCUCACCAACUUUUAUGUCUGAGAUCGCACCAAAAGGCAAAAGCCAACCCUCUCAGGUAACAAGAAGAAAUGAAAAACUCAACCGCUUUUACAAAAUCAGCAAACGACGGUUCAAUCGGUAUUCUCCCUUUCAUGUCAGAGCACAAUGAAAUACUCAUCUGCUUUUACAAGAGUUGAGUCACUCGCCCAAUUUCAACUGAUUUUAGGAUGAACCUCAACUUCAACUAUAGGACAAAAACUUCUAUCAUUUAAGACUUUAAGUUGGCAAAUGCGAAGUAUCGAUCGCGAUGAUUAGGUCUUCCAUAUUAACACUUAACUACUGAAAGAGAGAAUUAACACUUAAUAUGAUUUGAAUUGGGCAUGUUCAGUUACCCCAUCAAUUCUCCACAGAGCAGACUACGACAGUCACAAUUCCACGAUACCAUAGUUACAUACAAUACAUGAGUUUUUCGGAGAAUAUAUUUCUCUUGCUACCCAGAAAAUCAACAUGAGUAUACACAAACCAUUCUGUUUUUCUUCCACCUAUAACGGUAUGUAUAUAUGAUCGACUAUAUAUGGCCUUCGUUAGUCAAAAACUAAAAUAGGAGUAACAUGUAGAUUGCAUAUAUGCCUAGACUACUUCAAAGUGAAUUAGAGUCAAUCAAAUCAAAAACAAAAAAUAUGAACCUGUAACAGCAUAAAACAAGAACCCAAAUGAAUAGAAAUCCGGAGUACCAUACUACGUACUGAAAAUAGCAAUCUUGAGCCCACUGCGACAUUUCAUCGAAAACACUGUGUGCACAGAGAUAUACCUGACAAACGCGAACCAAAGGGCGAGUGGAGCGCAUCACAUGUUCACUGAAGGUAGACUUGCCGCUUCCAGGCGCACCCACCAAUAUUACUACGACAGGCUUUCCUUGUUUUUCUUCCACCGUCAAAAGGGCGUCCAGGUUUUAUGAUCACCGAAGGAGACGACGACUGAGAAUGGUAAAACGCGGCGUUUUGGAGAAAGGUCGUACCUUUGGCUGUUUCGUCGAUAUCCAUGUCCAUGUUUCGGAAGACUCUGCGAGGCACUUUUGAAUUAACGGCGGAAAAGCAACGGUUUCUUCUUCCGCUGGGCUGGAAGCCCCAAGCUUCUAUUGCCGGUGCCUGGUGCUUGCAUAAUGGGACACAUGUCACACAUCGUCGACCCGAAAAUUGACAAGAUCCGAUUCGAUUUGGAUUUUAUCCAUACAUUAGCCUCUUCGCAAUCACUCACGUGUAAACAAAAAGUAUUUUCUAAUCACAAUCCUUACGCGCCCUUUAAAGAUGGGUUUGCUUUAAUUAUUUUUCUAAUUGUUUAACAUCGUUAUUUCAUAAGAAAUUUGUGAGGACCUUUCCUUAUCAUGUUAGGCAUCAAAAUUUUCUUAUCCUUUUCUUUUUCAACUGUCUUUCUGUGAUAAUUUUUUCUAUAAUUGUGUUAAGCCCUCUGUAUUCCGGUGACCUACAACAUGUUAAAUUUAUAGAAAUUAUAAACUUGAUAAUUACGUUCAUAGUAAAAAGGCCUAUACAUACAAUAGUGUUUACUUGGUGUAUAAGUAAGGAUCUCUUCAAAUUAUGAAUACAAUCAUAACUAGAUUACAAUAUUAAUUGCUAAACCUUAAGAGAGACGAUUUCCUUGGACAAGACUCAUUCUCUAACAUCCCGGCAAACUGGACGGUCGAGAGGCGACAAGUUUGGAUCAUAGAAGAAGAAUCCAUGGUUUAGAUAGACCUUUUGUCAAGAGAUUUGCAGGUUGAUCCAAGGACUGGAUGAAAUGAACUUUGUGGGUACCAAGCUUAACAUGUUCACUAACAAAAUGAUAAUCUAACUCAAUAUGCUUUGUGCGAGCAUGAAACAGUCGGUUGGCUGCAAUAUACCUAGUACUAAGGUUAUCACAAAAGAGAUAGGUGGGCAAAGAGGCCUGAAACCGAAGUUCAUGAAGUAAGUAAGACACCCAAAGAGAUUCGAUACAGGUGUGAGCAAGAGCACGAUACUUAGACUCCGCACUACAGUAAGAAACAGUAGGACGUUUUGUAGAACUCCAUGAUAUGAGAUUCAAACCUAGAAAUAAAAGAUAGCUAGAUGUCGAUUGACGAAUGUCAGUACAAGCCCAAUUUGCAUCGGAAUAAAAAGUUGUUCAAAAUAUGGUUGCUCCUAUUUUACAGACGAAACUCAAAAAAAUACUAUUCCAUAACCUGUCCUAAAGUAUCCAAUUUACACUCAUAACGCUAGAAUUGAGAAAUUUUCAAAUUUGGAAUAAUUCAAUAGAGCUAGAGCUGAGCACUUAAAGUGCCAAUUAACAAUAAAUUAAAAAUCCCAGAUAAUCACCUAGGAAAAAGUAAAACUAUACUUUAAUAUAAAAUAAGAGAAAAGAAGUGCAAGGAAUGAAAAAGAAUAUGGAGUUAGAGUUACUUUGACACCAUCUACGGAGAAAGGCCAUUCAGAAAUGUAUUCCUUCAGACCUGUCUCCAGAACUAUGACGUCAUACUCUUCAUCCAUGCAAUCCAGCAGAGAAACCGGAUGAAUAUAGCGAGUAUUGUCUUUACAAUCCAGCAGAGAAACCGGAUGAAUAUAGUGAGUAUUGUGUAAAGACGGAUAUAACCUGUAUAAUAUCCAGUAAAGAUAGUUACACUAUGUUUGGAUGAUAGAAAUAAACUUGAAAUUUAAGGAAAAGUCGGAAUUUAUAAAUUGACAUACACCAAUUCCCUUGUUUGGAUUCAUAAACAUAGAAAUUUAGAAUUUUCAUGUGGAAAAAAAACUUGGAAUUUGGGACAUUCAAUUCCCAAGUUUAAAUUCCAUGUAAAUAUGUGUCAUUUUCCAAUUUCUAUGAUUGAGAGUUGAUAGACGCAUAUUUAUGCGACUUAGUUAACUAGUUUUCUUGCAUUUACGUUAUUAGUUCUUAGUUAUUUUAGUACUUUAAGCCAUUUUCGUGUGUUUGUAGGUCCAAAGGGCUAAGGUAGCAAGAAAGUGCAUUUUGGUGCAUUUUGGAGCAGUUUUGAGCUCGGAAUGGAUUACAUAUGAUAUGAGCAAGAUGGAUGGACGAAUUUGAAGACAAAAGAGGCUAAGAACAUGCUAAAAAUCUGGUGAAACAAAUACAAGUUGCAAUAAGGGAUAAAUUUCUAGAAGGAUUGGCCAAAACUUCACUCAAAACACAUCAAUGCCGUGGCUUUUACUUCCACCUCCACCAGAAAUUUGAGUAAUGAUGCAAUGCUUAACUCACCAUGACAUGUGAGUGGAUGAUGCAAUGCUUAGCUCACCAUGACAUGUGAGUGGAUGAUGCAAUGCUUAGCUAACCAUGACAUGUGAGUGGAUGACUCAAUACCUAACCCACCAACAAUUCCCACUCUUUGCCAUGCUCACCUACUCAAUUCCACCAACAUUUUGUGUUAAACAAGUCCAUCCUCUUCCUAUAAAUACCAUGGCAUCAACCUCAUUCAAAUCAUCCAGAAAUUAACCAUUCUCCAAGCCUUUCCUUGCCUCUCCUACAUAUCUAAACCCCUUCCCAUCCAUUCCUCCAAAUAACCAACCCUUCAACAUCAUUCCAACCUUGUUGUUGCGGCAAAGAGAAGGAGAAAAGUCCUUAGACGCACUUGCUAUCCAACAUGGAUCGUUGGAACGUUUAGGUGCUUUCUUUCCUUUGUUUUUCAAUGUUUAAAUUUGUUUAUCUUUGUUUUGUAAUAAUGAGGAACUAAACCCCCCUUGGCUAGGGGGGAUUCGAAACCAUGUUAAUGCUUGCAAUAUGAUUUGAUUACUUUUAAUUGCGUUUCAUAAGUUAUGAAUUCGAUUUACUUAUCUAUUUGAUUGAUAACAUGUUUAUGUAUGUUGAUUAGGGAUGCAUACUUAGUUUGCAUGCAUAAAUAUGAUGCUAGAGUAUAAGGGAAUUUCACCUAAUCGUUAUGAACUUAUAUUCAUGAGUAGUAAAAGUCGCUAGUCACGAUUGUGUUAAGUAAAUCCUUGGCAUAAGUUUCAUGCAAAUCAUAGUAACGAGUGCCUCGUCAAUGCUUAUGUUUUUCAUAGAACUUAAUGAUUCUUGCUUGUAUCUCUAUUAUGCAAUUCAUGUAGGGAACUUGUAGGGAAUAUUUUGGGUUGUCGUAUGCAAUCAUCCAACCCAAUAACUUGUGGAAAAACUGAGGGUAAAUUAGUGCAAUUCACGGUUAAUUUGGGGCGUUGAGAAUUAAUAAGUUAUUGAAAUGCAAUUGGAAAUCAUUUUGUAUGCAAGCAAGACAUGUGUGGAGAAGAACCCCUUAGCUAGCCUUCCAUUAUCCAUUCAACCCAAAUUUGUUUAAAAUCUAUUUAAGUUUUUAGUUUAUUCGUUUUUACUUUCAACUUCACCAAACUCAAAUCCCCCUUUUACUUUCUUGUUUUAAAAUCUUUUGUUUACAUUUUUAACUUUGUUUUUAUGUUUUUAAAUUAGUUUUCAAGUGAUUUAGCAAUCCCUCCUAAUCCCCGGUUUAGAACGAUCCCUACUUACAUCUAUACUACAAUUGUCAAAAAGAGGGUUAAAUUUGUGUGCUUAUAUUAUUCGCAUCAAAUUUUUGGCGCCGUUGCCGGGGAUUAGCAACUUUGCUAAUCCCUUGGUUCUUUUCUUUUUGUUUAGUUUGUUUUUGUUUUAGUUUCUGACUUAGUUUUGUUUUCCUUGUUUUGUGUUACUUUUGAUAUUUGAGUUAUUUUUCUUUCUUUGAUUUUAGGUACAAAUGGAGCAAGACAUGGCACUUGCGACCAUUCAAGCUCAAUUGGCACAGCUCACUGCUCAAUUGACUCAUAAUGCCGAACGGACCACAAUGCCAAGUGUCCCUACAUUGAUGUGCCCUAUGGGCAAGGAUAUCAACAUCCUCAAUUCACUGUGAACGAAGAUGCUUGGGGUUAUCAAGGCUAUGAUCAACCAAGCAACAACAUGUUUUCCAACGCUUACAAUUCGGCUUGGAGAGAUCAUUCAAAUUAUAUGUGGGGGAAACCUCAACAAUUCCAACAAGAGGGAUAUUGGCAGCAAGAGGAGGAGUUCUAUUCAAAACCUAUGCAAUAUGCUUAAUCAAACUCAGGUUCGUCAAUAAAUUAUAAUCAAAUUCUUAAUGAAUUAAAUUGUUUGGUGCAGGGCUCACAAAAUCAAGCCAAGGAGGCUCAACAAGAUGCAUAUUGGCAGCCAUAUGAGGAGUUCUACACCACACCUAUACAGCCACCACUGCAUACCCCACAACAAUUCCAAUCAAAUUCAAGUAUGUCCAUGGAUAGUGAUCAAAUUCUUCAAGUACUAACCUCUUUGACGCAGGACCAACAAAAUCAAGACAAGAAGUUGGAUAAAUUGAAGAGUCAAAUGGGAGAGAUUAUGGAAUUCAUGGUACAAAUUCAAGAGCAAAGUGAACUCUCCAACUCAACUGUUGAAAAUUCGAAGGAAGAUUUUGAAAUCCACGAUGCUAUCACUUUGGGAAGUGCUAUGAAGGAUGAAGCUGUCCCAGAACCAUCCAAACACAGCCCGAACAUGGAUGAAUUGCUGCUGCAAGCAGAAGAGGAGGAGGACGACCUGGGCAGUUUAGAAGAAUUCUUGCUGCAAGCUCCUCAAAUCCCUAUAUCAUCCAACUCAGGUGAGGAAGUUUUAAAUCCACUUCAUUCUAACAUUAUUCCACCAAAUGUCCUUUUUCCUUGUAGGUUUUUUAUUCCAAAUAUCAAAGAGAGUGAAAAAGACAUUGUGGAAGCUCUUCCAAAGGUGCAAAGUGAUAUCCCAAUUCUUGGUGCACCAAAACAAGUUCCCGAUGGUAUUGAAACGUUCAAAGAACCUUGCACACCAAGAAAAGGGAUUCAAGAGAAUGAAGUGGUUGAAGCAUAUCAAGAAUACAUCCAAGAGGCUGUGCAUGAGACAAUCAAGCCCAAAGCAGUUGAGUUUGAUGACACGGGACAAGCCACAACCAUCAUAGUAAACCUGGCCAAGUUCAAAAUCCCAGAAAUGUUCAAAGAUGUGGUGUUUGUCAUUGAGUUUGUGUCGGAAAAAGAAAGUAAGCCAUCUUCUCCAAUUUUAAUUUUUAUUUAUACUAACAUUUUUCUGAUUUUGAUGAUUCAGGCACCCACUCUUGAAUUUAAACCAUUGCCGAAUCAUUUCAAGUAUCACCUCCCAUUAAAAGAUAAAUUCCAUGCUUUGGAGCCGAGGGGAGUUUAAAGGAAAGAUUCGUCCGGCUAAAGACGUUAAAUCAAGCGCUUCUUGGGAGGCAACCCAAGCAUUCAACGAAGGGAGACUUUUGGAAUCGCUAACCAAAAUCAGAUUUGAAUUCUUACACCCUUAUCUUUACUGCUUUCAUUUUGUUUUGUUUAGUUAGUUGUGUUAUUUGGUUAAUUUCUGUAAGUUUGUGUUAUUUAGUUUAAGUGUGGGGGAAGGUUAACCAAAGUCUUUCUACAUUAAUUUACAUAUAAUUUAAAAACAACAAAAAAAAAAAAAAAAAAAAAAAAAACAUAAGUAAAAAUAUUUUACAAUGAUGUGUAAACUAAUAGCAUUCAUUGGUCAGGUGGUGCUUCAGUAGUCGGCGGAGCUUCAGCAGUCGGCGGGGCCACAGAAGGAGGAGGCAACAGAGGUUGAUCAGUUGGAGCUUCACUACGCGAUGCCGCUCCAGAAGACGAAGGCAGAUGCUGUUGGAACAAACCCACAAACCUCCGAUGAUCAAGUAAAAUCUGACCAUCAGAUUCAUGUAUCUGGUCAAUUUUCCUCUUCAUGGUUGUGGCAUAGUUGUGUGCAAGCUUAUGCAAUUGUUUAUUUUCAUGCUUGAGUCCUUUAAUCUCCUCUUUGAGACUCUGUAUUUCAGCCACCAACGAUUCAACGUGACGGGUUCGGGCAAAUAGGCGUUGGGCCAUGUUGGACACGGAACCGGCACACUGCACGCUAAGAGCCAGAGACUCCUUAACCGCCAAUUCAUCAGACCGUCUAGCGAGCAGUUUGUUAUCUCUGGGGUGACAAGGUUCCGGGCCACCACCGCAGCGGUCAUGUCAUUUUUCAUCACCGAAUCCCCCACGGUAAGGGGACCGGUAGGGGAUAUGAAGGAUGGGCGCCAUAUGUUGUCUGGUGAAGGCGGAGCUGCCUCUUCACCAAUGUUCAAGUCAAAACGACGAUCGGAAGGGCCAGACAUUUUCUGAAGGUGUGAGAAAGAAGAGAUCGGACAGAUUAAGAUUUCGGAAGUGCAAGAAGGGAGUGUUUACAGGAGGGAGCUCAAGUGUGUUGUGGAACAAAAUUAGCGCCUCUAUAAAAAGAAGAAAUCAAAGAGGCGCUCCUCAGAAAUUGAAAAGGCGUCCUCUCGCAAAUCGAAGAGUCGGGGCUCCGUUCUCAAACGCCUGAUUCUUUUCUCAAAAGAGGAGUUUCCUUUCUCAAAAGCCGGAUUCUUUUCUCAAAAGAGGCGUUUCAUUUCUUAAAGGCUGGGCUUGCUCAGAAACCACGAGCCGAACCCCGGAUUUCAAAAGAUCAAUUUGUCCAGACGUGUCGUCACUUGUCACACGCAAAUUGCUUUGCGAAAAUCUCGGGCAGUUUGUCGAAGCACCAAUUCAGAAAUCGAAGAGGGAAAUUCAACAGUCAAAGACACGCUAGCUUUCUCAAAAGCUGGGCUUCAACCCACGGGCAAAUCUUCUUUUCCAGAUUUAUCCGCACGUGUCACAUGCUACCUCUACAAUCGACGAUGCUCAAAGCUCGAAGCGCCGAUUCCAGAUAUCAAUGAGGAAUCUGCUUUGCGGAAAUUACGGGCAGCUUUGUCAGAAAGCGCGUAAUUUGUACUAUUCAUCCAUCCACCGGCUGCCGACAAUGAGUGAGGGAAUAGUUCCGGUUGUGAAGAAAAGUCCCAUAAGUAUCUACCUUCGCCUUCCACAGCAAAGGCACACCCUCUCAGCACUUCUUCCUCUCUGAAAUGGCUUUCCAACAAACCCUCUCAAGUCACUCUGUAUUUUUCAUCCCCUGGGAUACCCCUGCAAACAACCCAUCCAAAGCAAAAGUAUUUCAUAUCAUGAAGGUUGAAAGCAAGAGUAUCUCAUAUCAUGCUUUCUCCCUGUCCUUUCUCCAGCCAGCACUUGCUCUCGAGUACUCAUCAUCUUAUGUUUCCUCUUCGUCUCUCACGUAUAAGGGAAGUGAAGAUGAUACCUCGAAGCAUGUGGAGACAACGUGCUGAUUCAUCCUCAGCUAGGGACAAGGAGAAAGAGAGCAAGAGGUGGGCACUUGGAAAGAUGAAGAAAGAAACAGACCAAUACCUCUACCUCGUGCCUGCCCGCCAUGCAGAGGAAACAAGCAGAGAAGAAUGCAGCUCGUACAAUCAUCCCAGCAGAAGGAGUCCGAGCUGAAGAACUAGAGAAGCUGCCACAUCUGCUUGGAGAACAAAUAAGGAACUGCAACAUCACCAAAGAGCAAAGCUUCGCCGUACAAUAUCAUCAAAUCAUCACUUGCAAGUAAAAAGCUAAGUGUCACCCUGUUCAAGAGGAAAGCUGUGGAAAGUCAACAAGCACGACCAAUGAUCACUUAUUAGUUCUAUUCAUUGUCUUUUAUCGUGAUUUUCAAUUUUUCGUUUGCAAUUUUUUUUAUAUUUUCUUGUGUUACUAAACUGAAUUAUUUCUUUUCUUUGCAGGAACUUUUGGUUAUUUCCACCCUUGAAGUUGAUUGCAGAAUUUUAGCUUGGGGGUCAUCGCUUGGUUUUAUUGCAAACUAGGGAAGUUUUCAGUCCAAUUGCUUUAUUUUGUUUCUUAUUAUUUAUUUAUUUUAUUUUUAUUUGCAUUAUAGUGUUUUCUGACAUUGGGGUAUAGAUUUCAUGGGUCCUUUCCCUCCAUCUUUUGGUUUCACUUAUAUCUUGCUAGCUGUUGAUUAUGUUUCCAAAUGGGUGGAAGCCAAAGCCACCCGGACUAACGAUUCAAAGGUUGUUGCAGAUUUUGUGAAAACUAAUAUCUUUGCUAGGUUUGGCAUGCCUAGAGUUCUCAUUAGUGAUGGAGGCAACCCAUGGAAAUAAAGAAGACCUAGGAAUUUCCGACUCCAAAACCAGGUGUUUGCGUUCUUUAACCCUCCUCUCUGUUGCUUUUACUUUGCCAUGUUUAUCAUGUUUCCUCGUUGUUUGUUUGUUUGCUUUUGUGUGAGUUUAUGUUUGAAACAUUGAGGACAAUGUUAGAUUUAAGUGUGGGGGGGUAAACAAGUUGCUGUUGCAUGAUUUUCGUGGGAUUUUAUUCACCUAUCACUUACAAUGUUGUUUCUUGCUGUUUUAAGUGUUUUUAGUGUGUUUUUAAGCAUGUUAGUAUGUUUUGACAUAAAAAUCCGAAAAUUUGACAAAAAUUUGAAAAAAAAAUUGUUUUGAAAAAGCCAAAAAGAGUUGUUUUUGUGUGUUUGUUUGUGUCUUAGGGUACCUUCCAACACAAAUAAUGAGGAUUUGGUUUUUAAUUGCAUGACUGCUAAAGAAAGUUAUAAACAUGGAUGGAAAGUUUGAUAUGCUCUUUGAUUUAUGCUUGGUUAUAGUUAUAGUUUACGAAUUCACAUGUAAUCACAAAGAAAAAAAAUCAGUUUUUGUAACAUGCUUGAAGGAAGGAACUCAAACUAACACUACAACCUUGAGAGACUUGAGCCUAAUACGUUCUUUGGAGAGUUACUAAUCUGUGCAUUUUUGUUUUCUAAAGUCGUUGCAUGAUCUCAUCAUUCUUUGCUUGGUUGCUACUUAGAAGGCGUUUCAUCAUUUAGUUCCAAAUACUAGAACUUAUGCCCGUUCCAUUCAAAGCAUGACAUUGAUUUGCAUAACACAUAUUCAAGAUGAAGUUGUGUAGUGAACUAGAGCCAAAAAGCUUAUCCGUGCAUAUUUUUGUUUAAGUUUAACCCCGUUGAGCCUUGUUUAGCCUGUUUUCUUUGUUAAACCCACAUUUCCCUUACCUAGCCUAGAUUAGGACUAUCCAUACCCUUGUUUUUUUAAAGCAUAGUGAAGCAUGACUUAAAAUGAAUUCCUUUUGAUUGUCCUUAUGCAGAAACAAGUGUGGGGGAAUGAGAUUUUUUGUGUUUGUGUGCCAAAAGAAAGUAAUAAGGCACGGGUUAGAAAAAGAAAAAGAAAAAAAAAAAAAAAAAGAAAAGAAAAAAGAGUUUGAAAUAAGUGAGGAAAGGCUCACAAGUGUUUGUUUGUAGUUGAAAUCGGCCCUAAAAAGUUGAAUGAAUAACCCCAUUGUGUUUAAAGUUAGUUGCUGCAUUCAAAGGAAUUCUAAGCAUCAAUUUCAUUACUUUGCUUAUUAUGCUUUAAAAACGUUUGUUUCCUUACCUUUCAUUGUUAGCCAAUCACCCCUAACCCCGUUACAACCCUUAACUUCAAUCUUGAGUGUUAUGUGUUUCAAUAUGUGGAGUUUGGGAUUGGUACGAGCAUAUGGUGUCCCUGGUUCUCGCAUCUAAGUAGUAGCAUUCCAGUCAUGAGAUCAUAUCUAUACAUGCUUAAUAACUCCAGAAAUUGCUUUCUUUGCUAUAAACAUAUGUGAGUGUUCGUUUUCAUGUUUACAUCAAUCUUCUCACAUACAUCUAUAGUGUAGGGUAAAUAGUCAGAAAAAUCAGAGUGAAAAUAAGAGUGUAUCUUGUAAGGAAUUGAGCAAAUUCUCUAAGGCAUGUUACUACAUUCAAAACAUCGUUUUAAUUGGUUAUAUGUGAACUAGUAUGUGGUGACUUUGAUUAAGUAUGUGCUCAAGGGUAGGGAAGGCAAAAAUCUGUGGUUAUGAUGAUCUUUUGCAUGUCAUGUUGCAUUGAAAAUCCCUAAGGUAAUUGUUGGAAGGUUUAGGUUUUGUUUUGUUCUUAUGUUUUGUUUCUUUGUUUUGCUCGAGGACUAGCAAAAGCUAAGUGUGGGGGAAUUUGAUAGACGCAUAUUUAUGCGACUUAGUUAACUAGUUUUCUUGCAUUUACGUUAUUAGUUCUUAGUUAUUUUAGUACUUUAAGCCAUUUUCGUGUGUUUGUAGGUCCAAAGGGCUAAGGUAGCAAGAAAGUGCAUUUUGGUGCAUUUUGGAGCAGUUUUGAGCUUGGAAUGGAUUACAUAUGAUAUGAGCAAGAUGGAUGGACGAAUUUGAAGACAAAAGAGGCUAAGAACAUGCUAAAAAUCUGGUGAAACAAAUACAAGUUGCAAGAAGGGAUAAAUUUCUAGAAGGAUUGGCCAAAACUUCACUCAAAACACAUCAAUGUUGUGGCUUUUACUUCCACCUCCACCAGAAAUUUGAGUAAUGAUGCAAUGCUUAACUCACCAUGACAUGUGAGUGGAUGAUGCAAUGCUUAGCUCACCAUGACAUGUGAGUGGAUGAUGCAAUGCUUAGCUAACCAUGACAUGUGAGUGGAUGACUCAAUACCUAACCCACCAACAAUUCCCACUCUUUGCCAUGCUCACCUACUCAAUUCCACCAACAUUUUUGUGUUAAACAAGUCCAUCCUCUUCCUAUAAAUACCAUGGCAUCAACCUCAUUCAAAUCAUCCAGAAAUUAACCAUUCUCCAAGCCUUUCCUUGCCUCUCCUACAUAUCUAAACCCCUUCCCAUCCAUUCCUCCAAAAUAACCAACCCUUCAACAUCAUUCCAACCUUGUUGUUGCGGCAAAGAGAAGGAGAAAAGUCCUUAGACGCACUUGCUAUCCAACAUAGAUCGUUGGAACGUUUAGGUGCUUUCUUUCCUUUGUUUUUCAAUGUUUAAAAUUUGUUUAUCUUUGUUUUGUAAUAAUGAGGAACUAAACCCCCCUUGGCUAGGGGGGAUUCGAAAACCAUGUUAAUGCUUGCAAUAUGAUUUGAUUACUUUUAAUUGCGUUUCAUAAGUUAUGAAUUCGAUUUACUUAUCUAUUUGAUUGAUAACAUGUUUAUGUAUGUUGAUUAGGGAUGCAUACUUAGUUUGCAUGCAUAAAUAUGAUGCUAGAGUAUAAGGGAAUUUCACCUAAUCGUUAUGAACUUAUAUUCAUGAGUAGUAAAAGUCGCUAGUCACGAUUGUGUUAAGUAAAUCCUUGGCAUAAGUUUCAUGCAAAUCAUAGUAACGAGUGCCUCGUCAAUGCUUAUGUUUUUCAUAGAACUUAAUGAUUCUUGCUUGUAUCUCUAUUAUGCAAUUCAUGUAGGGAACUUGUAGGGAAUAUUUUGGGUUGUCGUAUGCAAUCAUCCAACCCAAUAACUUGUGGAAAAACUGAGGGUAAAUUAGUGCAAUUCACGGUUAAUUUGGGGCGUUGAGAAUUAAUAAGUUAUUGAAAUGCAAUUGGAAAUCAUUUUGUAUGCAAGCAAGACAUGUGUGGAGAAGAACCCCUUAGCUAGCCUUCCAUUAUCCAUUCAACCCAAAUUUGUUUAAAAUCUAUUUAAGUUUUUAGUUUAUUCGUUUUUACUUUCAACUUCACCAAACUCAAAUCCCCCUUUUACUUUCUUGUUUUAAAAUCUUUUGUUUACAUUUUUAACUUUGUUUUUAUGUUUUUAAAUUAGUUUUCAAGUGAUUUAGCAAUCCCUCCUAAUCCCCGGUUUAGAACGAUCCCUACUUACAUCUAUACUACAAUUGUCAAAAAGAGGGUUAAAUUUGUGUGCUUAUAUUAUUCGCAUCCAGAGUUUAAAAAUACAAAUUCCAUAUUGAAUUUCAUUGUUCUUUUAGGUUAACCAAACAAGAAAAUUUACAAAUUCUAAAAAAUAAAAUCUCGUCCCUUCAAUUUCUGUCAUUUUAAAAUUCCUUGGUAAUCUUAAACUUCUUCAUCCAAACAUAGUGUUAGUUUGGUACAAAUUUAUGGAAGCCAAAUCUACCAAGUUUGAGAUCCGGACCGUUGAAAUUUGAUCCAAUGUCUAUAGUUGUUAUAACUUUCAUUAGUUUUCCUUAAAUAAUUUUACAUUAAGAUCAUUUCAAAGUGAGUGGCUAACCCUAAAAGGUUCAGUUGAACCUUGUCAAACACAUAGAUACAUACAAGGUAACCUGUAACAUCUUUGGUUCGGCUAACUUUUGUUUUUUAUUUUUUAUUGUUGAAGUCAGUUGAAGUUAUCACAUGUUCGUCUACGGCUUGUGUCCACCAAAAAAAAAAAAAAAAAACCCACGCAAAUUCCCAAAUUCCAAUUCCAAACCAAACAAUUGUACAAAAAAUUGGCCGAUGUAAUUCGGUAUGUACCAGAUAACGGUAAUAAAUAUAUAUACAGAGAGCUUAAGGGGAGGGAUCCCCAUUUUUUGAAAAAAAUGGGGAUUAGGUGUGGGGCCCACUUCACAUUAAAUUUCAACGAUCCGAACCGUCUAUUUUGUUAGUCUCGAUUCAUAGAUCAUCCUGCAAAAUAUUAGCUAAAUUGGAAAUGUUUAAGACAUCUAAUUGGGUUCAAGGAAAUGAACGAAUACUUUGUUAUAUAAGAAAAUAUGAAAUUUGAUAUUGAUAAUUAAAUAGGCAAAUGGUUUCGGAUUGAAUUGAAUUUUUGCAAGGAUGAUCUAUGAAUCGAGACUAACAAAAUAGACGGUUCGGAUCGUUGAAAUUUGAUGUGAAGUGGGCCCCAUACCUAAUCCCCAUUUUUUGGGAUCCCUCCCCUUAAGCUCUCUAUGUAUAUAUAUAUAUAUAUAUAUAUAUAUAUAUAUAUCUAUGACAACUACAUUAACACAUACAAUCCAUCAUUCUCAUCAAACAAAAAACUGAAGCAAAAAACCAUCAGCCUUUUAAGAAAAUUAACCUACAAUUUCCACCCCCACCCACCCCAAAAAAACUGCAAUAACAAAAUUACCCCUACAAUUUUCACUCCUGUCCGUCCGAUUUGGAAUUUAGACAUGCAAAAAAGUAAUUUUGCUUGCAGGUCUUUAGGCCUCCGAAUGGGCCAUUUCAGCUACACCCUAAUCCAAGCCGAAGGCCACAUUGGGCAUAAAAUCAGCAAUCCAAAACAGAACGAUGGCAGUACCGUAGUUAAUUGAUCGAGGCCCCAUUCCAUAUGCAACAUGAAUGUAUACGACUCUGCAAGAAACAAUGUGUUGUUAAAUGUGGUCAGUCCUCGCCUUUUUUAUGAACACAAGAAACAGUAAUGAAUUACGAUGGCAGUACCGUAGUUAAUUGAUCGAGGCCACAUUUGAGAUCCAACAAAUAAGAAGUUUGCUUUUUGGUUUUACCUUUUAAAUUUGUGUAUGUUCUAGUUGUAUUUGUAAAAGUUUAUUGUGUAUCUUCUGAAUUACGAAAAUCUUGACUUCUGAAUUACGAUAUGUUUUAUCAUCUGGCCAUUCAAUUUUAAACUCAUCAUAUCCAGUACCACAACACCUAAUGAUUUAUUUUUCACCUCAAUUUAUAAGAGAGCAAACCAGCGUUUUUUGUUUCAGAAUUUCCUCACCAACUUUUAUGUCUGAGAUCGCACCAAAAGGCAAAAGCCAACCCUCUCAGGUAACAAGAAGAAAUGAAAAACUCAACCGCUUUUACAAAAUCAGCAAACUACGGUUCAAUCAAUAUUCUCACUUUCAUGUCAGAGCACAAUGAAAUACUCAUCUGCUUUUACAAGAGUUGAGUCACUCGCCCAAUUUCAACUGGUUUUAGGAUGAACCUCAACUACAAUUAUAGGACAAAAACUUCUAUCAUUUAAGACUUUAAAUUGACAAAUACGAAGUAUCGAUCGUGAUGAUUAGGUCUUCCAUAUUAACACUUAACUACUAAAAGAGAGGAUUAACACUUAAUAGGAAUUGAAUUGGGCGUGUUCAGUUACCCCAAUAAAUUCUCCACAGAGCAGACUAAAAUAGGAGUAACAUGUAGCUUGCAGAUAUGCCUAGACUACUUCAAAGUGAAUUAGAGUCGAUCUAAUCAUAAACCUGAGUAAUGCACUGAAAAUUUCUGGUUUGGAAUCUCUGACGCUCAGAGAAUAAGCAAAAUGCAUGCAACAAAGCCUCCAUUGUUAAACCUGAAAAAACAACAGUAUGUCAAGUUAUUCUUUUCAUUGGAAUCCUUGGUAAACAUAAUUCUUUCAAAAAGAUUGGACGCAAAUGCCAAUAUCUUACAGAUUUGUAAUGUCAUAUUGUGAACUAGCACCCAACAAAAUAUUUACAUGUAUAUUGCGUAGUAUUUCCAAAUGCUUACCAAUUGGUAGCAUUAGCUAUUAGAUUGCAGUGUAAACCUCCUUCUGAAUGAACGAAGCCGAGUGAUAUCUCCCACAAAUGUGAAGAACUUGUUGGAAUCAAUGCUUUUCUCUGAAGCUUUAGCCCUUACCAAAGACAAAAUCUUCGAUUAAUGACUCAAGUCCACUUAAAACAAGUCUAGAAUUUCCAAGCUUAUUCCUAAAUUCUAUAACUUUCUCAACAAUAAUAUCAGAUGCCUUUGCAAGGUCAAAUUGAAAAUCUGCUGUUGAAACGGAAGGAAAUGCCAGAGCGGAAGCAUCAUUUAGAGAACCAUCACCGCCAACAGAGCCUACAACUAGCUCUUCACCUACCUUUGAUUCCUUACCAGAUUUUUCAGAAAGUAAACGUGUUCCUUUCAAAGAGGUUUCCUUUUCUUCAGUAAUUUGAGAAGCAUUAGAAUCCGGUACACUCUUCAAAGUUGAUUCAGUAUUGGCAGGACCAUCUGUUUUCUUUAAGAACUUCUUUAUACCUAGUUGAAUUUUUGCACCGGGGUUCUUCCGACCAGAAUAACCAUUGGGAGAUGUAUAUAACGGACCAAGUCCACUAUAUGCAUCAACGGAAGAUUGAACAUCACUCUCACUCUGGCAACAAGUAAUUCUAGCAAACCCUUCACUCUUCUUUCUUCUGCAGCAUUCUAUUCACAAUCGCCACAGCUUUCCUGCCUUGCACGUUUCCUUCAUGGCUCGUUAGAUUCUUUAGUGUGACCAGUACACGGGAUGAUACACCACAUGUCACUAAACAAAUGGUGAGAUAUGUGUGCUACAAAGUUAAAAAUUUAAAAAAAAAAAUUCUCACCAUUCCUAUUAAAACAUGUGGUGUAUCACUUGUGUUCCCGUCACAACUAAAAAUUUCUCGUAAUAUACAAAGCUUGGCAGGAAGAUCAAGCACCACAGCAUGAACAUCAACUUGGGAACUACCACCAAGCUUCACAAAAUCAUCCCAUUUUUUCUUUCUCCACAUUACACCUAUCUAUAAACACACACUACCCAUCCUUCAACGCAUUCAUUGCACUAUCUAUACACUGCCCUUUCGUUCCGGCUUUACCAUUUUUGAUAGUAUCCUACAAAAACAUAAAAUAUGAACAUAUAACAGCAUAAAACAAGAACCCAAAUGAAUAGAAAUCCGGAGUACCAUACUACGUACUGAAAAUGGCAAUCUUGAGCCCACUGCGACAUUUCAUCGAACACACUGUGUGCACAGAGAUAUACCUGGCAAAUGCGAACCAAAGGGCGAGUGGAGCGCAUCACAUGUUCGCAGAAGGUAGACUUGCCGCUUCCAGGCGCACCCACCAAUAUUACUACGACAGGCUUUCCUUGUUUUUCUUCCCCCGUCAGAAGGGCGUACAGGUUUUAUGAUCACCGAAGGAGAUGACGACUGAGAAUGGUAAAACGCGGCGUUUUGGAGAAAGGGCAUACCUUUGGCUGUUUCGUCGAUAUCCAUGUCCAUGUUUCGGAAGACUCUGCGAGGUACUUUUGAAUUAACGGCGAAAAAGCAACGGUUUCUUCGUCCGCUGGGCUGGAAGCCCGAAGCUUCUAUUGCCGGUGCCUGGUGCUUGCGUAAUGGGACACAUGUCCACAUCGUCGACCCGAAAAUUGACAAAAUCCGAUUCGAUUUGGAUUUUAUCCAUAUAUUAACCUCUUCGCAAACACCCACGUGUAAACAAAAAGUAUUUUCUAAUCACAAUCCUUACGCGCCCGUUAAAGAUGGGUUUGCUUUAAUUAUUUUUCUAAUUGUUUAACAUCGUUAUUUCAUAAGAAAUUUGUGAGGACCUUUCCUUAUCAUGUUAGGCAUCAAAAUUUUCUUAUCCUUUUCUUUUUCAACUGUCUUUUUGUGAUAAUUUUUUCUAUAAUUGUGUUAAGCCUUCUGUAUUCCGGUAACCUACAACAUGUUAAAUCUAUAGAAAUUAUAAACUUGAUAAUUACGUUCAUAGCAAAAAGGCCUAUACAUACAAUCGUGUUUACUUGAUGUAUAAGUAAGGAUCUCUUCAAAUUAUGAAUACAGUCAUAACUAGAUUACAAUAUUAAUUGCUAACCCUUAAGAGAGACGAUUUCCUUGGACAAAACUCAUUCUCUUAAUAUAAAAUAAAAGAAAAAAAGUGCAAGGAAUGAAAAAGAAUAUGGAGUUAGAGUUACUUUGACACCAUCUACAGAGAGUGCAAGGCCAUUCAGAAAUGUAUUCCUUCAGACCUGUCUCCAGAACUAUGACGUCAUACUCUUCAUCCAUGCAAUCCAGCAGAGAAACCGGAUGAAUAUAGCGAGUAUUGUGUAAAGAUGGAUAUAACCUGUAUAAUAUCCAGUAAAGAUAGUUACACUGUGUUUGGAUGAUAGAAAUAAACUUGAAAUUUAAGGAAAAGUCGGAAUUUAUAAAUUGACAUACACCAAUUCCCUUGUUUGGAUUCAUAAACAUAGAAAUUUAGAAUUUUCAUGUGGAAAAAAAACUUGGAUUUUGGGACCUUCAAUUCCUAAGUUUAAAUUCCAUGUAAAUACGUGUCAUUUCCCAAUUUCUAUGAUUGAGAGUUUAAAAAUAACAAAUUCCGUAUUGAAUUUCAUUGUUCUUUUAGGUUAACCAAAUAAGAGAAUUUACAAAUUCUAAAAAAUAAAAUCCCGUCAUUUUAAUUUCUGUCAUUUUAAAAUUUCUUAGUAAUCUUAAACUUCUUCAUCCAAACAUAGUGUUAGUUUGGUACAAAUUUAUGGAAAGCCAAAUCUACCAAGUUCGAGAUCCGGACCGUUGAAAUUUGAUCCAAUGUCUACAGUUAUUAUAACUUUCGUUAGUUUUCCUUAAAUAAUUUUGCAUUAAGAUCAUUUCAAAGUGAGUUGCUAACCCUAAAAGGUUCAGUUGAACCUUGUCAAACACAUAGAUACAUACAAGGUAACCUGUAACAUCUUUGGUUCGGCUAACUUUUGUUUUUUAAUUUUGUUUUUUUUUUUUUUUUUUGUUGAAGUCAGUUGAAGUUAUCACAUGUUCGUCUACGGCUUGUGUCCACAAACAAAAAAAAAAAAAAAAAACCCACACAAAUUCCCAAAUUCCAAUUCCAAACCAAACAAUUGCACAAAAAAUUGGCCAAUGUAAUUCGGUAUGUACCAGAUAACGGUAAUAUAUAUCUAUGACAACUACAUUAACAUAUACAUUCCAUCAUUCUCAUCAAACAAAAAACUGAAGCAAAAAACCAUAAGCCUUUUAAGAAAAUUAACCUACAAUUUCCACCCACCCCAAAAAAACUGCAAUAACAAAAUUACCCCUACAAUUUUCACUCCUGUCCGUCGGAUUUGGAAUUUAGACAUGCAAAAAAGUAAUUUUGCUUGCAGGCCUUUAGGCCUUUGAAUGGGCCAUUUCAGCUACACCCUAAUCCAAGCCGAAGGCCACAUUGGGCAUAAAAUCAACAAUCCAAAACAGAACGAUGGCAGUACCGUAGUUAAUUGAUCGAGGCCCCAUUCCAUAUGCAACAUGAAUGUAUACGACUCUGCAAGAAACAAUGUGUUGUUAAAUGCUCAGUGCACCAAAAGCCACUACCUAACAAUCUUCAUAUAUUUCAUAACAACCUCCUUCUGAUACAAGCUGGCUAUUUGUAGUCGGUUCUCUACUAACCACCUAACUAACCAACUACUUACACAAGUAUCAAUCAAAAGAUGACACCUGUCCGAGCAUCCUAACAAUACCCCCCCUUAAAACUGAUCUUACAGAUCACAUACGAAAUUCUGCAGAAAAUUUACAACACAAAACUCAAACAAUUUGCACACACAGAGAAAUACAACACAAAUUCAAAGAUCAACAAUUUUCGGGAAACUUGAUCUUCAAUUCAUAGUAAUUCUCCCAAGUAGCAUCCUCUGUGGAGUGAUUCUGCCAUUGCACCAGAACUUCGGUCACUGCAGAGUUGCCUUUCUUUACCAUUCUUCUAUCACAAAUCCGAAUGGGAACAUCUUGCAAUAUACCAGCAUCCGUAAUACCUGGCAACGGCACUGUGGUUUGCACAUCUUCUCCCAAAUGCUUUUUUAAACAGGACACAUGGAACACCGGAUGCAACUUAGAGUGAUCUGGAAGUUUGAUCUUAUAAACUACAUUGCCGAUUUGAGCUAAAACUUGGAAUGGCCCAUAGAAACGAGGUUGAAGCUUGUGAAAAGGAUGUGCUGCCAAGGAACUAAAGGGAAAAUACAACGUUGUAAUUAUAUUACAGGACCAUUACUCAAUGUUGGUAAUUUGCUAGGCAAUUUAAUAAUACAUUGUGUUUGGAAGACAGCCAAACUACAGGAAAGUGAUCUCCAAUAUUAUUUUAUAUAUUUUUAUAUAUAUAAUUUUUUUUAAUAAAUAAUAUUAUCUAAACUAAUAAAUUAAUAAUAACAUGGUUCAAAUUGAUAAAAAAUAAUCUUGAGAUCCUGAAUAUUUCUCAUUGAGAGUGGCUAUUAUGGGAAAAUUCCCAUUGAGAUUUCACGCUUGACAAGGUUGGUUGUCCUAGAUAUAUCUCUAUCUGAAUAUCCGAGGGACACCACCCUUGAGAGCCCGAACUUAAGCAUGCUCUUUCUGAACCUCACAGAGAUUUGUGAGCUCUAUCUUGAUGGGAUAAAUAUAUCAGCACAGGGAACUCAGUGGUGCCAAGCAUUAUCAUCUUCACUCCUACACCUGAGGGUGUUGAGCAUGUCUGGAAGCCAGCUCUCAGGUCCUUUUUGUCAGUCCUUCGCAAAACUUCAGUCUCUCUCGGUGAUUCAAUUGGAUAAUAAUGACAUCUCCGGUCCAAUUCCAGGAUUCUUCGCCAAGUUUACAAAUCUGACAGUGUUGAGCUUGAAUAAUAACAACAUUGCUGCUAUGGUUCCAAGAUUGUUUGCCAACUUUUCAAAGUUGACUGCUUUGAGUCUUCAAAAUUGCAAUCUUAAUGGAACAUUACCCAAAGAGAUCUUCCAGGUACCUACUUUACAAACUGUUGACCUUUCGCAUAAUCUACAGCUUCAUGGUUCCCUGCCUGAAUUUCCUGAGAAUGCAUCUCUUCAAUUUUUGGACCUAAGCUUCACAAAAGUUUCAGGGUUAUUGCCGGACUCUAUCGGCAACCUCAAAAUGUUGUCCUUUUUAAAUCUUUUCAAUUGCAGUUUCAGUGGAUCAAUCCCAAAGUCCAUGGCAAGCCUAACAGAAUUGGUUUAUUUGGACAUGUCAUCAAAUAUGUUUAAUGGUUCGAUUGAUUCCAUUUACUGGGGAAACCAUGUUAGUCUCCAAUCUUUAUUUUUGGAGUCAAAUUUACUCACUGGUACUAUCCCGUCAUCUAUCUUUUCUCCUCCCCCUUUGCUGGUACUGACACUUUCCCACAACCGAUUCUCUGGUCAACUCCAUGAAUGUUCUAAUGUCUCGUCCCAGUUAUCUUUGCUAGAUUUGAGUUCCAACAAUUUGGAAGGACCAAUACCUGCCUCUAUAUCUAAUUUUCAAGAGCUUGCAUAUCUUCGUCUUUCUUCAAACCAUUUCAAUUCGUUUCCUUCCAAUGGUCAUCCUUGUCAAUUUGAAGAGUUGUAUUUGGCUUUUAACAAUUUGAGAGCAGUCCCAGAUAUCUUGAGAUAUCAAACCAGCAUAAGAAGAUUGGACCUUUCAGGUAACCAGAUUCAAAAAGUACCCAAUUGGUUUUGGAGCCUCCAUUUGCUCGAUUACCUAAAUCUUUCUUCCAACUACUUGGUAACUCUAGCAGUUCCUUUUAACUAUACAAAGGAAUUCUCCACACUUGACCUUCAUUCUAACCAACUCAAGGGGUCCAUCCCACUAUUGCAUGCCAAUUAUCUGGAUUACUCAAGCAAUCAUUUCACUUCUAUACCGACUAACAUUGGUGAUUUCCUCAAUCCCUCCACUAAGUUCUUAUCUAUUUCGAGCAAUGAUUUGCAUGGGCUCAUUCCAUCAUCAAUAUGCAAUGUAAUUCCUUUGGUAAUUCUUGAUUUGUCCAUUAUUUCUCUGAGUGGUACGAUUCCCCAAUGCUUGUCUGCUAUGAGCCACCUUGAAGUGCUUAACUUGAGGCGAAACAAUCUUACUGGAAGUAUUUCUGAUUUCAAAUUUUUUGAAGAUUGUGACUUGGUGUCUCUAGAACUCAAUCAGAAUCAAUUACAUGGUCAAUUUCCAAAGUCUCUAGCCAAAUGCAGUAACUUACAGGUUGUAAACCUCGGAAACAACUAGAUAACAGAUACCUUUACAUGCUUGUUGAGGAACAUCCCACCUUGCGUGUCCUUAGUUUGCGGUCCAACAAACUUUAUGGACGCAUUGGAUGUCCCGACGAGAGCUAUGGAACGUGGCCAGUGCUACAAAUCAUAGACGUAGCUCACAACAAUUUUCAUGGAGAAAUACCAGGAAGGUAUUUGAAAACCUGGCAGGCAAUGAUAAAUAACGAAGGUGAUGACCCGUCAGCAGUCCACGAGCUUUAUUCUGAAGAUAGUAGUUUGAAUGGUUAUCAUCAGACAAUAACAGUCAUAAGGAAAGGUUUUGAAGUCGAACUGGUAAAGAUUCUAACUAUCUUCACCACCAUUGACUUCUCUUGCAACAAUUUUAGCGGACCAAUUCCUAAGGAAAUGGGAGAAUUCAAAUCACUAUAUUUCCUCAACUUGUCAAGUAAUGCUUUUACUGGUGAAAUCCCAUCGUCAUUUGGCAAAAUGAGACAACUCGAGACCUUAGACCUGUCGCAAAACAAGCUGAGGGGGAAUAUUCCAUUGCAGUUGGCAAACCUUACUUUCCUUUCAUUCUUGAACCUCUCAAAUAAUCAAUUGGUUGGCAGGAUCCCAACCGGUCCUCAGUUUUCAACAUUUACAAGUGCAUCAUUUACAGGUAACAAAGGAUUAUGGGGGCCUCCUUUAACAGUAGAUAGCUUGUCACCACCACCAACAUUGACUGGGAGUGUUCCGAGUUCUGGAAAUGAGAUUGAUUGGGGUCUUAUCAAUGUUGAAAUUGGAUUUGUAUAUGGCUUUGGAGUUGCAGUCGGGUCACUUGUAUUAUGCAAGAGAUGGAGUAAAUGGUAUUACAAAACAAUGUAUAAAAUCUUUGUAAAGAUAUUCCCUCAUCUUGAAGAUAGAAUUGGUCCUCACCGAAGACAUGUCCACAUAAAUCAAAGGUUGGGACGCUGAAAUUAACGAUCAUGGCGACCAAUGCAGCUGGAUUUCAAGCUAUGCCUGGGAAAUUUGAGAUCCAACAAAUAAGAAGUUUGCUUUUUGGUUUUACCUUAUAAUUUAUGUAUGUUCUAGUUAUAUUUGUAAUAGUUUAUUGUGUAUCUUUAUGCUUUGUUUUCAAUAAAUUUGCUUGUACUGUCGAUGUUCCUAAAGUUAGCGUAAUCUGAUAAGCCCAAAAGAGAGUACCACAUGUUGUUAUGUAUUAUUUGUUCAAACUGGGUAGUAACAUGUCAAGACCAACUCCAUCCAUCAUAAUAUUCUAAAAAAGAAUAUCUUGACUUUGAAUUGCGAUAUGUUUUUAACAUUCUGCCAUUAAUUCAACUCUAAACUCAUCAUAUCUAGUAUACAACACCCAAUGUUUUGUUUUUCACCUCAAUUUGUAACAGAACAAACUCGCUCUUCUUGUUUCAGGAUUUCCUCACCAACUUUUAUGUCUGAGAUUGCAUCAAAAGGCAAAAACCAACCCUCUUAGGUAACAAAUAGAAAUGAAAAACUCAAAUGCUUUUACAAAAAUCAGCGAACUACUGUUCAAGCAGUAUUCUCCCUUUGAUGCCUGAGCAUUGUUCUAAAAAUCCCCGCCUAGGCGUUAGGCGGCUGGCCAUUGCCCCGAUUAAUGCCUAGGCGGAUGAGGCACCCGAACCCACCCAUAUUUGCCUAGGCACCUGCCUAGGUUGCGACUCACUUAGACAGAAAAUAAAUAACUUUCGAUUUGCAUUUAUUUAUUUUUUCGAUAAAUUGUAAGAGACUUAUUGAAUACUAGCACACACUCGAUGCUUGUUUCCCAUGUUUUCAUUAUGUUCCGAUACUUCAUAAUACAUAUGUCAUUCUAUUUUGUAGUUGAUGAUGAAAUUAUAUUUAUUAAGUAUAAACAAACACUUAUUUACACGAAAUAUAAUGGAUUUACUUAAAUCCGCCUAGGCACCCGCCUAGCCACCUAGGCGCUAGGCCUCAGCCCGCCACCCGACUAGCGCCUAAUGUCUUUUAGAACCUUGUGCCUGAGCACAACGGAAAGUUAAGAAACCCUACAAGGGCUUACAAGAGUUAAUCACUCGCCCUAUUGUUAACUGGUUUUACAAUGAACAUCAACUUCAAUUUUAGGACAAUCUCUAACUUGUAUUUUAAGACUUUUAGCUGACAAAGGCGAAGUAUCUAUCGCGAUGAUUAGGUCUUCCCUAUUAACUCUUAACUACUAAAAGAGAGGGUUAACACUUAACUACUAAAGGAUUUGAAUUGGGUUUGUUCCUCUGUGAGAGACUUAAUUGAAGGAAGUUACCCCGAUAAAUCCUCCACCAUAUCAUAGUUACAUACAACAUGAGCAUACACAAACCGUUCUGUUUUUCUUCCACCUAUAAUGGUAUUUGUAUUUGGUCGACUAUAUAUUGGCUUAGUCAGUCAAAAACUAAUAUAGGAGAAACAUGUAGAUUGCAGAUAUGCCUAGACUACUUCAAAGUCAAUCAAAUCAUAAACCUGAGUAAUGCAUGUAAGGUGGACUAAUACAACAUGGUUCUAGGAUAACAAUUUAACAUGCAUCAAGAUAAUUACAAGAAGAAGAUGCAUGAUACUAACCUGCACCGAUUGGAGACAUGGUGGCUUGAGUUCACAGGUUGUCUUCUACUUCCAGUACUUCAAAAUGUCUCUCUACCGUGAAUAGGGUUUGGCGUGAUUGAGAGUAUAAGCGUAUGGAAGCAGGGACUUAACCAUAAUAUUUAUAUCAUUAGGGUUUAAUCACAACCAACCUAUUAUUGGUUGUGAAAGUCAAACCCUAUCACUUAAGUGUUUAAGUCCCACCAUGAUACUGUAUCUUUGUAGUGAAAUCCAUCAGAUUUCUUUUAGGUCAAUUGCAAAGGCUAAGACUCCAUAAUCCUUAUUUCAUUUGGACUAUCAGAUUACUUAAUUUGUUAACAACUCAAUAAACAAGUGGUCUACAACAUAAGUAAUCCAAUACAUCAUUCAUUGUCAUUCACAACCUUACAAUGCACUGAAGAUUUCUGCUCUGGAAUCUCUGACGCUCAGGGAAUAAGCAAAAAGCAUGCAACAAAGCCUCCAAUGUUAAACCUGAAAUAACAACAGUAUAUCAAGUUUAAUUUUCUUUUCACUGGAAAUCAUACAAAAGAAUCAAGCAAGCCCACCGAACCAAUGUUUAGUAUAGUUGUAGCUAGGCACUGACUCAUUCAAGUGUGUUUAUAUGGAAGCUAAUCUAAAUUAUUUGUUCAAUUUAUCUGGUUAGUAACAUGUCCAGACCAACUCCAUGCAUCAUAAUAUUCUUCAACUGAAUCUGGACUCGUUCGAUGUAUUAUAUGGAAGUCAGCAAAAUUAUGGAGAUGAGAUUGAUUGGGAUCUUAUCAGUGUCGAAAUUGGAUUUGCAUUUGGGUUUGGAAUUGUUGUCGGGUCAUUGUUUUGUGAAAAAGAUGGAGUAAACGGUAGUGUGAGCUUGAUCUGUUACAAUUUUAUAAUUUGAUGUCGAAAGUUUUUAAAAGGUAGAAAAGAACGACAUAUUCAGGAUCAAAUUUUUCAUAAUGUUUUUUAAUCUUCUUUUCGAUACAAGAAUCAGCAUUACUCACUAUCGAAAUGAUAUAUUCUUGAACAAAUUUUCAAAAGUACGGAAUUUGACACAUAAAAUACAAAUCAUAAAACUAAAAUGGUGCUCAACAGAAGACAGAAUUAAACAAAAAAGGUGAUACAAGCAACAUUAAAUUAAACAGUUUUACUUAAUCGAGCUUCAUUUGACUGACUCUUCGCUUUUUCUUUUUUUUUAGGCCUUGGUUCUUAGCUUUUGCUUUUGUGGUUCUCCUCUUUGUUUGCAUUGCUGAUAUCAUGAACAUUUACUCUGUUUUAGCUUUGAUUUUUCUGGACGAAGACUUCCUAGUCAAGCUAAACAACGACAAAUCUAAUGGAGAUAUUUUCCCCAACAUUAAAGCCGGCACCGCAUCAAUACAAGCUGAGCGGGGAAAUCCCUUCGUAUCGUGGUGAGCAAUAUUAUUUUUCCAUCACUAAUCACAUUAAAAUAAUAAUAUGUCCUUUUCCAAAAAUUGACUUCCAAUUCAAGAUGCACGACUUAACAAUGAUUUCACAUUAUAAAAUUAGGUAAUGUUUAUGUUACGUAACGAUUCAUUUGUGUUGUUGUAUACUAGAGGGGAUCAGUCAAGGGAUAAACUAUCAUACGGCUUCGUGAACUUUGUCAAAUUGCAAUGGAGUUGAAUCUCCUUAAAAAGAGUGAGAUACACGUGUCUCAACCUAAUAGUUUACGUGCUUCUUAGAAAAAUAUUACAAUUUUCUUGUACUUUUCCUGACAAAAAAUAUAUAGUAUUUCUAAUUUUCUAUCAAGUUACUUGCCUGGCCAGAAGACUGGGUCACUGGAGCACAGCUGCUUAUUUCAAUUUAAGCCAAUUUCCUCCAGUGACUUUGAAUUAGUCGCUUCAAACCUUUUUUUCCUGGUUCGAGUCGGAGAAAAUUAUUUUAAUGGUUUAAGACUUCAAAUUCGUUUUCUCCAUCAAAUUAUUUAGAAUACAUUUGAUAAUUACUUUUUAUUUUUUAUUUUAAUGGUUUAAGAGCCAUACAUAAUAUACAUAUAAACAAGUCAAUCCCCUUGAGUCACUUCAGAUUUUAAAAGUGAUAGAUUUGAUAGGAUUUAAGAGGAUUAAAGAUUCAUACAAAAUUCAUAUGGAUUUGAAUGGAUAGUUUGUAGAUUUUGGUGGAUUGUGAUGGAAGGAUUUGAAAUCCUAGGGGGUGAGGUUGGAUUCCUUUUAGCCUUGGUUACAUAUAGAAAUCCUUAGAAAUCCUUUAAAAUCCACAACUUAUAGAAAUCCCCCAAAAUUUGAAUACACUUAGAUUUGGAUGAAUUUUAAAAUCCUUUAAAAUCUUUUAAUUGACUACACCUAGAUUUUAAUGGAUUCUAAAAUCCUUUAAUUGACUACACCUAUAUUUUAAUGGAUUCUAAAAUCCUUUAAAAUCUUUUAAUUUACUAAACUAGGAUUUUAAAGUCUUUUAGAAUCCUCUCAAAUACAAGUUUGACUACACCCAAUACGUUUGAUAAUUACUUUUUUUUUAAAAUUAAAAAUAGUUACUAAAUGAAUUUUUAAUUUAAAAAAAGAUAAAUAAAAAAUAAAAACGAAAUAGUUAUUAAAUAACCUCUUAAAGCUUAAAAAUCAUUUUAUUUAUUAUUUUUAGUUUUCACUUUUUGUACUUAAGAUAAGGGAAAAUAAGAGAUGGACUGGUUACAAAUGUAGAUGUUGUGCAACUGGCUGUGCGGAACUGAGAUCCAAAUUACAUCUACAUCACAACAAACCACAGUUGAAUAAAAUGGGGCCCUGUGUGAAAAUUAAAACGGGACCCUUUCACACACAAGACUUAUUUUUUUGUGUUUAAAACAAUUUUUUUCCUUCUAUGGUAUAUUUAGAGCACUUUGAAAGUUGGGCAAUCCCCUAUGGGGUAGGCUAUUCAAUGCCCCAAUCCCUCCAGCAAUUGGCUCCAGCCCAAUCCAAUCAGCUAGGCUUCAGGCGAGCUUGAACUGUCCACCAGGCCGAAAUCCAUGGGUAUAGCCCCCAAGCUGACGUCAACUAUUAAAAAAUUAUAAAAUAUUAAUAAAUUAAAUAUAAAUACAAAAAAUAUAAUUUUUCUAUAAAUACCUAAACUUUCUUCAUAUAUCAAGCACAAAAAAGUGAAAACCAAAGUCAAUGAAAUGGUUAUCAUGAAAUGCUUUAAUUCACUUGUAGAAUUAAACACUAUUUCAUUAAUUACCCCACCUGUAGAUUUGUAAAAGAGAUACUUAAUCAUAGUUUGAAAGUGCCUUUAAAAUAACUGAAAGUACUUUUAAAGAAAAUGUUUUUAAGUUCCAAAAGCACUUGAAGUGUUUUUUGGGUCGAAGAAGCACCACUUGAAGUGUUUUUUCCAAAAUUCACUUGCGUUUUUACUAAUAAUUAAUUCUAGAAAUAUUUUUACUAAAAAAACUUUCUGUUAUUUUAAAAUCACUUCUAAACAAGCUAUUAAAUAAAAUCGAGAAGAUAAUACAUGUAUCUGAACGUGGGGAACACACUCCCUUGCGUGAAGUUUUAGCCCCUCUCUUGUCAACAUUGAAAAAACAACCCACAAUUUAAACCCCACAAGGAAUAUGGGGAAAGACUUUGAAGUCAACAAGUCAAGCAAACCUCAAAUUUGGUAGAAACCAUCAACCAUGUUUUUCUCAGAGUCUCUAAGAGUCAUACAUACACACGUCAAUCCAUUUGAGUCACUUCAGUUAUUUAGAAUCCGUUUCAUAAUUAUUAUUAUUAUUUUUUAUUUUUUAAAUUAAAAGUAGUUACUAAAUAAGUUUUUAAUUUUCAAAAAAAAAAAAACGAAAUGGUUAUUAAACAGCCUAUUGGAGCUUGGAAAUUAUUUUAUUUUUUUGUUCGUAGUUUUCACUUUUUUGUACUUGAGAUAAGGAAAAAUGGGAGAUUAAAUGGUUAUACAUGUAGAUGUUGUACAAUUGGCUAUGCAAAGCUGAAAUUUAAAUUACAACCAUAUCACAACAAACCACAGUUUAAUAAAAUGGGGCACUGUGUGAAAAUUAAAAUGUGGCCCUUUCACGCACAAGACUUGUAACGCCCCGGCUUCAAAAUAUUUAUUUUCGGGAAAAACAAUUUCUAUGGUAGGCCCACAAUUGAUAUAUAUGUCUUAUCCACGAUCAUUCACCACAAUUCUCUCUAAAAAGCCUUGAUUCCACCAAUGGCUCUUAAUUAAAAAUUCCUUAUCAAAUGUACAAUUAAAUUUCUAUUUUAUCACCAAGUCCUUUACAUGGACAAAUUUCUAGAUUUCAACACUAAUUCUCAAAUUUCUUAACCUUACUUGAUUUAUGGCUGCAUCUAACAUCUUAUUAGACUGCCUACGUACCCUGAACAGGGAUCAAGCCAUUUGUAGUUCAUAAUUCAAUAUUUUCCAAUUUCCGAACAUAAUCUCUAAUCCACCAUAUUCAUAUCAACCGUUACAACCCAGUUCAUCUCAAAUGGGUACCAAUAAAGAUUCAGAAUAUCGAAACUUACAUGAAAAAUGGCAACGUCGGCUCCCUGGGCGUGAGCCGCCGCACCCGCCGCCGCCAGUGGUGGUCGGCCGCCUCGAAUUGCCGGAAAAUUCCACUAUUUCUAAAAAUUCUCAUAAAAAUACAUAAAUAAAGAUCUCAAAGAGUAGAGCAAACUUUAUACCUGUGGUCAAGUCCAAUUUGGCCUGGAAAGGCUCCAAUUUGAUUCAAACCCGCCGGAAACCCUUGAAUUUGGGUAUUUUUGAUUCGACUCCAAAGCUACUCCGACGCCUCAACCAUUACUUGGGCUUUGUUCCAGGCUUCAAGACGAAUCUAAUGGUGGUGGUAAUUUAAUGAAAUCGUUUCGGAUUUGGGUGAUUCGAACACAACACCACCGCACCCUACCGUGUGGAUUCACCCAUUUUCAAGGCCAAAACCCUUGAUUUUUGAGGUGUAAGAGGAAGAGGGAAGGUUAUGGGGAGGUUUUCAAUUGACUUUUUCGUGGAAUUCACUGGAAAAACCGUCGGAAAAGCCGAAUGGGUAGCUGGGGUUCACGGGUCCGUUCGACCCGACCCCUUUUCCCCUUCUUCCUUUUUCUCUCCUUUCCCUCAUUUCUUUCUCCUCCCAUUGGUCCUGCCCCCUCCUUUCUCUCAUUUCCCUCAUUUCUCUUCUUUCCUUUUCAUCCCAACCGUCCAUCUCAUUUUUUUCUUAUUUUCUUUUCAUCUCAGCCACACAAGUGGCACACCACAGAUUCCAGAAAAUCUGGAAUGUUCCCACUAGAUGUCAAAAUGACUAGUUUACCCUCCACUUCUAUCAUUAAUAUCUUCCUCGUUAUAACUUCAUUUCACGAACUGUUCACGCCUACGCGUUCAUGAGAUCGAGCUCUAUCCAAAAUAUAAAUUGUGACCUCAAAGGGUCUACGGGUUUUAAAUAAUUAAUUUCCAAACUUUAAACCUCGUAACCAGUUUAAUUGAAAACUAAACUCAAUUGAAUUUAUAUAAAUUCUCGAUUCUUUUCACAUAUCCAUAAUUAUGAAUAUCCAAUUCAUAUAUUUAAAUUUUAUAUCAAAUUCAUAUAUUUAAAUUUUAUAUCAAAUUCAUAUAUUUAAAAAUUUCAGGGUAUUACAAGACUUUUUUUUGUGUGUUUAAAAGAUUUUUUUUCUUCUAUGGCAUAUUUAUAAAAGUACAAAACUUAGUCUGAAAGUCAACUUUGUAACACAAUAUCUUCUACUAAAUAAUUGAUAUAGAAGAAUUUAAGGGAAGGUAUAUGUUAAACAAAUGAAGUUUUUAACAAAGAAAAAAUAUAUAAAAAGAUACAGUAUUUUUAAAACAGAAAACCAUUUGGGUAUUUUUCAAAUUUGUACUUAGUUAAGUUAUGCAUAUAUAGUUUUUUUUUUUUUUGGAAUAUAUAAAAUUGAAAUAUAUAUGGAAGCUAAUCUAAAGUAUUUGUUCAAUUUAUCCAGUUAGUAACAUCACUUUAAUCGCUUUUGUAGAAUGCCGCUUCGAACCAAAAAAUUAAACAUGAUUUCAUUAAUUACUUCACUUGUAGCCUUGUAGAAGAGAGACUUAGACCUCGUUUAGAGGUGCUUUUAAAAUUAUUGAAAGCGUUUUUAGAAAAAAAAUGUUUUUGGGUCUCAAAAACACUUGAAGUGUUUUGUGGAAGAAGCAUCACUUCAAAUGAUUUUCCAAGAUUCAUUUUUGUUUUUAUAGAAUAUUGAUUCUAAAAACAUUUUUUUUCUUAAAACGCUUUUAAUUGUUUUAAAAAUACUUUCAAACAAGUUUUUAUAUGAAACUAGGAGUAUAACGCAUGUAUCUGAACGUGGGGUAUACAUUGUUUCGUGAAGUUUUAGCCCCUCUGUAGGGGCGAAAUUUUACCCUCUCUUUUCCACUCAGUGGUCUGUCAGCAUUGAAUAAAACAACCUACAAUUUAAAAUUCUUCAUACAUACAUACAUUACCAUCACCACGAUAAGGGAUACGGGGAAAGACUUUGAAGUCAACAAGUCAAGCAAACCACAAAAUUAUACCCGCUAUACAUACCCAUCACCACGUUUUCUGUAGUAUGGCUCGCUUAAGUUAACGAAUUUUUAAUUUUUGAAAAAAAAUAAAAAAUGAAAAUAGAAUGAUUAAUAAAAUAUAGGACAAUUGACGCGUGAGAACUAUAAUUUGGACUAUGAAGAACUUUAUAAAAUAUAGGACAAUUGUUACACAUUCGGAUAAACAAAGCGCAUAAACACACGUUCACAGUUCAACUUCAUCAUGGUUUCAGCUGAGCUUAGAUAGUCAUUUCGGUUUGUAUUGACUGACUAUGUAUUGCCUUAGUCAGUCAAUAGCCACUGGAAAAUGAGGAUAGGAAAGCAACGCAGUCAGACUAGAACGCCAUGUUGUAUUAAAAAUAUCUAGAAAUCAAUUAAACUUUAUCAAAAGUCAUGAAUUGAGACAAUCAAGACUUCAAAAUCAACGUCAACCAAUAAAACCAAGAUUUUUUUUUUGAAAUGUUAUAUGAAAUUAUACACCUUCAAUUUAUCAUAUAUGAACUAAAAUUUUAAACGAUUUGUUAUACCAACUUUCUGAAUCAUUAAUUUUUCAUCUAACUCUAACUUCGUUAAGUUUUUCAUUCAAAAUAACUCAUGUGCAAGGCACCCAUAACUUAUGUUCAGGAGUAAUUUUAGACAUUUCAACGAGUGUCGCCCUCACUUCUCCCUUUGCAUUUAAUAACCACAAAAGGCAUCAAAAUGCCUUUCAUUCGUCUCUGCUUUUUAGGCACACACCCCAUUUUACUUCUCACACACUUUUUUAAAUUUCAGCCGUUGGAUCGGAUAAAUUGAAGAAGAUCUAACGGACAGAAAUUAUCAAGGGUGUGUGAGAAGUAAAAUGAGGUGUGUGGAUAGCACACCCCUUCCUUUUAUUCUAGUCUGCUUUUCUUUUAGCUGUGCAGGGAAAACAACAUUCUAUUUCAUUUGAACCACGUUAUUAUUAGUUCAUUAUAACUUUAAAUUUAAAAUUUCUCUUUAGUAUAUCAUUUGUUCAAAAAUAAAAAUAAAAACUCAUAAGAGUAUAUUUCCAAAUUUAUUGAGGUCAAGGGAUCUCAAUGCACCUUUGUUGGCUUUGCUAAUGAAAACAUUGCAAAGUACGUGAUUUAUUUUAGAUGGAAAAUUUAAUAGAGUUGGUAUGACAAAUCGCUUAAAUAUUAGUUCAUAUGAUAAAUUUAAAAAAAAAAGUGUAAAAAUUCCUAUAACAUUUCAAAAAAAAAAAAUCCUAAUCUAACAAUUCUACAGUGCCAUAUAUAAAUCCAAGUAUAUUAAUUAGUAUAUUUCAUGCGACAAAUUUCCACUUGCCACAUUGCCUAAAGUAGUACUACAAUUACUCUUAAGCAAUAAUAUUUCGCUAUUGAAAAACAACCCACAAUUUAAGCCCCACAAGGAAUAUGGGGAAAGACUUUGAAGUCAACAAGUCAAUCAAACCAUAAAUUUGGUAGAAACCAUCACACACGUCAAUCCGCUUGAUAAUUAUUAUUUAGAAUCCGUCUGAUAAUAAUUAUUUUCUUAUUUUUAUUUUUUAAAAUUAAAAGUAGUUAUUAAAUAAGUUUUAAAUUAAAAAAAUGAUAAACGAAAAAUAAAAACAAAAUGAUUAUUAAACAGCCUAUUGGAGCUUGGAAAUUAUUUUAUUUUUUGUUUGUAGUUUUCACCAUUUUGUACUUGAGAUAAGGGAAAAUGGGAGAUGAAAUGGUUAUACAUGAAAAUGUUGUGCAAUUGGCUGUGCGGAACUGAAAUUCAAAUUACAACCACAUCAUAACAAAUCACAGUUCAAUAAAAUGGGGCACUAUGUGAAAAUUAAAAUGUAGUCCUUUCACGCACAAGACUUUUUUUUUGUGUGUUUAAAAGAUUUUUUUUUUCUUCUAUGGCAUAUUUAUAAGUACAAAACUUAAUCUGAAAGUCAACUUUGUAACACAAUAUUUUCUACUGAAUAAUAGAUAGAGAAGAAUUUAAAGGAAGGUAUAUGUUAAAGAAAUGAAGUUUUUAACCAAGAAAAAAAAUAUAUAUAAAAAGAUACAGUAUUUUUAAAACAGAAACCAUUUGGGUAGUUUUCAAAUUUGUACUUAGUUAAGUUAUGCAUAUACAGUUUUGUUUGGAAUAUAUAAAACUGAAUAUAUAUCCCUGUUCCUUCGGGACCCCCACAGCCGACACUGAGUAAGACCAAAUUGGUCUUUGGCUCACACGCCAUUACACAUUCUAUAAUUACAAAGAAGAAUAACUAGGGACCUGCCUAUUACAUUUGGUCACAUUUGGUCACAUAUCAGCAACAACUUCCGAUGAAAACUCCUCUGCUUUCAUGGCUUUUCUUACUCCGCAUUUGCUAUGUUUCACUCACCUUCCAUACGUUUGUGGUCUCUACCCAAUGUCCCGGCGAUCAGCAAUCUUUGCUGCUGCAAUUGAAGAACACCCUCACAUUUGACCCUGCAACGUCUCAAAAACUUGUGAACUGGAAGAAUGGAUCGGAUUACUGCUCUUGGGAAGGAGUGUCCUGCAAAGAGGGUUGUGUUUCGAAUCUGGACUUGAGCAACGAGUGGAUUACUGGUGGACUUGAUAAUUCCAGUCCUCUUUUCGGUCUGAAGUCGAUCGAGAACCUGAACUUGGCUAACAACUCCUUCAACUACACUCAGAUUCCUUCCGAGUUCAAGCAGCUAACCGGUUUGCAUAACCUGAACUUGUCGUGUGCUGGCUUUGCGGGGCAGGUUCCGAUUUAGAUUUCGCACUUGACGAGGUUGGUAACUCUUGAUUUGUCUUCCUUGCACGUAAGCGGUUCUGGCUUAUAUGGUAGAUUCCCAGAGAAGAUCUUCCAGGUACCUACACUACAGACUAUUGAUUUGUCAGGCAAUGAACAGCUUCAGGGUUCCUUACCCGAAUUUCCAAAGAAUGCAUCUCUUCGGUCCUUGGUUCUACGCUGGGCUAACUUUUCAGGGUUACUACCGAACUCUAUUGGCAACCUCAAAAUGUUGUCCAAGAUAGAUCUUCGGGGGUGCAAUUUCACUGGAUCAAUCCCAAGUUCAAUAGCAGACCUUCAUCAAUUGGUUUAUUUUGACUUGUCAUGGAACAAGUUCAAUGGUUCAGUUCCAUCCUUCAGUAUGGCCAAGAAUCUGACCCUAAUAUAUCUUUCUGCCAAUCUACUUGAUGGGACUAUUCCGUCAUCUCUGUUUUCUCUUCCCAUGCUGCAAGGUUUAGAGCUUUCUAACAAUCACUUCUCUGGCCAGUGACCUGAAUUUGGUAAUUUUUCUUCCCUACAAGUCCUUGAUUUGAGUAGCAAUAGUUUGGAAGGGCCUAUACCCAUGUCGAUCUUUAAUCUACGAGAGCUUAGAACACUCUCACUUUCUUCAAACAACUUCAGUGGGUCCUUUCCGCUUAAUGAUAUUCAACAACUGAAAAAUCUCCAAGAACUUUAUCUUUCAUACAAUAGCUUGCUAAUUAAUCAUUACAGUUCCAAUUCCUCCUACUCCUUUCCUCAACUUCGCGCAUUGAAAUUAGCUGCUAGAAAGUUGAGAACCUUUCCUGAUUUCUUGAGAAAUCAAUCAAUAUUAGGCCUUUUGGACCUAUCCCUAAACCAGAUCCAUGAAAUACCCAACUGGAUUUGGAGGCUUAGUGGUCUUUAUAUACUAAAUCUUUCUUGCAACUCUCUGGUAAAUCUACCAGGUCCUUUCCUCAAUCUUACUUCUCAAUUGUUUAUGCUUGACCUUCAUUCCAACCAGCUUCAGGGACAAAUUCCAAUGCUUCCACCAUCUGCCGGUUAUCUGGAUUACUCAAGAAAUAAUUUCAGCUCAAGCAUACCGGCAGACAUUGGUGAUUUCCUUAUGCAGACAGCGUUCUUCUCUCUUGCAAGUAAUCACAUCCACGGGAUCAUUCCAGAAUCAGUAUGCAAGGCGACAUUAUUUCUUGAAGUUCUUGAUCUGUCCAAUAAUUCCUUAAGUGGCAUGAUUCCCCAGUGCUUGACUGCAAUAAACGGGCCUCUUGCAGUACUUGAUUUAAGGAGAAACAAACUUUCUGGCACUCUUCCUGAUAAUUUUCCUGAGAACUGUAGUCUACAAACUCUAGACCUCAAUGGCAAUGUGAUUGGUGGUCAGUUCCCAAAAUCUCUAGCCAACUGCAGAAUGUUAGAGGUGUUAAACCUGGGAAACAAUCAGAUAACAGAUGUCUUUCCAUGCUUAUUGAAGAACAUAUCCAGCUUGCGUGUACUUGUCUUGCGUUUCAACAAAUUUUAUGAUAGCAUUGAAUGCCUUAAGACUAAAAGUGCCUGGCCAAAGCUUCAAAUUGUUGACAUAGCUCGCAACAAUUUUACUGGCGAAAUACCAGGAAGUUUUUUGAAAACGUGGCAAGCAAUGAUGGCUGACAAAGAUGGUGCCGUGUCAAAGCAAUUUCAAGUUGUAGACCUCGGCCAGGUGUACUAUCAGGAUACUGUAACAGUUACCACCAAAGGUCUAGAGAUGGAAUUUAUAAAGAUCUUAACAGUCCUCACCUUAAUUGACAUGUCCUGCAACAAUUUUAAUGGAUCAAUACCUGAGGAAGUGGGAAAGCUCAAAUCACUUUAUGGCCUAAACUUGUCCAGUAAUGCUCUCACAUGCGCAAUCCCAUCAUCACUAGGUAAUCUACGACAGCUUGAGUCCUUAGACCUUUCGGACAACAAAUUGAGCGGAACAAUUCCAUCAGAAUUUUCCAAACUUAAUUUCCUCUCAUUCCUAAAUCUGUCGAGUAAUCAACUUGUCGGGAAGAUUCCAACCGGCACUCAGAUUCAGUCUUUUUCACCAGAUUCUUUCACAUGCAAUAAAGGAUUAUAUGGGCCACCGUUAGAUGACGGAUCACCAAGGUUGCCACCAACAUUAGAAGGCAAACAUUCUAAUUCUGCGCACAGAAUUGAUUGGGAUCUUAUCAGUGUUGAAGUUGGAUUUAUUGUUGGCUUUGGAGUUGCGGUCGGGUCACUUGUGUUGUGCAAGAGAUGGAGUAAAUGGUAUUACAAAACAAUGUAUAAAAUCCUUGUUAAGAUAUUCCCUCAGCUUGAAGAGAGAAUUGGUCCUCACUGAAGACAUGUCCACAUAAAUCAGAGGUUCAGACGCUGAAGUUAAUGGUCAUGGGGACCAAUGCAGCUGGACCUCAAGCUAUGCCUGGGGAAUUUGAGAUCCAACAAAUAAGAGGUUUUCUUUUUGGUUUUACCUUUUAAAUUUGUGUAUGUUAUAGUUAUAUGUGUAAUAGUUUAUUGUGUAUCUUUAUCCUUUGUUUUCAAUAAACUUCCUCGUACCGUCGAGGUUCUUGAAGUUAGCGUAAUUUGAUAUACCCAAAAGAAUGUACUACAUGUAAUGUAUUAUUUGUUCGAAUUGUGUAGUACGAUGUCGAGACCAACUCCACCCAAAAGAGUGUACUACAAAGAACAUCUUGACUUCUGAAUUGCGAUAUGUUUUAACAUCUUGCCAUUCAAUUUUAAACUCAUCAUAUCUAGUACUACAACACCUAAUGAUUUAUUUUUCACCUCAAUUUAUAAGAGAGCAAACCAGCGCUUUUUGUUUCAGAAUUUCCUCACCAACUUUUAUGUCUGAGAUCGCACCAAAAGGCAAAAGCCAACCCUCUCAGGUAACAAGAAGAAAUGAAAAACUCAACCGCUUUUACAAAAUCAGCAAACUACGGUUCAAUCAGUAUUCUCCCUUUCAUGUCAGAGUACAAUGAAAUACUCAUUUGCUUUUACAAGAGUUGAGUCACUCGCCCAAUUUCAACUGGUUUUAGGAUGAACCUCAACUUCAAUUAUGGGACAAAAACUUCUAUCGUUUAAGACUUUAAGUUGACAAAUGCGAAGUAUUGAUCACGAUGAUUAGGUCUUCCAUAUUAACACUUAACUACUAAAAGAGAGGAUAAACACUCAAUAGGAUUUGAAUUGGGUGUGUUCAGUUACCCCGAUAAAUCCUCCGUAGAGCAGACUACGACAGUCACAAACCCACGAUACCAUAGUUACAUAUAAUACAUGAGUUUUUCGGAGAAUAUAUUUCUCUUGCUACCCAGAAAAUCAACAUGAGCAUACACAAACCAUUCUGUUUUUCUUCCACCUAUAACCGUAUGUGUAUAUGAUCGACUAUAUAUCGCCUUAGUCAGUCAAAAACUAAAAUAGGAGUAACGUGUAGAUUGCAGAUAUGCCUAUACAACUUCAAAGUGAAUUAGAGUCAAUCAAAUCAUAAACCUGAGUAAAAUUUCUGGUUUGGAAUCUCUGACGUGCAGGGAAUAAGCAAAAUGCACGCAACAAAGCCUCCAUUGUUAAACCUGAAAUAACAACAGUAUAUCAAGUUUAAUUUUCUUUUCAUUGGAAUCCUGAGUAAACAUAAUUCUUUCAAAAAGAUCAGACGCAAAUGCUUAUAUCCUACAGAUUUGUAAUUUCAUAUUGUGAACUAGCACCGCAACAAAAUAUUUACAUGUAUAUUGCAUAGUAUUUCUAAAUGCUUACAAAUUGGUAGGAUUAGCUAUUAUAUUGCAGUGUAAACCUCCUUCUGAAUGAAUGAAGCCGAGUGGUAUCUCCCACAAAUGUGAAGAACUUGUUGGAAUCAAUGCUUUUCUCUGAAACUUUAGCCCUUACCAAAGACAAAAUCUUCGAUUAAUGACUCAAGUCCACUAAAACAAGUCUAGAAUUUCCAAGCUUAUUCCUAAAUUCUAUAGCUUUAUCAACAAUAAUAUCAGAUGCCUUUGCAAGGUCAAAUUGAAAAUCUGCUGUUGAAAUGAAAGGAAAUGCUAGAGUGGAAACAUCGUUUAGAGAACCAUCACCGCUAACAGAGCCUACAGCUAGCUCUUCACCUUCCUUUGACUCCUUACCAGAUUUUUCAGAAAGUGAACCUGUUCCUUUCAAAGAGGUUUCCUUUUCUUCAGUAAUUUGAGAAGCAUUAGAAUCCUGUACACUCUUCGAAGUUGAUUCAGUAUUAGCAGGACCAUCGGUUUUCCUUAAGAACAUUAUACCUAGUUGAAUUUUUGCACCGGGGUUCUUCUGACCGAAAUAACCAUUGGGAAGUGUAUCUAACGGACCAAGUCCACGAAUGCAUCAACAGAAGAUUGAACAUCACUCUCACUCUGGCAAUAAGUAAUUCUAGCAAACCCUUCACUCAGCUAAGGCAAUUCUUUCUUCUGCAGCAUUCUAUUCACAAUCGCCGCAGCUUUCCCGCCUUGCACAUUUCCUUCAUGGCCCGUUCGCUUCACAUACCGCAAUAUACAAAGCUUGGCAGGAAGAUCAAGCACCACAACAUGAACAAACUUGGGAACUACCACCAAGCUUCACAAAAUCAUCCCUUUGUUCUUCCUCUACAUUACACCUAUCUAUAAACACACUCUUCUCAUCCUUCAACGCAUUCAUUGCACUCUCUAUACACUGCCCUUUCGUUCGGGCUUUACCAUUUUUGAUAGUAUCCUACAAAAACAAAAAAUAUGAACAUAUAACAGCAUAAAACAAGAACCCAAAUGAAUAGAAAUCCGGAGUACCAUACUACGUACUGAAAAUAGCAAUCUAGAGCCCACUGCGACAUUUCAUCGAACACACUGUGUCCACAGAGAUAUACCUGGCAAACGCAAACACAAGGGCGAGUGGAGCGCAUGACAUGUUCGCAGAAGGUAGACAUGUUCGCAGAAGGUGAUGCGUAAAAUAACUAAACACACAAAAUUAAACCCUCUUUUUAUCAAUUGUAGUAAAGUAUGUAAGUAGGGAUCGUUCUAGGCCGGGGAUUAGGAGGGAUUGCUAAAUCACUUGGAAACUGACUUGAAAACGUAAAAACAAAGUUUAAAACACUAACUAGACUCAAAGAAUGCAAAACUAUACUUUAAAACACUAAAACAAACCAAAAGACUCAAAACAGCCCCUAAACACUCAAAACUACCUUAAACACACAAUCUGGGCAGUUUUGGGACUCUAACACAAACUUGGACGAAUUUUGGUUUUCUAAUGAACUAAACACUUAAAAACAUAAUCUAAGACAAGUUCUAUUUUAAUAUGACUCAAAGAAAUAAGAUGGGGUUGAUUUUGGACAAAAAUAAUUAAAUUAAGACAAGAACAAAGUAAACGAAUUCUUAGACAAAUUUAAGUGAAUCAAAACAAAUUGUAAAAUGAAUUUGAAUGAAACUUAUGGAUGGAAGGCUAGCUAGGAGGUUCUUCUCCACACAUGUCACACUUGCAUACAAAACGAUUUCCAGUUGCUUUUCGAUAAGCUAUGAAUACUCAACGCCCCAAAUUAACCGUGAAUUGCACUAAUUAACCCUCAGUUUUUCCACAAGUUAUUAGGUUGGAUGAUCGCAUACGACAACCCAAAACAUUCCCUACAAGUUCCCUACAUGAAUUGCAUAAUAGAGAUACAAGCAAGAAUCAUUAAGUUCUAUGAAAAACAUAAGCAUUGACGAGGCACUCGUUACUAUGAUUUGCAUGAAACUUAUGCCAAGAAUUUACUUAACGUGAUUGUGACUAGCAACCUUCACUACUUGUGAAUAUAAGUUCAUAACGAUUAGGUGAAACUCCCUUAUAUUCUAGCGUCAAAUUCAUGCAUGAAAAUUAAGCGUGCACUCUCAACCAACAUACACAAAUCAGUUUUUAUACGAACGGAUAAGUAAAUUGAAUUCACAACUUAUGAAUCACAACUGGAUGUAAUCAAAUCAUAUUGCAAGUAUGAACAUAGUUUCGAAUCACCCCUAACUAAGAGGGGUUUAGUUCCUCAUACUCACAAAACAAAGAUACAUAAAAUUAGACAUUAAAAUCAAAGGAAAGAAAACACCUAAAAUGCUCCAACUUGGUAGCAAGUGCAUCCAAGAUUCCUCCUUUCCCUAUGCUUGCGGCAGAUUGGGUUAUGGACAGAUUUUGGGUAGUUUUAUGAUGUAGAAUGGAUGGGGAAUGGUAUGGAAGGGUUUAGGGUGAGUGUGGAGGAGUGUUUGAGGGUUGGAGGGUGGUGGAGAACUAGGCAAAGAGGGUGGAAGAAGGUGGAGUGGCUGUUAUGUUUUCUAGGCACUAGAAUGGUGUUUUUUGGGGUGUUUUGCUUCCUAGGGUGUGUAUGGACGAAUUUUUGUGAUAAAAUGAUGAAUAUGGGGGAUUGUUCUUUGGCCAAGGGGUGUAAACAUGUAUUUAUAGGCCCCCAAAAACCUUAGAAAAUCAGGUUAGGUUAAGGAUGAAAUGCAUGGCAAUUUGUGUGUGUGGUGUGCAAUGGUCCAAGGGUGAAAAUGAAGUAAUGAUGCAAAGUGUGAAGGGUAAAAUGGAGUGGUGUUGUAGCUAGGGAGCAUGAAUGAUUGUGUACAUUGCAUAGAGAUGGAAAGGGAGGUGAAAUGUGUCAACAAAUGGGUCAAAGGUGCAACAACAUGUGUUACACAUGGCAUUGGAUUCCAAAUGUGAAUGAUGGAGCAUCAAUUGGUGCAUGUAAUGGAUGUAAAUGUUGUCUAAAAUCUAAUGAGUGAAGGGAACAAGAGGUAUCAAGCAAUUGAGUGUAAUAAUUAAAUAAAUUGAAGCAUGAAAUUAGAAAUUAUGUAGGGGACAAGAGUGAUUAAGCAUGGCAUGGAAUCCAAAGGGAAUUCUAUGUGGUUUGCAUGGCAAGGAAUGCAAGUUGGGGUGACAGAUUUUUGGGCUGUUUUCUUCAUCUUUUGGACCAUAAUUCUUCAUAUUCUUGGCCUCUUUAGUUCUCAAAUUCGUCCAUCCACUUGGCCCAUGCAUUUGACAUCCAUUCCAAGCCCCAUUUUGCUCCAAAAUGCAUCUUCUUGCCUACUUUGUCCAUAAAAUCUGAAAACACACGAAAAUGACUUUAAACAUUAAAAUAACUAAGGAAACACGACAUAAAUGCACAAUAACAAGCCAACUAAGUCGCAUAAAUAUGCUCCUAUCAGAAGGUAGACAUGCCGCUUCCAGGCCCACCUACCAAUAUUACUACGACAGGCUUUCCUUGUUUUUCUUCCCCCGUCAAAAACGCAUACAGGUUUUAUGAUCACCGAAGGCGGCGACGACCGAGAAUGGUAAAACGCGGCGUUUUGGAGAAAGGGCAUACCUUUGACUGUUUCGUCGAUGUCCAUGUCCAUGUUUUGGAAGACUCUGCGAGGCACUUUUGAAUUAACAGCGGAAAAGCAACGGUUUCUUCUUCCACUGGGCUGGAAGCCUGAAGCUUCUAUUGCCGGUGCCUGGUGCUUGCGUAAUGGGACACAUGUCACACAUCGUCGACCCGAAAAUUGACAAGAUCCGAUUCGAUUUGGAUUUUAUCCGUAUUUUAGCCUUCUCGCAAGUGCUAAUGCGUAAAUGAGAAGUAUUUUAUAAUCACGGGCCUUACGAGCGCCCUUUAAAGAUGGGUUUGCUUUAAUUAUUGUUCUAAUUGUUUAACAUUGUUAUUUCGUAAGAAAUUUGCGAGGGCAUUUUCUUAUGAUAUUAGGUAUUUCAAUCAUCUUCCUGUGAUAAUUUUUUCUAUAAUUAUGUUAAAGCCCUCCGUAUUCCGGUAACCUACAACAUGGUAAAUCUAUAGAAAUUAUAAACUUGAUAAUUACGUUUAUAGCACAAAAGCCUAUACAUACAAUCGUGUUUACUUGGUGUACAAGUAAGGAUCUCUUCAAUUUCUUGAUAGCGAUUUUACCACUUGUAAAACAAAGGGUUAAACCAUAGAAAAUUCUUGCAAGAGAACAAGUGUUUGUAGUAUAGAAUGGCUCAAGCAAUGUCGAUCUCCUCAGGGACUGAUAUAAACAAUUUACGAGUUUUUGUGUAUUUAACUUAUUUAACUUUAAGAAUUACACUAAUUUGACGAAACUAAAUAUUACUGGAUGUGACUUAACCAAAUAUCUAACAUGGGAAUUGGUUUAUAGGAACAGUGAUUCAACUUAAACAAAACAAGUAAAUGAGGAAAUUUAAGAUAAAAUAACUGAUUGAAGAAAAAUAGAUUGACAAUAUGCUAGAGUUCAACCUUUACCAACAACACUCCUACGUAGCUAUUCCAAUUGCUUAAAUAAUUGAAAACACACAUGCUUUGAAGGUUGGAAUUUCCUUGUGUAUGUUUUACUUGUGACAUUCAAGUUAAAACGCAUACCACUACAUGCAACUUAUCCAUGACAUUUGGAUUAAAUAUAAACAUGAGUGAUUCAUUAAUCUUGGUGAAAAUCCUUUUGUUAAACCAUGUAAUCCCUAAGAGCAUGAUAUUUACCUUAGGAGAGUACAAUCCUCAAUCACAAGAAGCACAACCAAUUUUAACAUGACAUUCGUUCAAAAUUGCAUCCGAUAACUUUUUAAGCAUCCUAAUGGUGAUCAAGCAUCAAGGUACAUAGAUAGUUUAAUUCAGUGAUUGAAAAUAUCAAAGCAAGCAUGUAACAACACUUAAGCAAUUGAAAAAUAAAUCUACGUAUUCAUGUUGCGGCUCAUGGCCUCACUCUAACAAAAUAAAUUAGUUACACAUAAUUAUUUGAUACAUAAAAAAUUAUCCAUAAAACAAAAUAACAAAAAAAGAAAACAUCCGUUUUAACAAGACGAGCUCUCUGUUGCUCCUGACUUCCUCUGCUCUGCUGCGCCUCUUCUUCUUUGCUUCUGCUACACCUCUGCUUCUGUGCUCUGCUGCGCCUCUUUCUUUUCCUCCCGUCAGUCUCCCCCCUUUUUACUUUUUCUUUUCUUUUCUUUUCCUCUGGUUCCGUCUGCCCUCUGCUGCGCGUCCUUUCUCUUAUAUUUUUUUCUUCGUCCGUGCUCUGCCUUCCUUUCUCUCUGCCUAUUCUUUUCUUUUGUUUUUCUUCUGCCAGUCCCGCACUCCUCUCUGUCUAUUCUGUCAGUGUCUCCCCUCACUUUUAUUAUCUUGCUUUCCUUUUCUUAUUCCUUCCAUUUUUCUUUGUCUGUGUCCCCCAUUUCCACUAAUCAGCUAUAUGCUUUUCUUUUUCUCCACCACAAAAGCUUAAUGGAAGACAAGUCCACUCUCCACUUGCCGUGUCUUUUAUUUGUUUUUACAAUUUCCUUUUCUCCAUUUUGCUUGAAAUUGAUCUUAAAACAAAUUUAACUACACAUUAACACAAGGUAAAAUAAAAAUGCCACAAUUUUAACACAAAGACUUUAUAAAUAGAUGGUAUAAAUGCAUGAAAUAUAUGAGUGAUCAAAUACCCCCAAACUUGCAUUUUUGCUAGUCCUCUAGUAAAACAAAACACAAAACAAAAACACUCAACUAAAACUAGACUCAACAACUUAGUAGCCAACUUCUAAAUUUCGAUUUCAGAGAUAAGUGCUAAUCAUGAAACAAACAACCAAGAACUAAUCAAGAGUUCAAAACAUCAUCCAAUAAUUAACCAAAUUUCCUUCAAACAAAACGUUGAAAUGCCAUGUGUGAGCUAACCAUGUCAAUGCAAUUCCAAACUCCUUUAAAUCAUCAUAUGCAAACAUGUGAGCUUCUCACAAGACAUACGCUCAUUCACUCAUAAGUUUUGGUUAAUGUGUUUCACUCAAGUGAUCUCAUUGUACAUGCCGCCAUAUGCUUGCUUGUCCACCUAACUCGCUUAUCAAUAUUUAAGUAAUACCUUGGAUAAAUAGGACUUUAUUACGGUUGUAAUGGGGCUAAAGGUGAUAGGCUAAUGAAAGAAAGGAUAUGGAAAUCAAAAAUUUUGAGAAAGUACACUUUGAUAGUUUUCCAACACCUCAAUAUCACACCACCUCAAAUUGAAAGCAAAAUAAUAAAACCUCAAGCACCAGUUACUCCCCAAAUUCAACUUCAAAAAGAAAUUUAUACUCUGCAGACACAUUUUCAACAAAUCAACACUCUCCAAUUUUCAUAUAUUUCGUUUUUUUUUUUUCAAUUGAAAGAAACAAAUCUGCAAAAGCUACAUCACCCAUCAAAUUCACAUUUCAUUGUAAUACACAUGCUCCAUCCAUCUUUCUACAUAAAUGAAACCCCCAAAAGCACAACCCAUGUAAUACUUUAUCAAAACAAUAAGGAAUCGAUUUUUGUGUAUGGGCUCAACUCCAAUAUUGGAGCAAGGUAAAGAGAUGUGGCUAACAAAGAAAUGGCUUAGUUAAAGGCUCAAUGGGCUACUACGGAUAAACAUAGCAUAUAAGGUAGGCAUGAAAGGCUCAAACGAUCCAAAGAUGACCUAUAUCACUUCCAAGUUAUUACAUGAAUUGAUUAAUGAAUCGAGUAGUAUAAAGCAAGUUCUAGAGAUACAUGUACAGUGAGAUCAUACGCACAAGAAGGAAUGAGAUUGAUGCAUAAUGGUUCAAUCAUGUAUAGGCUCAAAAACUCACAAGGUUUACAUAAUCUCACAUGAUUCACAUAUGAAACGCUAAAUCAUGCUCAAGUUUCACAUUGACAAGACUAGGCACAUUUAUUUUUCAAGUUGAUUUCUGGAAAUCACAGUUAACACAAAGACAACGAAAAGAACUUAGACUUCUUGAAAGUAAGAAGGAAAUUAAAAUCAAAUCUCAUCAUUGAAUUGAGAAGUAGCUACAAACAACAAUAAAAAUGCAAAAACUUUUUUUUUUAAUUAUUAUUAUUAUUUUUUAAUUUAAUAAUUUUUUUUUAUUUUUUAUUUUUUAACAAGAAGUAAACUAACGAAAUAUAUUUCCACCCAUAAACUUAAUUAUAGCAUUGUCCCCAAUGAUAAUGAAAGGAAUUUUGAACAAUAAGACAUAAAAAUGGAAGGAAAGAAAUAUAAAAUGAAAUAAAGACACAUAAAGAAAAGGAAAGAACACACCAAUUUGUGUAGGCGAGGAGAACAAAUGUGUGAGUAACCCGUGGGAUUAAGAAACUUUGCAGAAGUUGUGGUAGAGAGUUCCUUGGUUUCAAAUCAGACUCCUUUUGCUGGGUUGAUUUGAUUGUGCAGUCUGCAUUCUUCUCUGCUUGUUUCUUCUGCACCACGGGCAGGCACAAGGUAGCUGUGUUGGUCUGUUUCUUUCUUCAAUCUUUCCAAGUGCCCACCUCUUGCUUUCUUUCUCCUUGUCUCUAGCUGAGGAUGAAUUGGUAAAUUGUCUCCACAUGCUUCGAGGUAUCAUUUUCACUUCCCUUAUCUGUUCCCCAGGCAGAUGUGGUAGACGAAGAGGAAGCAUAAGAUGAUGAAGAUGAGUACUCGAGAGCAAGGCUAGGUAAGCAAUCAGGAAGGGGUUCCAGGCAGUUGGCUCCAGAUCGGAAGAUUGAUACCAAGUGCUGGCUGAUUGCUCUCUUUCUCCUUGUCGUAAAACAAAGACAAGGAGAAUGACAGGGAGAAAGCAUGAUAUGAGAUACUAUUGCUUUCAACCUUCAUGAUAUGAAAUACUUUUUCUUUGGAUGGGUUGUAUGCAGAGGUACCCCAAGGAAUAAGGAACACUGAGUGACUCGAGAGGGUUUGUUGGAAAGGCAUUCUCUGAGAAGAAAAAGGUUAUGUAUGUUUGCCUUGCCAUGGAGGAUGAAUGUCGACAUUUAUAGGAAAUAAUAACCGGUACUGUUCUUUCACUCUUGUCUGCCUUUCCGCUUAAUGAUAUUCAACAACUGAAAAAUCUCGAAAGACUUGAUCUUUCAUACAAUAGCUUGCUAAUUAAUUAUGACAGUCUCAACAACUUCAGUGGGUCAUUUCCUCAACUUUUCACAUUGAAAUUAGCUGCUGGAAAGUUGAGAACCUUUCCUGAUUUCUUGAGAAAUCAAUCAAUAUUAAGCACUUUGGACCUAUCUCUAAACUAGAUCCAUGAAAUACCCAACUGGAUUUGGAGGCUUAGUAAUCUUGGUGAAUUAAAUCUUUCUUGCAACUCUCUGGUAAAUCUACCAGGUCCUUUCCUCAAUCUUACUUCUCAUUUGUCUGUGCUUGACCUUCAUUCCAACCAGAUUCAGGGACCAAUUCCAAUGCUUCCACCAUCUGCCUAUUAUCUGGAUUACUCAAGAAAUAAUUUCAGCUCAAGCAUACCGGCAGACAUUGGUGAUUUCCUUGAUUGGACAGUGUUCUUCUCUCUUGCAAGUAAUCACAUCCACGGGAUCAUUCCAGAAUCAGUAUGCAACGUGACAGUUCUUCUAGUUCCUGAUCUGUCCAAUAAUUCCUUAAGUGGCAUGAUUCUCCAGUGCUUAACUGCAGGGAACAUGUCCCUUGCAGUACUUAAUUUAAGGAGAAACAAACUUUUUGGCACUCUUCCUGAUAAUUUUCCUGAGCACUGUAGUCUACAAACACUGGACCUCAAUGGCAAUGUGAUUGGUGGUCAGUUCCCAAAAUCUCUAGCCAACUGCACAAUGUUAGAGGCGUUAAACCUGGGAAACAAUCAAAUAACAGAUGUCUUUCCAUGCUUAUUGAAGAACAUAUCCAGCUUGCGUGUACUUGUGUUGCGUGUCAACAAAUUUUAUGAUCGCAUUGAAUGCCUCAAGACCAAUAGUGCCUGACCAAAGCUUCAAAUUAUUGACUUAGCUCGCAACAAUUUUACUGGCGAAAUCCCAGGAAGUUUAUUGAAAACGUGGCAAGCAAUGAUGGCUGACGAAGAUGGUGCCGUGUCAAAUAUUAAUUACCUCGGAAAUCUUCUAGACCACGACGCGGCAUACUAUCUGGAUACUGUAGCAGUUACCGUCAAAGGUGGAGAAAGAGAAUUGGUAAAGAUCUUAACAGGCUUCACCUCAAUUGACAUCUCCUGCAACAAUUUUAAUGGAUCAAUACCUGAGGAAGUGGGGAAGCUGGUAUCACUCUAUGCCCUGAACUUGUCCAGUAAUGCUCUCACAUGCGCAAUCCCAUCAUCAUUAGGUAAUCUACGACAACUUGAGUCCUUAGACCUUUCGGACAACAAAUUGAGAGGAACAAUUCCAUCACAACUUUCCAAACUUAAUUUCCUCUCAUUCCUAAAUCUGUCGAGCAAUCAACUUGUCGGGAAGAUUCCAACCGGCACUCAAAUUCAGUCUUUUUCAGCAGAUUCUUUCGCAGGCAAUAAGGGAUUAUAUGGGCCACCGUUAGAUGACGGAUCAGCAAGGUUGCCACCAACAUUCGAAGGCAAACAUUCUACUUCUGCGCACGGAAUUGAUUGGGAUCUGAUUGGUGCUGAAGUUGGAUUUAUUGUUGGCUUUGGAGUUGCGGUCGGGUCACUUGUGCUGUGCAAGAGAUGGAGUAAAUGGUAUUACAAAACAAUGUAUAAAAAUCCUUGUUAAGAUAUUCCCUCAGCUUGAAGAUAGAAUUGGUCCUCACCGAAGACAUGUCCACAUAAAUCAAAGGUUCGGACGCAUAAAUUAAUUAUCAUGGAGACCAAUGCAGCUGGACCUCAAGCUAUGCAUGGGGAACUUGAGAUCCAACAAAUAAGACGUUUGCUUUUUGGUUUUACCUUUUAAAGUUGUGUAUGUUCUAGUUAUAUUUGUAAUAGUUUAUUGUGUUAUCUUUAUGCUUUGUUUUCAAUAAACUUCCUCUUACCAUCGAGGUUCUUGAAGUUAGCGUAAUCUGAUAAACCCAAGAGUGUACUUUAUGUAAUGUAUUAUUUGUUCGAAUUGUGUAGUACGAUGUCCAGACCAACUCCACCCAAAAGUGUACUACAAAGAAAAUCUUGACUUCUGAAUUGCGAUAUGUUUUAACAUCUUGCCAUUCAAUUUUGAACUCAUCAUAUCCAGUACUACAACGCCUAAUGAUUUAUGUUUCAGAAUUUCCUCACCAACUUUUAUGUCUGAGAUCGUACCAAAAGACAAAAGCCAACCCUCUCAGGUAAGAACAAGAAAUGAAAAACUCAACCGCUUAUACAAAAUCAGCAAACCACGGUUCAAUCAGUAUUCUCCCUUUCAUGUCAGAGCACAAUGAAAUACUCAUCUGCUUUUACAAAAGUUGAGUCACUCGCCCAAUUUCAACUGGUUUUAGGAGGAACCUCAACUUCAAUUAUAGGACAAAAACUUCUAUCGUUUAAGACUUUUAGUUGACAAAUGCGAAGUAUUGAUCGCAAUGAUUAGGUCUUCCAUAUUAACACUUAACUACUAAAAGAUAGGAUUAACACUUAAUAGGAAUUGAAUUGGGCGUGUUCAGUCAACCCAAUAAAUUCUCCACACAGCAGACUAAAGUAGGAGUAACAUGUAGCUUGCAGAUAUGCCUAGACUACUUCAAAGUGAAUUAGAGUUGAUCUAAUCAUAAACCUGAGUAAUGCACUGCAAAUUUCUGGUUUGGAAUCUCUGACGCUCAGAGAAUAAGCAAAAUGCAUGCAACAAAGCCUCCAUCGUUAAACCUGAAAAAACAACAGUAUGUCAAGUUAUUCUUUUCAUUGGAAUCCUGGGUAAACAUAAUUCUUUCAAAAAGAUCGGAUGCAAAUGCCAAUAUCUUACAGAUUUGUAAUUUCAUAUUGUGAACUAGCACCGCAAUAAAAUAUUUACAUGUAAAUUGCGUAGUGUUUCUAAAUGCUUACCAAUUGGUAGCAUUAGCUAUUAUUGCAGUGUAAACCUCCUUCUAAAUGAAUGAAGCCAGGUGAUAUCUCGCACAAAUGUGAAGAACUUGUUGGAAUCAAUGCUUUUCUCUGAAGCUUUAGCCCUUACCAAAGACAAAAUCUUCGAUUAAUGACUCAAGUCCACAAAAACAAGUCUAGAAUUUCCAAGCUUAUUCCUAAAUUCUAUAACUUUUCUCAACAAUAUUAUCAGAUGCCUUUGCAAGGUCAAAUUGAAAAUCUGUUUUGAAAUGGAAUAAAAUGCCAGAGUGGAAGCAUCGUUUAGAGAACCGUCAUCGCCAACAGAGCCUACAACUAGCUCUUCACCUUCCUUUGACUCCUUACCAGAUUUUUCAGAAAGAGGUUUCCUUUUCUUCAGUAAUUUGAAAAGCAUUAGAAUCCGGUACACUCUUCGAAGUUGAUUCACUAUUGGCAGAACCAUCUGUUUUCUUUAAGAGCUUCAUUAUACCUAGUUGAAUUUUUGCACCGGGGUCAUUCUUCUCAGAAAUUGAAAUAUACUCCAUUAUUAUUUGUUUACAAGAUGGAAGUCCUCUCUUAUAGAGGGCCAAAAACUAGUCCUAACAAGUGGACAAGCCAAAUGAUGAUUACAUGAGGAAAACAUCGAAAAGGAAAAUACGGAGAAAAGGAAAGCAAAGCAAAGUAAUGAUGACUAGCUAUAAAGCAAAGUAAUGAUGGAUAGCUAUAAAGUAAAGUAAUGAUGGCUAGCUAGAGGAAUAAUUACAAGUCUAUUGUCUAUACCAAUAAUGUCUACCAACUAUUGUUGACACUCCCCCUCAAGUUGGUGCGUAGAUGUCAUGAAUGUCCAACUUGCUUUGUGAGUUGUGAAAUACUGAACUUGUGACUGCUUUUGUGAGUAUGUCUGCUAAUUGAUCUUCAGAUUUAACGAAUGGAACUUCAAUAAGUCUUGCCUUAAUUUUUUUCUUUAAUAAAAUGUCUAUCCACCUCCACAUGUCUGGUUCGAUCAUGUUGAACCAGAUUGUGAGCAAUGUCAAUUGCAGCCUUAUUGUCACAAUGUAGACGCAUAGCAUGCUUGGGCCUAAAUCCCAAAUCUCUCAGUAAAUUCUUCACCCAAAGCAGUUCACAUACUCAUGUGCCAUGCUUCGAUAUUCUGCUUCAGCACUUGAUCUAGCAACAACCUUUUGUUUCUUAUUACGCCAAGAGACUAGAUUUCCUCCAACAAUAACAAAGUAUCCUGAUGUUGAUCGUUUGUUAGUUACAUCACCAGCCCAAUCAGCAUCAGUGUAGCCCUUAACCUCAAGAUGAUCAUGUUUUGAAAACAUUAAUCAUUUCCCAGGAGCUAACUUUAAAUACCUCAAGAUACGGUUUACAGCAUCCAUGUGUGUUUCACUUGGUAAAUGCAUAAACUGGCUUACCAUGCUGACUGCAUAUCUUAUAUCUGGUCUAGUAUGUGCAAGAUAUAUUAGCUUACCAACAAUUCGUUGAUAUCUCUCUUUGUUGAUAGGUAUCUGAUCAGGAUAUUCACCAAGUUUGUGAUUCAGCUCAAUUGGGGUAUCUGCUGGUUUGCAUGCUAGCAUCCUAAUUUCCGUCAAAAUAUCAAGAACAUAUUUCCGUUGUGAUAGAAAUAUUCCUUGUUGUGAGCGGGCCACCUCAAUGCCCAAGAAAUACUUUAAAGCAUCGAGAUUUUUCAUCUCAAAUUCACUUGCUAGAUACUUUUGUAGUGUUGCCUUCUCUUCUGGAUCAUUUCCUGUAAUCACCAUGUCAUCCACGUAUACAAUAAGAGCAGUGAUUUUACCUUUCUUAUGCUUUAAGAAAAGAGUAUGAUCUGAGUUGCUUUGCUUGUAUCUGAAAAAUUUCAUCGAUUUGGUAAAUCUCCCAAACCAAGCUCUCGGUGAUUGCUUUAAACCAUACAACGACUUUUUUAGUUUACAAACGUUGUUGGUUUGAUUAGGAUCCAGCUUGCAUCCUGAGGGAAGCUCCAUAUAAACUUCUUCUUCUAAAUCUCUAUGCAGGAAAGCAUUUUUGACAUCGAAUUGUUGCAAAGGCCAAUCAAGGUUUGCUGCUAGGGAUAAGAGUACACGAAUAGUGCUUAUCUUAGCUACAGGGGCAAAAGUCUUUCCGUAGUCAAUGCCAUAUGUCCGCGUGUAGCCUUUUGCCACUAAUCUUGCUUUGUAUCGCUCAAUAGUGCCAUCUGCAUUAAAUUUUACCUUGUAUAUCCACCUGCAACCAACUGAUUUCUUCCCCUUGGGUAGGUUAGUUAACUCCCAAGUGGAAUUUUUCUGGAGUGCCUCCAUUUCUUCAUUCAUUGCACGAGUCCACCUAGGAUCUUUCAUAGCAUCCUCUACACUACAAGGAAUAGAUACAGUGGAUAAUUGAUUCACAAAUGCCUCACAUGAUGUAGAUAGCCUAUGGAGGGACACAUGGUUAGCAAUUGGGUAUUUAACCUUGACUCUAGGAUCAGGAUCAUAUAACUGUUUAGGAAUCCCUCGAGAUUUUCGAGAGGGAAGUUGAUAAUUAAUGGACUCAAUUUGCCUUGACUCAGGUACGAUCUCAAUAGAAUUAGAUUGAUCAGUUACCUGUUGAUUGUGUUUAGGGGCUGAUUGAUCAUGUGGUACCAUCGAAGAAGGCAAUCUCAAGCCAUAUGGACUUAACGUUGCUGGAUGUACUUCUGUGUCUGAUGUUGGAGUCGAUGAUUCUGUUUCUGCAUGUAUUGUUUGAUUACAGUCGUCUGCCGACUUAUCAACAUUUAUCUCAGUUUCUGAAAUUUCUGCAACAAUUUUAAUGUUACUAAUGUCUUGGGUAUCCUCUUCAAACAAACUAUUCUCAUUUUGAAGGGGAUACUCAAUGUCUCCCUUUGAAAAAUAUGUUUCUCCUUCUUGAAACUGGACAUCUGCAGUGAUGUAUAGAGUUUGGGUAGGAGGAUGAAAACAUUUGUAUCCCUUUUUUGUAUCAGAAUAACCCAAGAAUACACACUGGAUGGCACAUGGAUCAAACUUCCCCCGUUGAUGUGGAUAAACCUGUACAUAAGCCACACAACCAAAGACACGUGGUUAUAAGUUUGGGAUAGAUGGAAUGGUGAGAAUGUGGUUAAGUGUUUGGAAUGGUGUUUGAUAUUGGAGAGUAUUGAAUGGUGUUCGAUUUAUGAGAUAUGUUGCAGAACACAGUGCCUCUCCCCAAAACUUAUGACGCAUGUUGGCACUAUAUAAAGAUGCACGAACCACUUCUAAGAGAUGUCGAUUCUUCCUCUCUGUUACACCGUUUUGUUGAGGUGUAUAGGCACAUGUGGUUUGAUGAACAAUACCAUGCUCUUGCAAAUAGUUAUGUAGAGCAUGAUUGACAUAUUCUUCUCCAUUAUCAGACCUGAGUGUCUGAAUUUUCUUGUCAAACUGGGUUGCAACAUAUUGAUGAAAAAAAUUGAACUUGGUAGGAACUUCACUCUUGUGCUUCAUUGGAAACACCCAGGUCAUUCUAGUACAGUCAUCUAUAAAUGUCACAAACCAUCUAAAUCCAGAAGUGGUAAGAAUUCUGGCAGGACCCCAAACGUCAGAAUGAACGACCAUGAAUGGCACAAAACUUUUAUUUAAUCUUAAUGGAUAGGAAACACGAUGACUUUUGGCCAAAAUACAAAUUUCACAAUGGAAAUCAGAUUCUUUGAAUUGGGGAAAAAGUUUAGGGAAUAAAAGUUUAAGAUAACCAAAUGAGGGAUGUCCUAAUCGCUUGUGCCAUAACCAAAUCUUCUUCAUUUGGGUUGAUUCGUCUCUGCUUACAUGAUGCACUAGACUCAAUCUAUUGCUGCAUUCUUCCAUUAAGUCCAAAUAAUAUAGUUUGCCCCUUCUAGUACCACAACCAAUCACGGCCCUUGUGAGCAGAUCCUGGAAAAGACAAUAUAGUGGCCAAAAUGAAACAGAACAAUUAAGGGAGUCAAUAAUUUGAGAAACAGAUAAAAGAUCGUAAUCUAGGGAUGGUACAACUAGGACAUGAUCAAGAUUGAGUGAGGAGGUUAGUGAAAGAGAGCCUUCUCCAGUAACUGGAGAGAUUGAACCAUUGGCACUGGUAAUGAAUGUCUGGUUGGCUGUUUUUAGUGAGUGAAGAAUGUUAGCAUCAAAUGUCAUGUGAUAUGUAGGUAUCAAGGUUCUAAAAAUCGCUAGGCGCUAGUCAAAUGGCUAGGCGGACUAGGCGGAUUUAAGUAAAUCUAUCAUAUUUCAUGUAAAUAAGUGUCUGCUUCUACUUGAAAUAUAUAUAAUUUCAUCAUAAACUACAAAAUACAAUGCAUAUAUAUCAUGAAGUAUUGGAACAUAAUGAAAACAUGUGAAAUAAGGAUAUAAUGUUUGUUCAUUCAAGUAUGCAACAAGUCUCUUACAAUUUAUUGGAAAAAAACAAAAUGCAAAAUGAAAGUUACGUAUUUUCUGUCUAAGUGAGGUGCAACCUAGGCAGGUUAGGCGGGUGCCUAGGCGGGCUAGGCGGGUGCCUAGGUGGUCUAGGCGGUGAGCUGGGGCCUAGGCAUUAAUCGGGGCGGUGGGCUAGGGGCUGGGGCCUAGCGCCUAAGCGGGGAUUUUUAGAACAGUGGUAGGUAUCAAUAAUCCACGAUCUAUUACAAGUAUUAGUGGAUGUAGAGUUAGAUAUAUUUGAGGUGUUCAAGGCUUUUGGGACAUGGUCAGAUGAGUAACAUCUUGAGAAGACUCAGAAGUGGUGAAUGAUGCUCUGCUGGAUUCCUUUUUUGGUCCUUUGUGAACCCAUCCUUCUGGAUAGCAAAUAAUCUCAUAACAGCCUUGAAUAGUAUGAUUUUUCAAUCUGCAUUUGGUGCACUGCAUAGGUGGUCGAUUACGAAAUCGAUCAGCUGUUGAGGAGUUUAUGUUUUGAAGUCGAGGUCCUUGUGGAGAUCGAGAAUUUGUGGUAAAGAGCACAGUAGCUUCAGGCAUGGUGGCACUUUCUGAUAUGGUUCCUUAUCAAUUGCUUUCACGUUUGACAUGAGAGUAUGCUCCUUCAAGACCAGGUUUGGGCUCCAUCAUCAAAAUCUCACCACGAAUUUGAUCAAACUUGUUGUCUAAUCCUGCAAGAAAAAUAUAGACUCGAAGUCGCAAUUUCUUGCUGCCUUGAUAAGAUAUCAUCUGUGUCCUUCAUGUUAGUAGGACUAAGUUGAUCAAGUUCUUGAAAAAUCUCGGUGAGAUUGUUGUAAUAGUUAGCAAUAUGAGCUCCAUUUUGCUUCAUGGUAAAUGACCUUUUGUGAAGAUCAUAAAUUUUGGCUUCAUCAGAGCCAUCUGAGUAAGUCUUUUUUAUGGCAUCCCAUACUUGCAUGGUUGUGUCGUAACGGAUGAACCGCUUCAUCUGAUUGGGUGUCAUAACAUCAAAUAACCAACUUUUGACUUGGCAAUUUUCAGCUCGCCACUUGUUAUACAGUGGGUCUGUGAUUGCAAGCUGCUUGGUAUCACCGGAAAGAUGCCCAUGUUUUUCUCGACCAACAAUUUUCAUCUUUAUGACUUGAUGCCAUAGAGAAUAGUUGUUCUCAUCAGGUUUAAUUCCUGCAGAGAAAUUGGAAUUAUCAUUUUGAAUGGUGACCACUUGUGUGGUGGAGUUUGAUUCACAUGGUGUGAAGGACUGAAUUGGUGGGUCUGAUACUUUAUCAUCACUAGCCAUUGUAUAGGCUUAAGAUCAAUGAAGUUGAAAUAAAAAUAAAACUGAUAUGAUGAUUGAGAUAUGAUAUGGCGGAAGCUUUUUUCUGUUUUUGAGGUUCAAGAGUCAGUCGUGAUCGACUGCUCUGAUACCAUCUCAAAAUUUGAAAUAUACUUCAUUAUUAUUUGUUUACAAGAGGGAAGUCCUCUCUUAUAAAGGGCCAAAAACUAGUCCUAACAAGUGGACAAGUCAAAUGAUGAUCACAUGAGGAAAACACCGAAGAGGAAAAUAAGAAGAAAAGGAAAGCAAAGUAAUGAUGACUAGUUAUAAAGCAAAGUAGUGAUGACUAGCUAUAAAGUAAAGUAAUGAUGGCUAGCUAGAGGAAUAAUUAUAAGUCUAUUAUCUAUACCAAUAAUGUCUAGCAGCUAUUGUUGACACUUCUGACCAAAAUAACCACUGGGAAGUGUAUCUAACGGACCAAGUCCACUAUAUGCAUCAACGGCAGAUUGAACUUCACUCUCACGCUGGCAACAAGUAAUUCUAGCAAACCCUUCACUCAGCUUAGGCAGUUCUUUCUUCUGCAGCAUUCUAUUCACAAUCACAACAGCUUUCCCGCCUUGCACGUUUCCUUCAUGGCCGUUCGCUUCACGACCGUGAUAUACCAAGCUUGGCGGGAAGAUCAAGCACCACAGCAUGAACAUCAACCUGGGCACUACCACCAAGCUUCACAAAUCAUCCCUUUGUGCUUUCUCUAAAUUACACCUACCUAUAAACACACUCUUCCCAUUCUUCAACCAUUUUUGAUAGUAUCCUAUAUAAAAACAUAAAAAGUGAACUUAUAACAGCAUAAAACAAGAACCAAAAUGAAUAGAAAUCUGGAGUAUCACACUAAGUAUUGAAAAUAGCAAUCUUGAGCCCACUGAGGCAUUUCAUCGAAAAUAUUGUGCACAUAGAGAUAAACCUGGCAAAGCCAGCACCCUAAAAUGGUAAAGCUUUCAAUAUAUUAAAAAAGCAUUCCCUUUUUAAAAAAGAAAAACUAACAAUGAAGUUUCAAAACUUUAAAUUUUAAUAAAAAAUCAUGUAAUAACUUUAUUUAAUAGUUAGAAUAAAGCAUAACACUAAACCAGUCCAAUUAAAAUGACCUAAAGGUUGAGUUUCCGAUUGUGCCCCAUACAGCAAAGCAACAUGCCGUCCCUUCCUUCUCGUACCUUUUCUUUUUAUCCAAGUAUGGAAGUAGUUCUAGUAAUUUUUUUUUCUUUUGAAAAUUUUUAAUCACGACAUUUUAAUUGAGAAGAGCAAAAUAUUAAAAAUAUCCCAUCUCCAAGGAUUUUUUAUUUUUUACCAAAUAUUCAAGCAAGUAGUUUCGUUGACUGUUUUUUUUUUAAAAUUCUUUAAUCACAUUUUCUAAAUUUAAAUUCAUUCAAAAAAGCAAAAAAUAAAACGAAAGAGCAAACUAGUUACAUUAAACAUACAGGCUUUUUUUUUAAUUUUUUAAUAUUUAAUUUAUAAACAAUAGCUUUAAUUAAAUUGUUUUUCUUUUGUUUUGAACGAACGAUACUAUUUACACGAAUCCGGUGACGAAGUGGGCUAAGCCUCACAAUAGGCUAACAAGCGAAGAUGAAUUUAAACCUUAGAUUUCUCACUUACAAGUGAAGAUGAAUACCACUAGACCGUAGUAUUAAGUGGCUAGUGGGUUAAAUUGUUAAAUACGAGAGAGACGAGGGAUCGGUAGGGAUUGAACGCAUCAGGAUGCAUACACAGUAACCUUGAUUAAUGACAUUCGAAAUAAAGAGAAAAAUAAAGAAAAAGAAAGAAAAUAAUCUAUACGAGGGUACAAACACAUAUUAAAUACAAAUCAUCUAGCUUAUUAGAUGGAGUAUUUGACAAAUCAAAUAAUGUAGCGAGCCAGGCCGCCGCGUGAGGUCGAAUGGGGUGUGUUAGACAAAUAAGAUAAUGUAGUAAAAUUCCUACGUAUUUUAGAUGAACUUUAUUUUAAGAGGACAUGUGAGAUUUGUGAAUGCCAAAAAUACCAUACGAAUUCUAUCUUAUUUUACCCCUUUUGCGCCCGAAUGAUGGUAGUUGGGAAUUUCAUCCUAUCCCAGGCCACGAUCAAGCAGAUUCACAACUUACAAAGUAUUAAACCUAAGACCUCCCUUUUUUUCCUUUGGGGAGUUGUUGUUCGCCUUUGUUUCACUGAAUCACUUGUCCUGGUUUAUUGAUGAUAGUAUUUUACUGGAAGUAAUAUAUCAUACACUCUUUCUUUCUCCCCAAACACCCUUUUUCAAUCUUUUUCGUUGAUUUUGUUGAAAUUAUUCAAUUUGAUAACACAAUACAAAAAAAUGCUUGGGGUUAUCAUUCUUUUAUUCACUAAUCACAAAACCAAUUUGUUAUAUGUGAAAUGUACCAAUUUUUUUUAACACUAUGGAUACAUUCUUUUGCCAUUUAUUAUUUCUUAUUUUUACAUAGUUUUUAUCCAUUUAUUUAAUCAAAAUGUUUGAAUUUUUUUAUUGGAACCUUUUCUAAUAGUAUUAUAAUGAGAGAUUUUAAAUUUAUAGGAUUAUAAAUCUCAUAAAAUAUCAAACAAUUAAUGUCAAAACUAUAAAAAUAAAAAUAUUAAUAGUAAUAUAAUGAGGUGUACAAAGUCAAGGGAUCUUGAUCAAACUUUGAAUACGAUUAAGGUUUUAAUCAAAGAAUGUUAAGGAUUAUGAACCGUAUCCAAAAUAUCCCUAAAAUAAAAUAAAAUUUCUGCCCCCUACCAAACAGCCAUACCAAAGAAGUCAACCUAACAAUGUCACAAUUCCACAGCUAGCCCCUGAAGUUACAGGCAUGGCCAUGAAUUUCACAUUUGAGAAAAGUGAGACCUUACAUGUGCAGCAUACUUAUAAGUAAUUGAAAUGCUCCCAAUAUUACCAAUUAGUUUUAUGGUGCAACCUCAACUUUUUUCAUGCUGCUAGAGCAGAUUGUUCUAUGUAUGAAACCGAACGGCCACAUGUGCUCCAUGUAACACGAUUUAUGUUGUCUACAUGCUAGGCUUGAAAAUCCGUCUUCUGUGAAGUUGCUUAGGGGCCCGGAGGUGAUGGUUGCUCCACCAAGUCUUUGCCCCCACGGUCACCUCGCUUUUAAUUCGGACCCUAUUUUUGUUGCAGGUUACAGACUUUGAGAUGUGGGAUUUUAGAGGGAGAACACUUGAAAGUCGAGCAAUUUUGGAGGGAGAAGACUUAGACCUAGUUUGGGAGUGAGGUGCUUAAAAAAAAAACACCCAUGAAAAAAAGUUGUGAGGGUUUUAGGUGUUUGGUAAACUGAAAAAAAAGAGCUUAUUUUGGAAGCUACUGUGAGAAUAAGCUGAAAUCAAAGGAAAAAGCUGAAGCUGCUAUUUGUAGCUUUGGAAAACUGGCUUUUUUUCAAAUCACAUGGAGCUACAGUGCUUCUUUAAUGAAAAAAUCCAAUAUUAGACUGCUUUUUUUUUUCCAAAAGCACUUUUACAAAAAAGUUUACCAAACACUCUGCUGAUUUAUUUCACAGCCGCUUAUUCUCACAGCACAGCCGCUUAUUCUCACAGCAGCUUUUUUUUCAAAGCACAGUAAUACCAAACCAGCCCUUAGUCAGUCAACAGCCACCGGAAAUGAAGAUAGGAAAGCAACCCGGUAAGACUUGAACAUCAACCCAACCACAAAACCGAAUGACCACUGAAAAUUUCUGGUGUUUGGUGGCAAUGUACUGAGAGUUUGUGGUUGAAAAUCUCUAGGUGUUCUGGAAGUAAGCAGACUGCAUGCAAUAAAGCCUCCAACCAUCUAUCCAAACUAUGUUAAAACCUGGUUGAGCAAAGUUGUAGGCGCUGAUUCUUUCUUUUUCAAAUACUAAUGAAGAAAUUUUUUACAUCUAAAGAGAAAAAAAAAAUGUACUAGCAACGGUUAAUUAUCACCUGACAUAGAAUGAACACAAUAAGAAGCGAGUGAUUUAAGUGCAAGUUUUUAUUUUGGACAAAAAAAGAAGGACGUUCAUGCAACCAAACGUACAAAUAAAGGACUUGUAGGUCAAUUGGUUUAAGUAUUUACCCAUGAGAGAAAAAACACGAUGACGCGUUUAUGGAAUGCAAAUCAUAUAAAGCAAUCAUGAGCACCCAUGUAGGUGGGAGUGUGACAUGCAUCCACUUUCUUCCACUUCUCUUGUGUUGGCACCACUAUUUCUUCAUGGCUACAGAGAUGGCAGAAGACUUCAAAGUCCACAUGAAAGAAGAAAAACUAUUCGUCCCAUUUCCCCUUUUCCGAUUCAACAAUGCGUAUUAAAGCCACCACAACCAUUCUCAGUUUCCAUCACUUUCCCCGAUUAUAGUCCACGGGCCUAGCCCCCAGAGCAGCCACUAAUUAAGACCAAAUUGGUCUCUGACUCACACACCAUUACACAUUCUUUAUAUGCAUGUGUAAUUAUUCCCAACAGAACACAGUAUAUUUACAAAGAAGAAUAACUAGGGACCUGCCUAUUGCCUAAGCUAUUCCUUACUUACAUUUGGUGUCACAUAUCAGCAGCAACUUCCGAUGAAAACUCCUCUGCUUUCAUGGCUUUUCUUAAUCCGCAUUUGCUGUGUUUCACUCAGCUUCCAUACGUUUGUGGUCUCUAGACAAUGUCCCGGCGAUCAGCAAUCUUUGUUGCUACAAUUGAAGAACAGCCUCACAUUUGACCCUGCAACAUCUCAAAAACUUGUGAACUGGAACAAUGGCUCGGAUUACUGCUCUUGGGAAGGAGUGUGUUGCAAAGAGGGUUGUGUUUCGAAUCUGGACUUGAGCAGCGAGGCGAUUACUGGUGGACUUGAUCAUUCCAGUUCUCUUUUUGGUCUGAAGUCAAUUGAGAACCUAAACUUGGCUUACAACUUCUUCAACUACACUCAGCUUCCUUCCGAGCUCAAGCAGCUAACAGGUUUGAGUAAUCUGAACUUGUCGAAUGCUGGCUUUGCAGGGCAGGUUCCAAUUGAGAUUUCACACCUUACGAGGUUGGUAACUCUUGAUUUGUCUACCUUUUAUUUCUCGGGAGCUCUGUUGCUGAAACUUGAGAUGCUGAAUUUGAAUGUGCUGCUUGGGAAUUUUUCUGAGCUUGUUGAACACUAUCUUGAUAGUGUGAAUAUUUCAGCACAGAGAACUGAGUGGUGCCAAGCUAUAUCAUCUUCACUGCCAAAAUUGAGGGUGCUGAGCUUGUCCAGUUGUAAUCUUUCAGGCCCUAUUGAUGGUUCAUUACUGAAGCUUCACUCCCUCUCGGUUAUUCGUUUAGAUAACAAUGAUUUGUCUACUCAAAGUUCCCAAAUUUGACUUCCUUGCACCUAAGCGAUUCUGGCUUAUAUGGUUCAUUCCCAGAGAAGAUCUUCCAGCUACCUACAUUGCAGACUAUUAACUUAUCAGGCAAUCAACAUCUUCAGGGUUCCUUACCAGAAUUUCCAAAGAAUGCAUCUCUCCGGUCCUUGGUUCUAAGCGGGGCUAACUUUUCAGGCCAGCUGCUUCCGAACUCUCUUGGAAACCUCAAAAUGUUGUCCAACAUAGAUAUUUCGGGUUCCAAUUUCACUGGAUCAAUCCCAAGGUCAGCAGGACACCUUCAUCAAUUGGUUUAUUUUGACUUGUCACGGAACAAGUUCAAUGGCUCUGUUCCAUCCUCCAGUAUGGCCAAGAAUCUGACCCUUAUAAACCUUUCUCACAAUCAGCUAACGGGUCAGAUUAAUUCCACUCACUGGGAAAACCUUACUAAUCUGAUGUAUCUCAACUUGAGAUCCAAUCAAUUAGAUGGGUUUAUUUCACCAUCUCUGCUUUCUCUUCCCGUCCUGCAACAAUUACAGCUUUCCAACAAUCACUUCUCUGGUCAGUUGCCUGAAUUUUCAAAUGUCUCUUCGUACUUACUGGGUACCCUCGAUUUGAGUUACAACAAAUUGGAAUGGUCAAUUCCGAUGUCUAUCAUGAAAUUCCAAGGGCUUAAGAUUCUUUUACUUUCAUCAAACAACUUCACCGGCUCUUUCCUUCUGAAUGAUAUUCAGCAGCUAAGCAAUGUUUCAAAUCUUGAUCUUUCUUUCAAUAGCUUGUCUAUUAAUUACAAUGACAUCAAUUCCUCUCCUUGUUCAUCUCCAAAAAUUACCACCUUGAAGUUAGCUUCUUGCAAUUUGAGAAGAAUCCCAGGUUUCUUGCGAAAUCAAUCGACAUUAGGCACUUUGGACCUAUCACAAAACCAGAUUCAUGGUGAGAUACCCAACUGGAUUUGGAAGUUGAGUAGUCUUAGUCAACUAAAUCUUUCUUGCAACUCUUUGUUAACACUAGAAGGUCCUGUCCUCAAUCUUACUUCUAUUUUCUCAGUGCUUGACCUUCAUUCCAACCAGCUUCGGGGACAAAUUUCAGUUCUUUCACCAUUUGUCUAUUAUCUGGAUUACUCAAGAAAUAAUUUCAGCAUUCCGGCUGACAUUGGUAAUUUCCUUAUUGUUAGAGUUGCUGCACAAUAAAACAGGAACAAUAUUACCAGAGAAUGAAGAACGUAAAAUGAAAAUCUGUCUUGGGUUGAGUUGCGGACAAUGUCGCUUUCUUUAAGACGUUUCACGGCUUUGCCCAAUGUGUGCAAACAGUUCGAAUAACACCACGUCGUCCCCAGGAUAAAACAGCCCAGAAUCCCUCUGUCUAGACCUUCCUUUGCACUGAGGAAGAUCCGAAAACACUCACCCUCUGAAUACUCAGUGUUAUUAGCUAGGUUUUUCUUAGUUUUUUUCUUUGUGUGUCGACUAAAGAGAGGUCCUCAAAUUUAUAUAGAAAAACCAAAGUUUAACGUUGAAGAGGUUGAGGGAAAGGUGGCCUAAGAAUCAGGCCAAAAAAUCUGGUAGUGAUCACCUAGUUGAGGAAGACUAGGUCUUUUCCUUUAUCUUCAAAACCAAAAUCUAUUUGAUAAAAUACAAGUAACCAUAAAAAUAGGAGAGCUAGUUCCUGAAUAAAACCAUAACUAUGGUUUUAAAAUAAACACAAAGUUUCAACAAUCCCCCACUUGUUUAUUUAAAAACAAAAUUUGUUCAUUGAGCAAUCAAGUUAUAGAGUUGUGCUUAAGCACAAGUGUUAAUCAACUUGAACUAGUACAUAGUGUCAUUGCCUCAGAACAACAAGUGUUACACCCCACCCCCAAUUAUAUGUAUAAAUUCGUAAUUUUCCCAAAAAUUUAUUGGAAUUAUAAAUUUAGUCCCUAGUUCUUUACCCAAUCCGGAUCUAAAAGUGGGAUUUCCUCCAACCCUCAAACUACCAUGUGGCAGCACCCCAACACUCCUCACUUUUCUCUCUUUUUUCCCCCACCCCGAGACCUCUCUCUCACUCUCACCUUCAGCUCUUUCUCUGCACUCCCUCUUCCUCUCUCGAAAACCCUCUCACUCUCUCUCCCUUCGACCCACACCAGACAGCACCCACAUCACCUUCUCGCUGUCAUCUACACCACCACCAUCAACACCUCAUCUUUUUCUUUCUUUCUCUCUCUCUCUCUCUCUCCAGCGACAGAAAACUCUCCAGUGAGAUUUUCUCAUCUUUCCAGCUAGGUAAGCCUCGGGAUUCUCUCUCUGUGUUUUAGGUUGAUGUUGAGUUCGAUUGUUGAGAGAUUAAUUGUUGUUGAAACACCCCAACCCCAUUUUAUUUAAAAAAUUGUUUUAAAGCCGUAAUUGGUGAGCCUGUGGGGCCCACCUUGUUUUAUUUUUUUGUGUUUCCCAGUCUCCCUUUCUCCUAUCCCAGUUCUCUUUCUUCCUCUUCUUCUUCCCUUUCCCGUAUACCUCUCUCAUCUCUCUCUCCCUCUCUAUCACCAUGAACACCCACCACCAUAACCACCUGCAGCUACUCUACUCGAGAACAUCAUCAUCAUCAUCAAGCAUUGCUCUAGUCUCUCUUCCAUCGCAGCGAGAUUGGUGAAAGCAGAGAAAAGGAACCUCCGGCGAGCACUGACCCUUUCGAGGCCAUUUCCGGCCAAACCAAGGCAAGUUGGCCGGCAUGUAACGUAUCAAUCUCUUCGUCUCCCUGAGUACUACAACUUUCCUUUUUGUUUCACUCAAUUUCGUUGAGUAUUGAAGAAGUUAUACUCAUUUGAAUUUUACCCAGUUUCCGGCGACCUCCGAGUCUUUCAAGGAAUUUUCCGGCCAAACCACGGCGAGUUAGACAUCAUGUGAGGUAUCAUUCUCUUCGUCUCUUCAAGGGCUACAACUUUCAUUUUGUCUCACUUGAUUUCGUUGAGUACUGACAAAGUUAUAGCCGUUUAAAGUUGGGUAGUUUUCCAGCCGAAUUUCCUACCUUCUCCUUCGACAAACCCAGGCCAUCCGGCCUAUCCCAUUUCCUCCCCUCGGGCCUUAGGCCCGUGUUGUCUUAAGCCCAAAACCCUAACCCCUUUAGUUUUUAAGUUUGUUAUUUGGUUUUUAAAACCCUUAAGGCCUGGGCCGGUUUUGACUUAAAGGGCUUAAAGCCCUGUUAGUUUUUGUGAGGCCUUAGGGCCUUGGUGCCGUGGGUGUGUGUGUUAGGUGUGAGUGUGUGUAUGUGUUUAUGCAUGCACAUGCAUGCCCCGUGUGUGUGUGUAUUUGUAGUAUGUGUGUGUGUUUGGGCUAAAGCCCAAACCCCAAUUCUCACCCUAAAGCCUUUUAACCCAAAAACCCUAGGUUUCUAAAACCCAUUUAAAACCCUAAUCCGGAUUUCAAGUCUAAAACUCGUUUGACCUAAUUUGACGGUUGACUCCCGGUCAACGUUGGCCUUCAAGGUUGACUUUUCGGGUUUUUGCUCAAAAUCCCUCUUAAGCUAAUUUCAACGUUCUGAAUCUGUUUCCAACGUCCGUUUUCCCAAAUUCAAUUUCUAUUAUAUAGUUUUAUUUAUUGGACUCUUUAUGUGCUUAGGGGCAAUUAUUGUGACGUUUCCGUCUUCGCUAGUGGCGUAGUUUUUGGCAGCUAAGUACUGUGAGUUGACCCUUUCUAAAAUUACAUGAUUUUAUAGUUUAAUUGCAUAAAUGAUUAGCAUGCCUACGAAUUUAUGAAGUGAUUUAUGUGAAGCCUGUUGAUUUAAUAUAUUGAUUUUCGUCUCGUGUUUUUGGUGAGGAAUUCAUUGUUGGCCUAUAUUGAGCUAUAUUUUAAUAUAUCGUAUUUUCUAUAAAAACCAUGAACUGGUAGACUAUCUGAUAGAUGACGAUAGGAUGCUAGAACAUGUUUUUGAACCCCUCUUUAUAGUGUAGACGAUGAUCGAUAAUCUCAGUUAUGAAGUGGUUAUUUAUGAGAUGCGUGAAUAUUUGUGCGUACCUAGUAGACACUAUGCCGCCUGGGGCGAGGAACUGGUGUUGGCAUUUAGGCCGGGAGAAAUAAUCCCUAGCUAUGGGCUGAGGGACAUGGAGCAGGUAUUGGGCCGGGAGUUGUUAAUCUCUGACUACGGGCGCAGAGACCACGGAGCAGGCAUUGGGCUGGGAGUUAUAUUUAUUCGGUGAUGUUACUAGCAACACACCGCGCUUAUGAGACGAUUUAUGAGACGUUUACUAUUUUGAUUUCCGCGAUGUUAUUCCGCGAUAUGGCUUUUGAGAUAUUUUGGCAUGCUAUGAUUUUUAUUAAAUCCAUCACUUAUUAUGCUAGUAGUUUUCAUUAUAUAAACUGUGGGGGUUAGUAUCUUGAUAACUGUUUUAUUAUUAUUAUUAUAUAUAUAUAAACUUGGCUCACUCACCUUUGUUUUGUGCCCCCAUUCAGGACUUAGAAUCAAGGCAUCUAAUCCCGGCGUGAAGGCACUUCCGCAGCAGCAUAUUCGAGUCCUCUUGGUGUAGGACCCUCAUCCUUUAUUUAUUCAAUUUUAUAUAAAUUCUUUUAGUGAUUAGGUUUAGUUGUAUGCUCUAAACACGUUCCUAAAUUGUUAGUUCAUUGUAUUUCAAAUUUCUAACCCUUAUUUAUUUCUUAUUCUUAGCUUUUGUAUCAAUUAAUGGCUUUCGUCACCCUCGGGUGUCGGCCAGCACGUGUCUAUCCUGGUAUUCGGGGAAUAUCAGGGUCAGGGCGUGUCAGUUGUUGGCAAGGUUUAAAACGAGAAAACGAGACUGGCUCGGGGAAACGAAACCCAUCUCCAACGAGUCCCAUGGGUGUCGAGGAGUUUUUUUACCACCACUGGCCGUUUCACGACGAACCAAAGGUAUCAAAUCACUCAUUUCACUUUCCACUACAUGUUGAUACUAGAUCGAAGCUUAGGGUCCUUGUUUAUCGUCAGCCGGAGCUGGGAAAGCUUCGACGUUCACCUCUAUCAAGCCCAAGCCUUUCAGGCCGUUUCAAACCCUCAGGUUUUAGGCCCGUUAAGAACCUAGCCCAAAAUCCUUUUCCGUUUCAUUUUUAUUUUUUAUUUUAAUUGUUUUAAAACCUAAAAGGCUUUCGGGCAUGUUCCUUUAAGGCCUUUAGCUCAUUGACCCAACCCUAAAAAAAUCUUAUAUUUGGGCCAGGCGUUUAAGCCUGGGCCUGUGUGAUUUAAAACCCAGGUUAAGGCUUUAGGGCCAAAUAGAACUUGGGCUUCCAGCCCAACCCUAAGCCUAUUUCCCUAAACCCAUUAACCCUAAACACGGUCUAACCCUAAGCCCAGACCCUGUUUGGCCUGGUCUGACCCGAACCCGUUAACUUUAACCUGAUCUGACUGUUGACCCUUUCGGAUAUUAAAAUCUUUCAUCUUCCCCUUCUACACCUGACUCUUUAUGUCGGCACAUUUCUGAUCAAGUUCCUGGGCUUCCCUGACCAUAUCCACCAAAACAUAUCUAACCUGGAAGUGUGCCAACCAAGCUUUCUGAUCACGCGGUUUCACAGUAAUGCUGGUUUCUCGAAGAGAAAAUAGUAACGGAACAUGGAUAGCUCCAAGAGAAGCAAGAUGUCCGUGAUAUUUCCGGCUAAGUGCAUCCGCCACUACAUUGGCAUGUCUGAGAUGAUAUUCGAUCGUGCAGCCAUAGUUAAUGAUGAGCUUCAUCCAUCUUCUUUGCCUCAAACUCAAAUCUUUCUGCAUAAAGAUAUAUUUGAGGUUCUUAUGAUCAGUGAAGAUGCGGCACUUCUCGCCAUACAGGUAAUGUCUCCAGAUUUUCAGAGUAAACACCACUGUGCCAAGUUCCAAAUCAUGAGUGGGAUAAUUUCUCUCGUGGGUCUUGAGGUGCCUAGCAGCAUAGGCAAUGACUUUCCCAUGCUGCAUCAAUACACAACCAAAACCUGAAAGAGAUGCAACAAUGUAGAUCUCAAACUCACCACCCUCUUCCGGAAGGGCAAGGACUGGAACUUGAGUAAGAUGUUGCUUCCACUCCUGAAAACUCUGUUCACAGUUUUCAUCCCACUCAAACUCGACCUCCUUCCAACUUAACUUAGUCAAAGGCAAGGCAAUUGCUGAGAAACCCUUAACAAAUCGUUGGUUAUAGCCAGCUAGACAUAGAAAACUCCUCACCUUUGUAACAUUCCUCAGUUGCUCCCAUGUAGAUAUUGCCGAAACCUUCUGAGAAUCCACACUAAUUCCCUCAGCAGAUACUACAUGUUCGAGAAAGCUGAUCUGGUUUAGCCAGAACUGACACUUACUGAAUUUAGCAUACAACUACUGACUUUUCAACCUUUCCAACACCAACCUCAAAUGUUUCCUGUGUUUGGCAACAUUCUUAUAAUAGAUCAGGAUGUCAUCGAUGAACACAAUCAUAAACCAGUCCAGAUACAGUCUGAAGACACUGUUUAUCAAAUCCAUAAACGCUGCAGGUGCAUUCGUUAAUCCAAAAGGCUUGACAUAGAAUUCAAAGUGUCCAUACCUGGUACGGAAGGCAGUAUUCGGUACAUCUUCCUCCCGGAUUAGUAGCUGGUGAUAACCUACGCGAAGAUCAAUCUUAGAGAACACCUAAGCACCAUUCAGUUAGUCAAACAUGUUGUACAUGCCUCAAGAUAACGAAGUGAUGAAAAAGGAAAUCUUGGAUGAAGCACACAUUUCAGCAUAUGCCAUGCAUUCGAGAAGCACCAAACUGUAUCACACUAUUCGUCUGUUCUAUCACUGGGUUGGAAUGAAACGGGAUAUGGCGGAUUAUGUGAGUAGAUGUAUUAUCUACCAACAGGUGAAGGCUAAGAAACAACGACCUAGGGGACUAAUGCAAAAUCUUCCGAUACCAGUAUGGAAAUGGGAAGACAUCACCAUGGAUUUUACGUAUGGUUUGCUGAGGACAUAGUCGGGAUUUGACAACAUUUGGGUAAUUGUAGAUCGACUCACUAAGACCACUCACUUAUUGCCUGUUCGGCAAACCUAUUCACUAGAAAAGCUAUCGAAGUUGUUCAUCGAUAAUAUUGUCAGAAUUCACGAUGUACCCGUCUCCAUCGUUUCAGACAGAGAUCCCAGGUUUACUUCUAGGUUUUGGAAAGUUUUUAAUACUGCCAUAGGUACUCAAUUGUUGUACAGCACUGCCUACCAUCCUCAGACCGAUGGUUAGUCCGAGCGGAUAAUUCAGGCAUUGGAGGACAUGUUAAGAGUGUCUGUUAUUCAGUGGAAGGGUAAUUAGGAUAGCUACCUGUCGUUGGUUGAGUUUACAUACAAUAACAGCUAUCAUUCAAAUAUCGACAUGGCACCUUAUGAGGCUUUAUAUGGGAAAGUGUUUCGGACACUGUGGUGUUAGACAAAGGUCGGCAAACGAGUGUUAGUGGGGCCAGAGAUUGUGGACACCACCAAUGCUAACAUCCAGCUGAUUAAGAGAAACCUAAAGGUAGCAUAAGACCGACAGGAUAAAGUUUUGAAGAACAAAGUUAUUUCGUUGGUGAAAGUGCUUUGGAGGAACCAUGUUGUUGAGGAAGCGAAGUAGGAAACGGAGAAUUUGAUGAGAAGUCAGUACGCGUUUUUAUUUGGUUGAGGUUGUAAUUUCGAGGAUGUAAACUUUUUUAAGAGGGUAGAUUGUUACACUCCACCCCCAAUUAUAUGUAUAAAUUCGUAAUUUCCCCAAAAGCUUAUUGGAAUUAUAAAUUUAGCCUUAGUUUGUUACCUAAUCCAGAUCUAAAAGUGGGAUUUCCUCUCAACCCUCAAACUGCCACGUGGCAGCAACCCAACACUCCUCACUUUUCUCUCUUUUUCCCCUACCUCAAGACCUCUCUUUCACUUUCACUUUCAGCUCUCUCUCUGUGCACUCCAUCUUCCUCUCUCGAAAAUCCUUUUACUUUCUCUCCCUUUGACCCACACCCGAGAGCACUUACACCACCUUCCCGACGUCAUCAACAACACCACCAUCAACACCUUGUCUCUUUCUUUUUCUUUCUCUGCUCGCUACGAGGACGGGGAAAGACUGAAAACUCUUCGGUGAGAUUUUCUCAUCUUUCCAGCUAGGUAAGCCUUAGGAUUCUAUCUUUCUAUUUUAGGUUGAUGUUGAGUUCGAUUGUUGAGAGAUUUAAUUGUUGUUGGCAAGGUCUAAAACGAGACCAGCUAGGGGAAACAAAACCUAUCUCCGACAAGCCUUGUGGGUGUCGAGGAGUUUUCUGACCACCACCAGCCGUUUCACGACGAACCAAAGGUAUCAAAUCACUUCUCUCACUUUCCUCUACAUGUUGAUACCUAGAUCGGAGCCUAGGGUCAUUAUUUGCUGUCGAUCGGAGCUAGGAAAGCUCCGGCGUUCACCUCCGUCAAGCCUAGGCCUUUUAGGCCGUAUCAAACCCUCGGGCUUUAUGCCUAUUAAGAACCCAGCCCACAAUCCUUUUUUGUUUCUUUUUUAUUUUAAUUAUUUUAAAACCAAAAAAGCUUCGGGCCUAUUCUUUUAGGGCCUUGGCCCGUUGACCCAACCCUAAAAACUCUUAUAUUUAGGCCAGGCAUUUAAGCCUGGGCCCAUGUGAUUUAAAACCCAGGUAAGGCCUUAGGGCCAAAUAGAACUUUGGCUUCCAGCCCAACCCUAAGCCCAUUUCCCUAAACCCAGUCCAACCCUAACCCGUUUAACUUGGUUUGACCUGGACCUGUAACCCGUUGACUUUGACCCGAUCUGACCGUUGGCCUGGUUAACGUUGACCAUUGACUUUGACUUUCGGGUUGACUUUUCUGGUUUCGUCCUAAACUCCUCUUAGGCUAAUUUCGACGUCCUGAACCCAUUUCUGACGUACGUUUUCUCAAAUUAAGUCGUUUGAGUAGAGUUGACUAAAUGUACCCUUUAUAUGCAUAGGUGAAAUUAAUAGCAGUGUUCCGUUAUUUCUUUUGGUAUAGCUUUGCACCAAUGGUGUACGGUGAGUUGACCCCUUCUAAAAUGCAUGUUUUAAUAGUAGAAAUGCAUACAUGGAAAAGCAAGAUUUAACAAUAAUGUUCUAUGAAACAUGAUGAGAUAACAUGCUUAUUGAGGCUAGAUUGAAUUACUAUUACUUUUUCUAUAACCCGUGUUCUUUAUAGAAUAUCUUAUGAAUGACGAUAUACUAUUUAGAACAUGUUUAGAACACUUCUUUAUAGUAUAGAUGAUGGAUGACUUUAUACUAUGAAGUUGCCUUUCAAAUAAAUGUAUGUUCCAAUGGUUUUGUACUUACCUAGUGGUCCCUAUUCCGCUACGGGGCGAGGGAUAGAUUCUGUUCCGGGCGACAGUUAUGGUGUUGACAUAGGGCUUGAAGUUUUUUUUCCUCUAGCAAUUAGCAUAGGGAUGGGGAGCUGGCAUAGUGCCUGGGGGUUAUUUUCUUCUGACAACUGGUACAGAGACGGGGAGCUAACAUGGGGCCUGGGGGUUAUCGGAUAUUCACUAGUGAUUAUUAUAUAUACAAGAUAUGUUUUGAGACAUUGCACGACAUGCUAUGUUUCGGAAAAUAUAUUUUAUCAUGUUAUAUAUGUUUUCAUAAAACCUGAAGGUUAGUAUGUUGAUAACUGUUUUAUUAUAUCCAUAUCAACUUGGUCUACCCUUGUUUGUUUUGUGCCCCCUUCAGGAUCUAGGAACGAGGAAUACGAUUUGAGCUAUGAGGCAUUCCCCUACCAGUGAUAUCGUGUUAUAUUCUCUCUGCUUCGGCAUCUGUUGUAAUAACACUCUCUAUCUUAAAUUUCCGCUUGUACUCUGUAUUAGACUUAUACUCUGAACAUGUCAUGCAUAAUCUUAAUAUUAAUUGUUAGCAGUUGAACUUUAGUAUUGUGUUAUUCGUCCCUAUUGCAUGGUUAGUCCCAAUUUAUAUGCAUGGUUCACAUGUUCUUAGCAUUUGCAUAAAUUAAAUGGCUUUCGUCACCCUUUGGGUGUCGGCCAACACGUGACCAUCCCGAUGAUCCGAGGACAUCGGGAUCAAGACGUGUCAACAAGAGUAACACUUGGUUUUGAACUCUACCUCUGACGACAAAGCAUACACAUCUCUUCUAGGGUGAAGUUCGAAACCAGCACGUUUCGGCCUUGUGCUUGUAUCCCGGUUUAGUGAUAAUGUUAAGAAGUUUGCCCUUAAACUUCUCAGUUUGUGGCCUCACCUUCAUCAUGACAUAGGUGAAACUAUCAAGGACAUUUCUACAGCUAGAUGUCCCACUAAAUAAAAGUAUAGUUAUCAUUAAGAGUAUCACAAACUCAUCCUUCUAAUCGCUAUAGGAUGUCAUGCUUCUGUAAAUGAUUAAAAUGACAUUUCUUAGCUUCAUAGCAUGAUUCCAUAUCACUUCAUGACUUGUUAUUACCUUUUGAACCAAUUUCUCAGGAUCUCUAGUCUAUUGGUUGGGUUACCAUCAUAAGUGACUCAACUAUCUAAAGGCAAUAACCUCAUUCCUUUGGAGGGUUUCCAAACUUUCUCACAAGCUAAUCAUUUCGUCAAAGGAUCAGCAAUAUUAUCCUCGGACUUUACAUGAUCCACUCAAAUAGCCCUAUUAGAGAGAAACCAUCUGAUUGUGCUAUGUUUUCGACGUAUUUGACAUCUUUUACCAUUGAAUAUCGAUUCUUAAUCUUUGCAAUAGUUGCAGUGCAAUCACAAUGAAUGAGAAAUGCUGGUAUAGGUUUUUCCCAUAAUGGAGUGUCGGAUGGUAAAUCUCUAAGCCACCAUGCCUCUUCACUGGCAGUUGCUAAUGCAAUCAUUUCUAGUUCCAUUGUAGAUUGUGCUAAUAUUUUCUGUUUUUUAGACUUCCAUGACACUACAGCUACUGUUAUCUUAAAGAUGUAGCCACUCGUGGCUUUGGAGUUUUUUGGCAGUGUGUUCCAAUUAGCAUCACUAUACCCUUCAAGGACAGCAGGAAAUCUCUCAUAAUUUAAACCAUGAUUAAUGGUCAUCUUGAUGUAACAUCCCACAUCAACCAACGGAGAGAGGGUGAUGUGCCUUAUAUGUACAUACCCACCUCCAUAUAGCACGAGGCCUUUUGGGAGCUCAUUGGCUUCGAGUUCUAUCGGAACUCCAAAGGUAAGCGAGUUCGCACGAGAGCAAUCCCAGGAUGGGUGACCCACUAGGAAGUUCUAGUAUGAUUUCCCAGAAACAAAACCGUAAGGGCGUGGUCGGGGCCCAAAGGGAACAAUAUCGUGCUACAGCAAAGUCAUGCCCGAGAUGUGGUGGAGACAGGGCCUGGAUGUGACAAUUUGGUAUCAAAGCCAAUCCCUGACCAGAAGUGUGCCAACGAGGAUGUUGGGCCCCUAAGAAGGGUGGAUUGUUAGAUCCCACAUCGCCUAGGGGAGUGGAUCCUUUUUGCCUUGUAUGUACAUGCCCACCUCCAUAUCGCACGAGGCCUUUUGGGAGCUCACUGGCUUCAGAUUCCAUCGAAACUCUAAAGUUAAGCGAGUUCGGGCGAGAGCAUUCCUAGGAUGGGUGACCCACUGGGAAGUUCUCAUCUAAGUUCUCAGAAACAAAACCGUGAGGGCGUGGUUGGGGCCCAAAGCAGACAAUAUCAUACUACGGCGGAGCCAAGACUGGGAUGUGGUCGAAUGGUAUCAGAGCCGCUCCGCCGUUCGGUAUGGAUAUGCCGACGAGGAUGUCGAGCCCUUAGGGAGGGUGGAUUGUAACAUCCCACAUCGACCAACGGAGAGGGGGUGAUGUGCCUUAUAUGAACAUGCCCACCUCCAUAUAGCACGAGGCCUUUUAGGAGCUCACUAACUUCAGGUUCUAACGGACAAUAUCGUGCUAUGGCAGAGCCGAGACUGGGAUGUGACAUAAUGGUAUCAGAGCCACUCUGCCGUUUGAUAUGGAUGUGUCGACGAGGACGUUGGGCCCCUAAGGGGGGUGGAUUGUAACAUCCCACAUCGACCAACAGAGAUGGGGUGAUGUGCCUUACAUGUACAUGUCCACUUCGAUAUUGCACGAGGCCUUUUGGGAGCUCACGUGCUUAUCAUUGGGACUGCUUGUAAAUCUGCACAACAUUCCACGACAUAGGCUAUGUCUAGUCUAAUGCAAUCACUAGCAUAACGAAGGCUACCAAUAGUGCUCAUAUAUUCAGGUUAUCUAACACUGUUGCCAGUGUUCUUGAACAAUUUCACACUAGAGUCAUAGGGAGUGCAUGCUGGUUUACAAUCAAAGUAGUUGUACUUCUUUAGAACCUUCUCAAUGUAGUGAGAUUGGUCUAAAUAGAAACCUUUCAUAGACAUAGUAAUCUUGAUCCCAAGGAUUACAUUUGCAUCACCUAGUCUUUCAUAUCAAAGUUAUCACAAAGCAGUUUUAACUUCAUUCACAACAUGCAAAUUGGAUCCAAAUAUCAACAAAUCAUUAACAUACAGACAUAUCAAUGUGCACAGAUUAUUUUCAGACUUUGAAUAGAUACAUUUAUCACUUUCAUUAAUUUUAAAACCUUUAAAGAUAAGUAACCCAUCAAACUUAGCAUGCCAUUGCUUUGGUGCCUGUUUUAAACUAUAGAAAGACUUGUCUAACUUACAUACUUUAUGUUCUUGUUUGGGUAUUACAAAACCUUCAUGUUGUUCCAUAUAUAUCUCUUCUUCUAAGUCACCAUUUAAGAAAGUAGUUUUAACGUCCAUUUGAUGCACAACAAGAUCAUUAAUGGCAGCUAAAGCAAACAAAACUCGAAUUGAAGUUAUUCUCGUGAUUGGUGCAUAAGUAUCAAAGAAAUCAACAUUUUCUCUUUGUCUAAAACGUUUAGCUACUAACCUGGCUUUAAACUUCUCCAUUGUACCAUUGGGGUUUAGCUUUCUUUUUAGCACCCAUUUGCAACCGAUAACCUUGCACCCUGGAGGAAGAUCUACUAAGUGCCAAGUCUUAUUGGAUUCGAGAGAAUCCAUUUCAUCAUUUAUGGCUUCUUGCCAUAAGUCUGCAUCCAACAAGGUCAAUGCUUCUUGAAGAGUUCUUGGAUCUUCUUGCAAAGUAUAAGCAUGAAAGUCUGAACCAAAGUCUUUGGCUACUUUGAUUCUCUUACUUUUCAUUGGCUCAAGGUCAAUUUCAGCCGAAUCAAGUAUAGCAUUUCCAUUAACUCUAGGUGCAUCCAUCAUAAUAGUAUUAGAACCCUUACUAUUUCUUAACUUGAAAGGAAACUUCUCUUCAAAGAAAUCAGCAUCAUUAGAUUCAAUAACAACAUGGUUUUUCAAAUCAUAAAACCUAUAUGCUUUGCUAUUGUAUGCAUAACCAAUGAACACAUUCAAAAGCUCUACUAGCUAGCUUUGAUCUUUUAAGGUUAGGUUUUCUUACAUAGGCCAAACAGCCCCGAGUUCUCAAGUAAGAUACAUUUGGUUUCUUAUUUUUCUAGGUUUCAUAAGGUGGAAUUUUGGUUUUCGAAGAGGGAACCCUAUUGAGUACAUAAUAAACAGUCAAAGUAUUUCACCCCACCAAUAUGAAACACUCCCCGAGUUAAGUAAAAUAGCCACAGUCAGUUCACUAAGUGUUCUAUUUUUUCUCUAAGCUUUGCCGUGUAUUUCUGGGGAAUAAGGAGCAGUGGUUUCAUGUAUUAUUCCUAGUUUCUUACAAAAUUCAGUGAAAGCUCCAGAUUCAUACUCUUGUCCUCUAUCACUUCGCAACCUUUUAAUUUUUCGGUUGAACUGGUUUUCUACUUCACUUAUGAAACAUUUAAACAUGUCUAGGGCUUCACUUUUAUGUUUCAUUAGGUAGACAAACCAAUAGUUUGAAUGAUCAUCUAUGAAAGUUAUGAAGUACCAUUUUCCAUUUCGAGUUACUACACCAUCGAAUUCACAAAUAUCAGAAUGUAUCAGGUCUAGUAAUUCGGUUUUUCUAAGAACUAACCUAUGUGGAGUGAUGCGUAAAAUAUAAGCAGACAAAUUAAACCCUCUUUUUAUCAAAUGUAGUAAAGUAUGUAAGUAGGGAUCGUUCUAGACCGGGGAUUAGGAGGGAUUGCUAAAUCACUUGGAAACUGACUUGAAAACGUAAAAACAAAGUUUAAAACACUAAACUAGACUCAAAGAAUGCAAAACUAUAUUUUAAAAUACUAAGAUAAACAAGAAGACUCAAACAGCACUCAAAACACUUAAAAACAUAAUCUAAGACAAAUUCUAAUUAAUAUGACUCAAAGAAAUAAGAUGGGGUUGAUUUUGGACGAAAAUAAUUAAAUUAAGACAAGAACAAAGUAAACAGAUUCUUAGACAAAUUUGGGUGAAUCAAAACAGAUUGUAAAUGAAUUUGAAUUUAACUUAUGGAUGGAAGGCUAGCUAGGAGGUUCUUCUCCACACAUGUCACACUUGCAUACAAAACGAUUUCCAGUUGCUUUUCGAUAAACUAUGAAUACUCAACGCCCCAAAUUAACCGUGAAUUGCACUAAUUAACCCUCAGUUUUUCCACAAGUUAUUAGGUUGGAUGAUUGCAUACGACAACCCAAAACAUUCCCUACAAGUUCCCUACAUGAAUUGCAUAAUAGAGAUACAAGCAAGAAUCAUUAAGUUCUAUGAAAAACAUAAGCAUUGACGAGGCACUCGUUACUAUGAUUUGCAUGAAACUUAUGCCAAGAAUUUACUUAACGUGAUUGUGACUAGCAACCUUCACUACUUGUGAAUAUAAGUUCAUAACGAUUAGGUGAAACUCCCUUAUAUUCUAGCGUCAAAUUCAUGCAUGAAAAUUAAGCGUGCACUCUCAACCAACAUACACAAAUCAGUUUUUAUACGAAUGGAUAAGUAAAUUGAAUUCACAACUUAUGAAUCACAACUGGAUGUAAUCAAAUCAUAUUGCAAGCAUGAACAUAGUUUCGAAUCACCCCCUAACUAAGAGGGGUUUAGUUCCUCAUACUUACAACGCAAAGAUGCAUAAAUUUAGACAUUAAAAACAAAGAUAGAAAACACCUAGAAACGCUCCAACACUCCCAAGGCUUGGGCAUAGGCACGGCACAAGAUGUUCCUUCUCUUUCCUUCCUUGCAAGCAGCGGCACUAGAGGUUUUGGACGGUUUUUGGUGGUUUUUAUGGUGUAGAAAGGAUGGGGAAUGGUAUGGAAAGGUUUAGGAUUGAUGGGUGGUGUGGCUAGGGGUGGUUUUUGGCUAAAUUUGGAGAGAACAUUUGUUAUGACUUUGAUGAAUAUGGAAGGUGGUAUUUAUAGGCUUGAGAUAGGACCACUCCAUUUCCUUUGCAUGUGAGCUUGUGUGGGUGUGUGUUGGCAUGUUUCCCCUUUACAUUUACACACACAUGCUUCAUCAUUUCAAUCACAAAACACACACAUUUUCUGCCAUGUUUUUCCCUUUACAUUUACACACACAUGCUUCAUCAUUUCAACCACAAAACACACACAAUUCCUUCCACUUUGCCGUGAGUUUUGUAUGUGUAUGCUUCAAUGCUCUUCUCUUUGCCAUGUGUUUGCUUUCUUUGCCAUGUGUUUGCUGCCAUGUUUUCCCCUUUACAUUUACACACACAUGCUUCAUCAUUUCAAUCACAAAACACACACAAUUCCUUCACCUUUGCCAUGAGUUUUGUCUUCACUUUGCAUGUGGGCUUCUUUGCAUGUGUUUUCUCCCUCUCUUGCCUUGAGUUUGCAUGUGGGCUUCUUUGCAUGUGUUUAUCCUUGCAAUUACACACACACACUUGCACACACAUAUGCCCAAAACGUCCAUCCUCAUGCAUGCAAUCCAUUUGAGCCCAAUAUUGAUCCAACAUGCACCAAAAUGCAUUUUUCUUGCCAAGGUUGUUAUGAAGGCCUACAAACAAAUGAAAAUGGCUUUAAACACUAAAAUAACUAUGGAAACACAACGUAAACGCACGAGAACAAGCCAAUUAAGUUGCAUAAAAAUGCUCCUAUCAUGGAGCUUUAGUUAUCUUAGCUUAACUGUAGAACUCACAUUUCUCAAAAUUAUUAAGUGAAAGUUCUGGUAGUAAACCUAAGUUACUCAUUUGUUUUACUAGCCUUUUGUUUACGUGACAAAAUCUUGCAUCCUAAAUAUUAAAUGAACACAACAUGUAAGCAGAAGAAACAAUUUUAUUCAUGGCAUCAGUUGAUGCACAAAACCAGAGAGGUCUUGGAACAAUGUAAAUCCGACCGUGAAUCUGCAAGAAAGUAAAGAACACAAGAUGUAUCGUGGUUCACUCCAAUGUUUGGGCUACGUCCACACUGAUGUUGAUUGUAUUUCUCUGUAAUUGUAUGUAUGGAUUACAAGUGUGAGGGGGAGUCCCCCAGAGAAAUAGAGAGUUUAAGAGAGCUUUGCUCUGAAUAUGAGAGCCUCUAUUUGAGGAUGUGAGGCUUGAGGAUUGUGAGGAUGAAAAGGCCCUUUUAUAGACUAAGGGCUCAUCCCCUUUUACAUAAAUCAUGGGCUCAAUGUCUGGAAGCCCAAGUAACAAGGCUCAAUAUAAUAUGGUACCAACAGUGAUCCCCCAAGUCUUCAGUUAAGAGAGUCUUUUGGCUGGAGACUUGAAAUUCAGACCAUGUGUGGACUGAAGUAACUAGAUGUCGUUUAGAACUAAUACUCGAUAUGAGGCGGGGCUCAAAGUGAAAUAAUGCUCAACUAGAAGUAACACAUGUUGCAAGGUUGCUCGGGUUAUGGCUUAUGUUGCCUUGGUUGGCUUGGCUUGUGGCGUUGAAGGUGAGGGAGUCCAUUUUAUAGAAUAAGGGCUCGCUCUUUAAUACAUAAAUGAUAGGCUAGAGUUGAUGCUCGCGGCGAGGCGGUUGCUCAGCAGGCGGCAAUGCUUUCUAAUGAUGGUGAGAGAGUCCCUUUUAUAGAAUAAGGGCUCGCUCCUUAAUACAUAAGUGAUAGGUUAGAAGUGAUGCUUGUGGCGAGACGGUUGCUCAGCAAGCGGCGAUGCUCUCUAAUGAAGGUGAGGGAUUCCCUUUUAUCGAAUAAGAGUUCGCUUCUCAAUACAUAAGUGAUGGGCUAAGAGUCUCUCUCUAAUGAAGGUGAGGUGUCUCUUUUAUAAAAUAAGGGUUCACUCCUCAAUACAUGAAUAAUGGGUGCUCUCUAAUAAAAGUGAGUGAGUCCCUUUUAUAGAAUAAGGGUUCGCUCUUUAAUACAUAAAUGAUGGGCUAGAGUUGAUGCUCGUGGCGCGGCGAUUGCUCAGCAGACGGCGAUGCUCUCUAAUGAUGGUAAGGGAGUCUCUUUUAUAGAAUAAGGGCUCCCUCCUCAAUACAUAAAUAAUGGGCUAAGUCCCCCAAGUAUUUUUCAUGAGGCCCAGUUGUGGAAGCCCAAUAUAUAAUACAUAGUGUAGUCCCCCAAGUCUUCAGUCAAUAGAGUAUGUUGGCUAAAUACUUCAAAUUCAAUCCAUGUAUGGGCCGAAGUGGCGGUAGUUCGGAGUCGGUCUUUGUAUACCAUGCACUGAAGAUUUGUAGGUGAAGCUUUGAAAGUGAAGCUUUGAAGUUGGAGCUUUUGUAAAUGAAGUUUUUGAAGCUGAUUGACAUGAGUGAUGCUCAUGAAUAUUUAUGUUGAUUAACAUGAGUGAUGCUCAUGGAUGUUGACAUGAAUAUUGACAUGAGUGAUGCUCAUGAAUGUUGACAUGAGUGAUGCUCUUGAAUGUUUAUGUAUGAUUGACAUGAGUGAUGCUUAUGUAUAAUUUUUGGAGUACUGGACGUACUUUUGAUCACCUAUUUGGUGAUAAUAGCGGCAGGGUACCGAAUAAUUUUAGAGUACUGGACGUACUUUUGAUCACCUGGUUGGUGAUAAUAGCGGCGAGCUGCCGAAUAAUUUUGGAGUACAAGACGUACUUUUGAUCACCUGGUUGGUGAUAAUAGAAGCAGACUGUCGAAUAAUUUACUAGACGUACUUUUGAUCACCUAGUGGGUGAUAAUAGCGGCAGGGUACCGAAUAAUUUUAGAGUACUGGACGUACUUUUGAUCACCUGAUUGGUGAUAAUAGCGGCAGACUGCCGAAUAAUUUUGGAGUACUGGACGUACUUUUGAUCACCUGGUUGGUGAUAAUAGAGGGUGAACCUUUAAGUAGAGGGAUGGAGGUUGAAGCCAUAGGGCCUGGCUCUUUUAGGCAUAUGGGUCUUCGCCCUCCACAUAACAUUCCAGCCCAUUAUUUUGGGCUUGCCCUUUUUUUUUUUUUUUUUUUUUUGUGGCAUGCUGCCUUCUUUAUUUAUUUAUGAGCCUCUGUUAAGGUUAUACAGAUGUCUCCAAAAGAUAAGAAAAGUAAAUCACAUCAUUCAAAACAAAGGUUUCGACACAAAAGCUUUGACAGUUGCAGAUCGUUGGUGCGUAAUGGGUUGUUACAGAUCUUUUUCCAUGAGCGUAUUGCUCUUACUGAAUGUUUUACCUUUUCCUUUCUCUUUAUUUUUCUUUCUUUUGGCAGAUGACAGACAAGGGAAUAAUGUCAUUUCCUUGUUUUUGUAGAGGCAGAUCAGGAGAGAUGAGGAUGAGAUAUUCUUCUUUCCUUCUUUUUCCCUUUUUUUUCUACUUUUGCUUUCUUCUUUUGCUUUUGUUUCCCGCUCCAUUUCCAAACAUCCUUUUGGAGGUCAUCAACCCACCUAUGCUUGCAUGCCCCUAAUCCAAACCCUUCAACCCUAGCCCAACACAUCGAGACAUAACUGGCAGUAGGAGAUGGGUGAGGAGAGGUAGAGCGCCUUGUUGAGUCGUUGUAGAGUCAUGUUGAAGGAAAUGUGGACGAGGUUCUGUUCCGACGCGACGUUGGAGCCAGGGAAGUCAAGGAGGGAGUCGACGCAGAGGGAGAGAAAACGCGUCUACGCGUUUGAGAUGGCAUGCGUCUGCUUACAGCGGAGGAUGGAUGAGGCGGCAGGGUUUGAGGCUUUGGAUUUUCAGACGAUGAGUACCACGGCCGAGACGGUGGAGGCGAGGAUGAGUGCCACAGCAAGGAGGAACAUUAGGAUGAGCUUGUUCUUGCGGCUGCGGUCGUUGGAGCAAAAUGAUGAUGUGGCAGUUUGUGGGAGUGAUGAGUUUUCCACCACGUAGAAACUAGGGGAGCCUCUAGGGUCCAACAGCUGGAGUCUACCAUAGCCCAUUUCUCUUUAGGUGCAGAACAUUAAUUCUUCUAGAGAAUUCAUCUAACCAAUCCACAAAACUUUCCUUCUCUGAUGACCCAGAACCAGAAGCAUUCUCCUCACCCUUCUUCUCAACCUUUUUUCUCAUUUUAAUCCCUCUUACAAGACCCAUCAGCGCACAGCCCACAACCACUAAAUCGAAUCAAAACCCAGAAACCCUCCAGCCCCAAACAACAGAAAGAACACAAACCUUUGACAUGUGGGUUUGUGUUUGUUUAGGACAACGUUGCAACACGAGAGAGAGACAUGGGCAUUGCUGCUUUUACUGUUGGCUGCUGAGAGAUCUCGGCCGUUGGUGAGUUGGACGGAGCUUUAUGAAUUAGGGAGGAGAUCUACGGUAGGGAAGUAGGCGGAAGGGCAGAAGGAGCGGUUUAAAAGGCUGGUGAAGAAGAAGGUGGUGGCGACCAAGAGGAGGACUCCGAUCUGGUACGUGCGGGUGUAGAGAGGCUGCUGGUGGUACUGCACACUGAAUGGUCGGUGACAAUAAAUUACGCUUCCCAUUUUCAGGGUGUGGAAAAGAGUAUCUAUCUUCAAGAUCUAGGAAAAUGGUCAUCUCAUGAUGCAAUUGGAAAAGUCUUGGACAUGACCUGACCAUCUUUGAGAUAUGGGUUGCAGAGAAUCUAUGGCUUCUGAGAAAGGGCAAAAAGUAGUCUAUAUUUAGAGACAUGAAAAGACGCGGUGGUAGCUGUGUUGUUGAGAGAGAGAUGGAAACUGCAAUUUCAGAGAAGGUGCAGAUGACGGAGAGAGAGAAAUGGAAAUGGCGGAGAGCUGGAGGUUUCCGAGAUGGCUGACAAACAUGGUGUGAUAGGAGCAUAUUUAUACGACUUAGUUAGCUUGUUUUCUUGCUUUUAAUUAGCUAAACUAUGAUAAUUAUAGUGUUUAAAGUUAUUUUCGUGCAAUUUCAGGUUUUAGUGUCAAAGUAUGCAAAAAGAAGCAAUUUGGAACAUUCUAGAGCAUUUUUGGGCCAAGAUUGGAUUGUGCAAGCAUGGAGGCAUGAGGAUGGACGAAUUUGAAGACAAAAGAGGCUAUGAACAUGCUAAAAAUCUGGUGAAACAAAUAUAAGUUGCAAGAAGGGAUAAAUUUCUAGAAGGAUUGACCAAAACUUCACUCAAAACCAAGAAAUUCUUCAAUGCCGUGGGCAUUGAUUCACUUUCACCAGAAAUUUGAGUGAUGAUGCAAUGCUUAAAUCACCAUGACAUGUGAGUGGAUGAUGCAAUGCUUAACUCACCAUGACAUGUGAAUGGAUGACUCAAUACCUAACCCACAAACAAUUCCCACUCUUUGCCAUGCUCACCUACUCAAUUCCACCAAAAUUUUGUGUUAAACAAAUCCAUCCUUUUCCUAUAAAUACCAUGGCAACAACCUCAUUCAAAUCAUCCAGAAAUUAACCAUUCUCCAAGCCUUUCCUUGCCUCUCCUACAUAUCUAAACCCCUUCCCAUCCAUUCCUCCAAAUAACCAACCCUUCAACAUCAUUCCAACCUUGUUGUUGCGGCAAGGAGAAGGAGAAAAGUCCUUGGACGCGCUUGCUAUCCAACAUGGAUCAUUGGAACGUUUAGGUGCUUUCUUCCCUUUGUUUUUCAAUGGUUAAAUUUGUUUAUCUUUGUUUUGUAAUAAUGAGGAACUAAACCCCCCUUGGCUAGGGGGGAUUCGAAACCAUGUUAAUGCUUGCAAUAUGAUUUGAUUACUUUUAAUUGCGUUUCAUAAGUUAUGAAUUCGAUUUACUUAUCUAUUUGAUUGAUAACAUGUUUAUGUAUGUCGAUUAAGAAUGCAUACUUAAUUUACAUGCAUGAAUUUGAUGCUAGAAUAUAAGUGAAUUUCACCUAAUCGUUAUGAACUUAUAUUCACAAGUAGUGAAGGUUGUUAUCCACAAUCGUGUUAAGUGAAUUCUAGGCUGGAUUAACAUGCGUAUUCUAUAGUUAUGAAUGCCUAGUCAAUGUUUAUGAUUUCCGUUGAACUUAAUGAUCUUUGUUGAAUGUCUCUAUCAUGCGUAUUCCAUAGUUAGGGACUUUGAUGAGGAAUAAUUUGGUUGUAAUGCGUAUUCCAUUCAAUCCAAUGAAUCUAGGGAAAUCUAAGAGUUAAUUUAAGCGGACCUAAUUAACUUGGAACAUUGUCAUUCACAAUUUAUUGAAAGAACAACUGAAAAUCAAUUUAGGUUGCAUAUGUGUCAUGUGUGGAGAAGAACCCUCUAGCUAGUCCGUCACCUAUCCUUUCACCUUAAUUUCAUGCUUUUGUCAACUCUGUAAUUUAUUUAAGUUUAAUUUACUUCUCGUCAAAACCAAACCCCCCCAUUAUUAAAUUAUAUUAUUUAGUUAGUUUUCAUUGUUGUUAGUCUUUUAAUUCAAUUUCCGUCCAUUUCAGUUCCUAGUGUCUAAUUUGAUUGUUUUCAUUAUUUUGAGUCAUUCUAAGUGUGUUUCAAGUUAUUAGAGUUUUUAGCCUAGUUUUGUGUCCUUGAGUCUUAUUUAAUAUUUUUAAUAGAUUAGCAAUCCCUCCUAAUCCCCGGCCUAGAACGAUACCCUACUUACAUCUAUACUACAAUUGUCAAAAAGAGGGUUUAAUUUGUGUGUCAAAUAAUUCUCACAUCAAAUUUUGGCGCCGUUGCCGGGGAUUAGCAACUUUUCUAAUCCCCCAUUGUUUCUUUUUAUUUCUUUUUCGUGUCUUUUGUUUUAGUUACUGACUUUGUUUCUUUUCUUGUCUUAUGUUUUUAGUUUCUGUUUUUGUUUUGUUUUGUUUAUUUUACUUUUGAUAUUUGAUUUAGUUUUCUUUCUUUGAUUUUAGGUACUAGAGAAGUAAGACAUGGAUUUUGCUAGCAUUCAAGCUCAAUUGGCAAAUCUUACUUCUCAAAUGUCGCAGUAUGCCGAAAGGACCACAAUGCAAAAUGUCCCUAUAUUUGGUGCAUCUUAUAGGCAAGGAUAUCAAGCCAAUCAAUGUUCACAAAAAGAUUGGAGUGAUCAUUCAAACUCUAUGUGGUGGGAAGCUCAACAAGUUCAACAUGAAGGAUAUUGGCAACCAUAUGAGGAGUUCUAUUCAGGACCUAUGCAGCCACUACAACCUCAUAUACAAUAUGCCCAAUCAAACUCAGAUUCGUCAAUAGAUUACAAUCAAAUUUUUGAUGAAUUAAAUUCUUUGGUGCAGGGCUCACAAAAUCAAGCCAAGGAGGCUCAACAAGAUGGAUAUUGGCAGCAAUCUGAGGAGUUUUAUUUAACGCCUAUGCAUCCACCACCGCAUACCCCACAACAAUUCCAAUCAAAUUCAAGUAUGUCCAUGGAUAGUGAUCAAAUUCUUCAAGUACUAAUCUCUUUGACGCAGGACCAACAAAAUCAAGACAAGAAGUUGGAUAAAUUGAUGAGUCAAAUGGGAGAGAUUAUGGAAUUCAUGGUACAAAUUCAAGAGCAAAGUGAACUCUCCAGCUCAACUGUUGAAAAUUCGAAGGAAGAUUUUGAAAUCCACGAUGCUAUCACUUUGGAAGGUGACAUGAAGGAUGAAGCUGUCCCAGAACUAUCCAAACACAGCCCGAACAUGGAUGAAUUGCUGCUGCAAGCAGAAGAGGAGGAGGACGACCUGGGCAGUUUAGAAGAAUUCUUGCUGCAAGCUCCUCAAAUCCCUAUGUCAUCCAACUCAUGUGAGGAAGUUCUAAAUUCACUUCAUUCUAACAUUAUUCCACUGAACGUCCUUUAUCCUUGCAGGUUUUUUAUUCCAAAUAUCAAAGAGAGUGAAAAAGACAUUGUGGAAGCUCUUCCAAAGGUGCAAAGUGAUAUCCCAAUUCUUGGUGCACCAAAACAAGUUCCCGAUGGUAUUGAAACGUUCAAAGAACCUUGCACACCAAGAAAAGGGAUUCAAGAAAAUGAAGUGGUUGAAGCAUAUCAAGAAUACAUCCAAGAGGCUGUGCAUGAGACAAUCAAGCCCAAAGCAGUUGAGUUUGAUGACACGGGAUAAGCCACAACCAUCAUAGUAAACCUGGCCAAGUUCAAAGUCCCGGAAAUGUUCAAAAAUGUGGUGUUUGUCAUUGAGUUUGUGUCGGAAAAAGAAAGUAAGCCAUCUUCUCCAAUUUUAAUUUUAAUUUAUACUAACAUGUUUCUGAUUUUGAUGAUUCAGGCACCCACUCUUGAAUUUAAACCAUUGCCGAAUCAUUUCAAGUAUCACCUCCCAUUAAAAGAUAAAUUCCAUGCAUUGGAGCCGAGGGGAGUUUAAAGGAAAGAUUCGUCCGGCUAAAGACGUUAAAUCAAGCGCUUCUUAGGAGGCAACACAAGCAUUCAACGAAGGGAGACUUUGGAAUCGCUAGCCAAAUCAGAUUGCAUUCUUACACCCUUAUCUUUACUGCUUUCAUUUUGUUUUGUUCAGUUAGUUGUGUUAUUUGGUUGAUUUCUGUGAGUUUGUGUUAUUUAGUUUAAGUGUGGGGGCAGGUUAAACAAAGUCUUUUUACAUUAAUUUACAUAUUUAAUAAAAAUAAAUAAAUAAAUAAAAUAAAAUAAAAUAAAAACACUUAAAAAAAAAAACAUAAAAGUAAAAAUAUUUUACAAUGAUGUGUAAACUAAUAGCAUUCAUUGGUCAGGUGGUGCUUCAGUAGUCGGCGGAGCUUCAGCAGUCGGUGGGACCACGGAAGGAGGAGGUAUCGGAGGUUGAUCAGUUGGAGCUUCACUACGCGGUGCUGCCCCAGAAGACGAAGGCAGAUGCGGUUGGAACAAACCCACAAACCUUCGGUGAUCAAGUAAAAUCUGACCAUCAUUUUCCUGCAGCUGGUUAAUUUUCCUCUUCAUGUUUGUGGCAUAACUGUGUGCAAGCUUAUGCAAUUGUUUAUUUUCAUGCUUGAGUCCUUUAAUCUCCUCUUUGAGACUCUGUAUUUCAGCCACCAACGAUUCAACGUGACGGGUUCGAGCAAAUAGGCGUUGGGCCAUGUUGGACACAGAACCCGCACACUGCACGCUAAGAGCCAGAGACUCCUUAACCGCCAAUUCAUCAGACCGUCUAGCGAGCAGUCUGUUAUCUCUGGGGGUGACAAGGUUCCGGGCCACCACCGCAGCUGUCAUUUCAUUUUUCAUCACCGAAUCCCCCACGGUAAGGGGACCGGUAGGGGAUAUGAAGGAUGGGCGCCAUAUGUUGUCUGGUGAAGGCGGAGCUGCCUCUUCACCAAUGUUCAAGUCAAAACGACGAUCGGAAGGGCCAGACAUUUUUCAGAAUGGUAAAGAAAGAAGAGAUCGGACAGAUUAAGAUUUUGGAAGUGCAAGAAGGGAGUGUUUACAGGAGAGAGCUCAAGUGUGUUGUGGAACAAAAUUAACGCCUCUAUAAAAAGAAGAAAUCAAAGAGGCGCUCCUCAGAAAUCGAAGAAGCGUCAUUUCGCAAAUCGAAGAGUCGGGGCUCCUUUCUCAAAAGUCGGAUUCUUUUCUCAAAAGAGGCGUUUCAUUUCUUAAAGGCUGGGCUUGCUUAGAAACCACGAGCCGAACCCCGGAUUUCAAAAGAUCAAUUUGUCCAGACGUGUUGUCACUCGUCACAUGCAACUGGCAGCUUUGCGGAAAUUACGGGCAGCUUUGUCAGAAAGCGCAUAAUAUGUACUAUUCAUUCAUCCACCGGCUGCCGACAAUGAGUGAGAGAAUAGUUCCGGUUGUGAAGAAAAGUCCCAUAAGUAUCUACCUUCGCCUUCCCACAGCAAAGGCACACCCUUUCAACACUUCUUCAUCUCCGAGAAUGUAUUCCCAAAGAAACCUUUCAAGUCACUCUGUAUUUUUCAUCCCUUGGGGUACCUCUGCAAACAACCCAUCCAAAGCAAAAGUAUUUCAUAUCAUGAAGGUUGAAAGCAAGAGUAUCUCAUAUCAUGCUUUCUCCCUGUCCUUUCUCCAGCCAGCUCUUGCUCUCGAGUACUCAUCAUCUUAUGCUUUCUCUUUGUUUCUCACUUAUAAGGGAAGUGAAGAUGAUACCUCGAAGCAUGUGGAGACAACGUGCUGAUUCAUCCUCAACUAAGGACAAGGAGAAAGAGAGCAAGAGGUGGGCACUUGGAAAGAUUGAAGAAAGAAACAGACCAACACCUCUCACUCGUGCCUGCCCGUCGUGCAGAAGAAACAAGCAGAGAAGAAUGCAGCUUGCACAAUCAUCCCAGCAGAAGGAGUCUGAGAUGAAGAACUAGAGAAGCUGCCACAUCUGCUUGGAGAACAAAUAAGGAACUGCAACAUCACCAAAGAGCAAAGCUUCGCCGUACAAUAUCAUCAAAUCAUCACUUGCAAGUAAAAAGCUAAGUGUCACCCCCGUUCAAGAGGAAAGCUGUGGAAAGUCAACAAGCACGACCAAUGAUCACUUAUUAGUUCUAUUCAUUGUCUUUUAUCGUGAUUUUCAAUUUUUCGUUUGCAAUUUUUUUUACAUUUUCUUGCCUUACUUAACUGAAUUAUUUCUUUUCUUUGCAGGAAUUUUUGGUUAUUUCCACCCUUGAAGUUGAUUGCAGAAUUUUAGCUUGGGGGGUCAUCGCUUGGUUUUACUGCAAACUAGGGAAGUUUUCAGUCCAAUUGCUUUAUUUUGUUUCUUAUUAUUUAUUUAUUUUAUUUUUAUUUGCAUUAUAGUGUUUUCUGACAUUGGGGACAAUGUCCAGUUUAAGUUUGGGGGUAAAGAGUAUAAAAAUGACCAAAUUGAAAUUUUUUUUUUUUUGUACCUUCAACUACGAACGAGUUUCAUUUGUUUCCAUGUUGUUGCUUUUUGUUUUCUUAAUUAGUUUUGUUUUCUUUAAAAAAAAAAAUUUAAAAAAAAAUCGGAAAUUUUAAAAAAAAUCCAAAAAUAUUGUCUUGUUUCCCUUAUUGUUUUGAAUUAGAUUUUUGUUAGUUUCCCGACCCAAUGAUAUAAUUGGAUCAAAUUUGAACCAUGAUCAUCAAGAACUUAGUUAACAUGUGUUUUGUGAAAUUCCUAAUUCUCUUGUUAGUUUUGUACAUGUUUGACCAUCUUUGAAAAACCAAAUGCACAUAGCCUUGUUAAUGUGAAACUAAAGUAUGACUUAAAGCUUCAUAUGUGAAUUUAGUGACCAUAUACAUCCUAUGUGAGUUUUUGAGCCGAUUGAAAGUGUGUGCAUUUUUCAUACACUCCUAUUCUUUCAUGUGUGAUGAACUUAUGUGAGAUACAUCUCUAGAACUUGCGUAACGAUCUUUCGAAAUGUUUGUCAUUGAUUGCAUGAAUUUGGAAAUGAUAGAGGCAUUAGGUUUACCACUAUGGCCCAAAUAACCAUGUUUCCCAAAGAAAAAUGAUAUAAUUAGAUUGCCAAUUUGAGCCGUGUACGUUGAGCCUUUUAUUUCUUAUCACCAGAUAUGUCUACCCUUAUACCUGAAACAUUUUUCCUUACCCUUUCCAAGCGAGCAAUGCGAGAUUGUCUUAUGAGAAAUGUUUGUGAAGUACUUUGAAGGUGUUUGGCAAAAGAAUAAAUGUGGGGGUGUUUCAUGUUUGUAUUUAAAAAAAAAAAAAAAAAAGAGAAAAAAAAAAAGAAAAGAAAAAGAAAGAUUGUAUACAAAGAAAAUAAAAAGUUUUUCAAGUUUCAGUUAAGGGUGUGGUUGGAGGUGCUAGAAGAAUCGCUGGAAAGAUGGAAAGAUUGAGUUCUUAUAAAUCUAAACAAAAGAAUUGCUUGCAAUGUAGCUUGGAACUUGUGUUUUCCUAUUCUUUCGUUUCAAUAACCCUAUCCCUAAGCCUCAUUACAUCCAAUAAAAGUCCUCUUGAUUUAAGUUUUGCAAUUAUGACUGUGGAGAAGUGAUCUUUAUGCAAGCUUAUGGUAGAAAUUCACAUUUGAUUCUUUGAGCGAAACACAUUUAAACUAAACACAUGUGUGAUUGAGUGUAUAUCCCGUGAGAAGGUUGCUAGUUUUCAUAUGAUGAUUUUAAAAAUAAAAAAAUAAAAAAAAAUUUUGAAAUUGCAUUAGCAUGGCUAUCUCACACACUACACUUCAAGGAUGAUUUAAAGAUUACUGCUAAUAUUUGAAUAAGGAAGAUGAACUUGGAUUAGCUUGUUUGGUGCUAGCUAUGAUUCUUGUUGAUUUGUGUUCUCAAAUGAAAUUCUAUGAGGGUCACAUAGGGGGAAGCUAAUGUUUUUCUUGUUACUACUUGUUCUUGUUUUCUUUGUUUUGCUCGAGGACUAGCAAAAGCUAAGUGUGGGGGAAAUUGAUAGGAGUAUAUUUAUACGACUUAGUUAGCUUGUUUUCUUGCUUUUAAUUAGCUAAACUAUGAUAAUUAUAGUGUUUAAAGUUAUUUUCGUGCAAUUUCAGGUUUUAGUGUCAAAGUAUGCAAAAAGAAGCAAUUUGGAACAUUCUAGAGCAUUUUUGGGCCAAGAUUGGAUUGUGCAAGCAUGGAGGCAUGAGGAUGGACGAAUUUGAAGACAAAAGAGGCUAUGAACAUGCUAAAAAUCUGGUGAAACAAAUAUAAGUUGCAAGAAGGGAUAAAUUUCUAGAAGGAUUGACCAAAACUUCACUCAAAACCAAGAAAUUCUUCAAUGCCGUGGGCAUUGAUUCACUUUCACCAGAAAUUUGAGUGAUGAUGCAAUGCUUAAAUCACCAUGACAUGUGAGUGGAUGAUGCAAUGCUUAACUCACCAUGACAUGUGAAUGGAUGACUCAAUACCUAACCCACCAACAAUUCCCACUCUUUGCCAUGCUCACCUACUCAAUUCCACCAAAAUUUUGUGUUAAACAAAUCCAUCCUUUUCCUAUAAAUACCAUGGCAGCAACCUCAUUCAAAUCAUCCAGAAAUUAACCAUUCUCCAAGCCUUCCCUUGCCUCUCCCUACAUAUCUAAACCUUCCCCAUCCAUUCCUCCAUAUAACCAACCAUUCAACCACCAUAACCACCUUGUGCCGCCACCAUUGAAGGAGAGGAGGAGUAGUGCCGUGCUUAUGCAAUCUGCAACUAUUAGAGUGUUUGGAAUUCUUUCUUCUUUUAAUUCUAUGUUCAUGUUUAAUUUAACUUGCUGUUCAAUUAUGUUAAACAUGUGGAACUAAUUUCUUUUUGGCUAGAGGUUAAUUCAAAGCCAUGAAUAUAUUUGUAAUAUGAAUUGAUUACCUUCAGUUGUGAUUUCUGAGUUGUGAUUUAAUUUGCUUAACUGCUUGAUUGAUAACUUAUUUUUGUAUGUCGAUUAAGAAUGCAUACUUAAUUUACAUGCAUGAAUUUGAUGCUAGAAUAUAAGUGAAUUUCACCUAAUCGUUAUGAACUUAUAUUCACAAGUAGUGAAGGUUGUUAUCCACAAUCGUGUUAAGUGAAUUCUAGGCUGGAUUAACAUGCGUAUUCCAUAGUUAUGAAUGCCUAGUCAAUGUUUAUGAUUUCCGUUGAACUUAAUGAUCUUUGUUGAAUGUCUCUAUCAUGCGUAUUCCAUAGUUAGGGACUUUGAUGAGGAAUAAUUUGGUUGUAAUGCGUAUUCCAUUCAAUCCAAUGAAUCUAGGGAAAUCUAAGAGUUAAUUUAAGCGGACCUAAUUAACUUGGAACAUUGUCAUUCACAAUUUAUUGAAAGAACAACUGAAAAUCAAUUUAGGUUGCAUAUGUGUCAUGUGUGGAGAAGAACCCUCUAGCUAGUCCGUCACAUAUCCUUUCACCUUAAUUUCAUGCUUUUGUCAACUCUGUAAUUUAUUUAAAUUUAAUUUACUUCUCGUCAAAACCAAACCCCCCCAUUAUUAAAUUAUAUUAUUUAGUUAGUUUUCAUUGUUGUUAGUCUUUUAAUUCAAUUUCCGUCCAUUUCAGUUCCUAGUGUCUAAUUUGAUUGUUUUCAUUAUUUUGAGUCAUUCUAAGUGUGUUUCAAGUUAUUAGAGUUUUUAGCCUAGUUUUGUGUCCUUGAGUCUUAUUUAAUAUUUUUAAUAGAUUAGCAAUCCCUCCUAAUCCCCGGCCUAGAACGAUACCCUACUUACAUCUAUACUACAAUUGUCAAAAAGAGGGUUUAAUUUGUGUGUCAAGUAAUUCUCACAUUAUGGUGGUAGCUGUGUUGUUGCCAAAGUUGCAGAUGAUAGUCAAGGCAAUGGGUCUUUGUCUCUGUCUUUAAAUUAGGCAGUUUUUUGGGAGAAAAAUAGGGCGGAAGAUUCGAGAAAGAGAAAAAUGGGUUUUUGGAUGGUUUUUUAAAACUGCACAGAGUCUGCGAAGGUUUUCUGGAAAAGCCCAAAGAGUGAGGUUUUCUAGGUUUUUGGGUUUCUGCAGUUUCCCGGUGGUGAGAUGAAAAAAAUGAAAGAGAACCGACAUAGUUUUUCGUGUCGAUUUCCCACAGACAACGCCAAAUGUUGAUGCACAAAACCGUAGGGGUCUUGGAACGUAAAUCCGACCGUGAAUCUGCAAGAAAGUAAAGAACACAAGAUGUAUCGUGGUUCACCCCAAUGUUUGGGCUAUGUCCACACUGAUGUUGAUUGUAUUUCUCUGUAAGGGGGAAUCCCCCAGAGAAAAAGAGAGUUUGAGAGAGCUUUGCUCUGAAUAUAAGAGCCUCUAUUUGGGGAUGUGAGGCUUGAGGAUUGUGAGGGUGAGGAUGCCCUUUUAUAGACUAAGGGCUCCUCCCCAUUUACAUGAAUCAUGGGCUCAAUGUCAGGAAGCCCAAGUAACGAGGUCCAAUAUAAUAUGGUACCAAUAGCAUCAAUAUUCAAUUUGAACAUCCCAUCAAUGGCAUACUCAUUUCCCACAAAAACAUCAUUCUUUGUGAGAGUAUACAUAUCAGCCCCAAUAGUUUGAGUGAAUCUAGCAUUGUUGAUUAGAUAACCUGAAACCAGGUUCUUUCUUAUUUCUGGAACAUGCAGUACAUCUUUUAGAAUGACAGUCUUCCUCGAGGUGAAUUUUAGCUCUACUUCACCAGUUCCAGCAACAUUCGUUGAGUGAGAGUCUCCCAACAAAACCCUUAUGUCCUCAGCUUCAGAAUAGGACUUAAAAAGUCUGCGAUCAUGGCAGACAUGGCGCGAAGCUUCAGUGUCUACCCACCACCCCUCGGAUCCGUCAACUAUGUUAACCUCUGAUAUCAUAGCAAUGAGUUGAUCCUCAGUCAGAUUAGCUUGAUGAGUAAUCCGACGUUUGUUGUGACAGUUCCUAGCCAAGUGCCCAGGUUUGUCACAGUUGUAGCACAAAAAAUGGCACAACGGCUUCAUCUCAUGAGGGGGUACCUUCCUAUUCUAACUUUGCUGAGGAUUUUGGAAGUUUGGUCGAUUUUUGUUGUUGUUGCGAUUCUUGGUGGAAUUCUUUAUAUUCUUACCCAUGGGUUUGAGCACUACUGCUGCAUAAGUCCUCGAAUGAGUCUUCUUGAGAUUGUUGUUGUUUGAAACAACCAGCACUUCCUCCCUCAUAUCUUGUUUCCUGGCUUCUUCCUCGAUUUGAAGGCGAGUGAUUAGGCUUUCCAGUGAGAAUUCCUUUGUCUUGUGCCACAGAUCCUUCUUGAACUCCUUCCAACUUGGUGAGAGCUUGUCUAUGAUCACAGCAACCUGCAACUGUUCAUCCAGAUUCAUGCCCUCAUUGAUGAUCUCAUGAGCAAUCUUUUGCAGUUCGUGUGAUUGCACUUCCAUUGAUUUGUCAUCCAUCAUUUGAAACUUCAUGUAGCGGCUGACUACAAAUUUCUUUGCUCCUGCUUCUUCAGUGUCGUACUUUUUCUAGAGAGCAUCAUAUAGUUCUUUAGCUAUCUUACGAGAAUAGUAGUAAUCAUAUAGGUCAUCACAUAAUCCAUUCAAGACAUAAUAUUUACAGAGAAAGUCAAUAUUAGUCUAGGAUUGAAACAACUUGAACUGUUCAGCAGUGGGUUGAUCAAGAUGUGAUGGCGUUUCAGACAUGCAGUGGGUGGCAAGUUUCUUGGUGGUUAGAAAAAAUAACAUCUUUUGCCUCCAACGUUUGAAGUAGAUUCCUUCAAACUUGAUAGGUUUGUUCAGAUCAUUAGUAAAAGUGUUGUUUUCAUUCUCCAUUGCAGAAAUUGAACGUCUUAAAAUUGUUAGAGUUGCUACACAAUAAAACAGGAACAAUAUUACCGGAGUAUGAAGAACAUAAAAUGAAAAUCUGUCUUGGGUUGAGUCGUAGACAAUGUCACUUUCUUUAAGACGUUUCGCGGCUCUGCCCAAUGUGUGUAAGCAGUUCAAAUAACACCACAUCAUCCCCAGGAUAAAACAGCCCAAAAUCUCUCUGUCUAGACCUUCCUUUGCACUGAGGAAGAUCCGAAAACACUCACCCUCUAGUUGCUCAGAAUACUCAGUGUUAUUAGCUAGGUUUUUUUCAGUUUUUUUUUUUUUUUUUGUGUGUCGACUAAAGAGAGGUCCUCAAAUUUAUAUAGAAAAACCAAAGUUUAACGUUGAAGAGGUUGAGGGAAAGGUGGCCUAAGAAUACAACAACAACAACAACAAAGCCUUUUCCCACUAAGUAGGGUCGGCUAUAUGAAUCCUAGAACGCCAUUGCGCUCGGUUUUGUGUCAUGUCCUCCGUUAGAUCCAAGUACUCUAAGUCUUUUCUUAGAGUUUCUUCCAAAGUUUUCCUAGGUCUUCCUCUACCUCUUCAGCCCUGAACCUGUUUCCCGUAGUCACAUCUUCGAACCGGAGCGUCAAUAGGCCUUCUUUGCACAUGUCCAAAUCACCGGAACCGAUUUUCUCUCAUCUUUCCUUCAAUUUUGGCUACUCCUACUUUACCUCGGAUAUCCUCAUUCCCAAUCUUAUCCUUUCUCGUAUGCCCACACAUCCCACGAAGCAUCCUCAUCUCCGCUACACCCAUUUUGUGUACGUGUUGAUGCUUCACCGCCCAACAUUCUGUGCCAUACAACAUCGUUGGCCUUAUUGUCGUCCUAUAAAAUUUUCCCUUGAGCUUCAGUGGCCUACGACGGUCACACAACACGCCGGAUGCACUCUUACACUUCAUCCAUCCAGCUUGUAUUCUAUGGUUGAGAUCUCCAUCUAAUUCUCCGUUCUCUUGCAAGGUAGAUCCUAGGUAGCGAAAACGGUCGCUUUUUGUGAUCUUCGCUAGAUUGCUCCGGUCAUUAGUGUGGAUAAGUAUAUAAAUGGAUAGAGAUAGGAAAGCAAACACAAGAUGUACGUGGUUCACCUAGAUUGGCUACGUCCACGGAAUAGAGGAGUUCUCAUUAAUUGUGAAGGGUUUACACAAGUACAUAGGUUCAAACUCUCCUUUAGUGAGUACAAGUGAAUGAUUUAGUACAAAUGACAUUAGGAAAUAUUGUGGGAGAAUGAUCUCGUAAUCACGAAACUUCUAAGUAUCGGAGUGUGGUAUCGUCUUGAUUUGCCUUAUCUGUCUCAUAGGUAGAUGUGGCAUCUUCUUUGGAAGUACUCUUCCUCCAUCCAGGGGUGGUAUCUUUAACUGGUGGAGAUGCACAAGGUAAUGUAUCAAUUUCACUUGAAGCUUACUUGUAGUUUCAGGCUUGGUCAAGCGCGAUACAAACCAUGUAGUAGGAGUCCCCCAAGUCGCCGAGCUAGGGGAUCUGCUGAAAGAGUUGACAGACAAGGUAAGCAAUCAGAGCUCCGGCUGAUUGUUCACAUUCUCCCUAUCUUGCAGGCAGCAUGAAGGAUAAAGAGAAGAAAAAUGAGAAGAGAUGAUAUGGGAUACUUUUGCUUUUGAAGAAGUAACUUUCCACAGGCUUAUUCAUAAACUGAGCUGGAAGGUUUUCUGGUUUCCUCCAGAGUAUAAGGCCGACUGAAAAAUUUGAGGGUCAAAACAAGUCCAUCAAAUCUAAAGUACGUUCGACCCUGCUGAUAUGGGAUACUUUUGCUUUUGACAGAAUAGUGGAUGUAUCGGCACGUGUGCUGUUACGCUUGUCUCCACAUGCUUCCUUGUAUCCUUCUCACUUGCCCUAUCUGUUCCUCAGGCAGAUGCGGUAUCUUCCCUGGAAGCAUAAGAUGUUGAAAAUGAGUACUCGAGAGCAAUGCCAGGUAAGUAAUCAGGUAAGGGGUUCCAGGCAGUCAGUUCCUGGCUGUAAGCUUGAUUCCAAGUGCUGACUGAUUGCUCUUUUUCUCCUUGUCUUGCAGGUAAGAACAAGGCCAAAGGAAAAGACAGGGAAAAAACAUGAUAUGGGAUACUCUUGCUUUUAACCCUGAUGAUAUGAGAUAUUCUUGCUCUAGUAUAGCUUGUUUGCAGAGGUAUUAUCGGGGGGAAAGAAAGCUGAAUAUUUCGAAAGGCUUCGUUGGGAGUGCCCUCUCAGAUAUGAGGAAGGGUUGAGCAUUUUUGCAGGUCUGCCUGUUCGUUGGGGAUGGAGGUCUACAUAUAUAGGAGUCUCCCUAACAACAAGUAGUAAUGUUAUUCCUUUACCCUGCUUGGUCAUAGCACGGUAGUGGGAGCUGCCAACUUCACAUGUUUUAACUCUGUCAGAACACUUUGAAAAAGUGGUAUGUGGUAUCUGGAAAGCUGAUGUUGCGUAUGAAGAUUACAGACAAGCUUUAUCCAAGGAGAUCCGGCUUUUGAAGUUGGGAAAAUGGUGCCUCUUCGGUUUUCGAACAAGCAAUCCUAUCGGGGAUCUGGCUCUCGAGAUUCAGAGAACGAUGCCUCUUCGAUUUUUUAGAAAGCAAUCAUGCUGGGGGUCUGGCUCUCGAGAUUCGGAGAGCGGUGUCUCUUCGAUUUUUGAGAAAGUAAUCAUGUUGGGAGUCUGGCUCUCGAGAUUCGGAGGGCGAUGCCUCUUCGCUUUUGGAGCAAGCAAUCUUGUUGGGAGUGUUUUCUCGAAUGUGAGUAAAGGUUGGGCAUGUUUGCUAGUCUACCUUGCCACGAAGCACAGAGGUUGACAAACAGGGACUUUCCAAUUAUCCAGCAAUGGUACUGUUCCUUUACCCUCUCUUCGAUUUUUGAGAAGGUAGUCAUGUUGGGAGUUUGGCUCUCGAGAUUCGGAGGACGGUGCCUCUUCGAUUUUGGAGCAAGCAAUCUUGUUGGGAGUGUUUUCUCGAACGUGAGUAAAGGUUGGGCAUGUUUGCUAGUCUACCUUGCCACGAAGCACAGAGGUUGACACACAGGGACUUUCCAAUUAUCCAGCAGUGGUACUGUUCCUUUACCCUUGUGGGUAAUAAUAUGGUAGCUAGACCUUCAAAAUUUAUGUGUCUAAACUUUGUUAGUGUUGUUUCUUUGUUAUUCUUUUACCCUUCUUGGUCAGAGCGAUGUAGUGGGAGCUGCAAGCUUCACGUGACUCAACUUUGGCAGAGAACUUUGGCAAAGUUAUCUGUGGUACCCAUGAGCUACUGUUGCGCGUGGGUUGAACAGUAAGAUUCAUGUGCUUUCUACUUCACCAGUAGUCUUCGACAGAAUGCCCAUAAUUUCCGCAAAGCUGAGUAUGCGUGUGACAGGUGCUGACAAGGCUGGAAAAGUAGGUGCCUCUUCGAUUUCUGAGAUCGGCCCUCGUGGUCUCUGAGCAGCCCAGCUUUUGAGAAAGCAAGCGCCUCUUCGAUUUCUGAGAUCGGUCUUCGUGGUCUUUAAACAGCCCAGCUUUUGAGAAAGCAAACGCCUCUUCGAUUUCUGAGAUCGACCCUCGUGGUCUCUGAGCAGCCCAGCUUUUGAGAAAGCAAACGCCUCUUCGAUUUCUGAGCAGACGCCUCUUUGAUUUCUGAAGCUCCGUCGAGUGCAGAUUUUUAUAAGGGCUGGCAUUAAGUUCCAAAGCACACUUGAAUCUCCACCAGUAGAAGCUCCAUUCUUGCACUUCUAAGAUCUUGAUUUGUCCGACCUCUUCUCUCUUCAACACCUUUGAAAAUGUCUGGCCCCUCCGACCGUCGUUUUGACUUGAACCUUAUUGAAGAGGCAGCCCUGCCUUCUCCAGACAACAUAUGGCGCCCAUCCUUCGUCUCCCCUAUUGGUCCUCUUACCGUUGGGGAUUCCGUGAUGAAGAAUGAUAUGACCGCUGCGGUGGUGGCCAAGAACCUUCUCACUCCCAAAGAUAACAGACUACUUUCUAAACGGUCUGAUGAGUUAGCUGUUAAGGAUUCUUUGGUUCUCAGUGUUCAGUGUGCAGGUUCUGUGUCUAAUAUGGCCCAACGCCUAUUUGCUCGAACCCGCCAAGUUGAAUCAUUGGCGGCUGAAGUGAUGAGUCUCAAACAGGAGAUUAGAGGGCUCAAGCAUGAGAAUAAACAGUUGCACCGGCUCGCACAUGACUAUGCUACAAACAUGAAAAGGAAGCUUGACCAGAUGAAGGAAUCUGAUGGUCAGGUUUUACUUGAUCAUCAGAGAUUUGUGGGUUUGUUCCAAAGGCAUUUAUUGCCUUCGUCUUCUGGGGCUGUACCGCGUAAUGAAGCUCCAAAUGAUCAAUCUCUGAUGCCUCCUCCUUCUAGGGUUCUGUCCAGUACUGAGGCUCCGAAUGAUCCCCCUCCGGUGCCUUCUCUUUCUGGGGCUCUACCGACUGCUGAGACUUCUCCUAAGCAACCUUUGUGAAAGCUCCCUCUUGUUUGUUUAUUUUGACUCAUGUAUAUGUACAUAUUUGUAACUUAUCGGGGAUAUCAAUAAAUAAGCUUUCCUUCAUUUCAACGUAUUGUGUUAAAUACACCAAAGCCUUCUUUGCUAAGUUCUUUGAAUUUUCUUUUAUUGAAGCUUGUAUGUUGAAGCUUUGUGAGUGGAGCAUGUAGGUUGAGGUAGUGUUCCCUUAAUUUCUUGAGUGAGGAAAACUUCUCGGUUGGAGACUUGGAAAAUCCAAGUCACUGUGUGGGAUCGGCUAUAUGAAUCUUAGAACACCAUUGUGCUCGAUCCUGUGUCAUGUCCUUCAUUAGAUCCAAGUACUCUAAGUCUUUUCUUAGAGUCUCUUCCAAAGUUUUCCUAGGUCUUCCUCUACCCCUUCGGCCCUAAACCUCUGUCCCAUAGUCGCAUCUUCUAAUCGGAGCGUCAGUAAAGGUGGCCUAAGAAUCAGGCCAAAAAAUCUGGAAGUGAUCACCUAGUUGAGGAAGACUAGGUCUUUUCCUUUAUCUUCAAAACCAAAAUCUAUUUGAUAAAAUACAAGUGGUCAACCAUCAAAAUAAGAAGGCUAGUUCCUGAAUAAAACGAUAACUAUGGUUUUAAAAUAAACACAAAGUUUCAACACUUAUGUACACUGUGUUCUUCUCUCUUGCAAGCAAUCACAUCCACGGGAUCAUUCCAGAAUCAGUAUGCAAGGCGACAUCUCUUCAUGUUCUUGAUAUGUCCAAUAAUUCCUUUAGUGGCAUGAUUCCCCAGUGCUUAACUGCAAGGAACAGGUCUCUUGCAGUAAUUAAUUUAAGGAGAAACAAACUUUCUCGCACUCUUCCUGAUAAUUUUCCUCAGCACUGUAGUCUACGAAGUUUAGACCUCCAUGGCAAUGUGAUUGGUGGUCAGUUCCCAAAAUCUCUAGCCAAUUGCACAAUGUUAGAGGUGUUAAACCUGGGAAACAAUCAGAUAACAAAUGUCUUUCCGUGCUUAUUGAUGAACAUAUCCAGCUUGCGUGUACUUGUCUUGCGUUCCAACAAAUUUCAUGAUCGCAUUGAAUGCCUCAGCCUCAAGACCAAUGGUCAUUGGCCAAAGCUUCCAGUUAUUGACAUAGCUCACAACAAUUUUAGUGGUGAACUACCAGGAAGAUGCUGGAGAACCUGGCUAGCAAUGAUGGCUGACGAAGAUGAUGCCGAGUUUAAAAUUGCCUACGACAUCUUGAGUCCUUGGACCUUUCGGACAACAGAUUGAGCGGAACAAUUCCAGCAGAGUUUUCCAAACUUAAUUUCCUCUCGUUCCUGGAUCUCUCAAACAAUCAACUAGUUGGGAAGAUUCCAACCGGCACUCAGAUUCAGUCUUUUUCAGCAGAUUCUUUCGCAGGCAAUAAAGGAUUAUACCUGCCACUGUUGAAUUUUUGAUGUGUAUUUCAUAUCAAAACAAUUACAAGAUGAAACAUUAUAUAGGAAAAGAAAGAGAACAUAAGCCUAACUUGCCUAACUUGCCUAACUUGCCUAAUUUCCUAACUUGCCUAACUUGCCUAAUUUACACAAAGAAGGUUGACUAGCCUAACUUCACUAGUCAUCCAACAUGUUUAUUUCAUGCAUGCAUUUUAACAAAAGAUAUGACUUGCAUGCAUUCCAACACUCCCCCUCAAGCUGGAUCGAGGGGAUUCCUUGAGCCAAGCUUGGACAGAAUGCGCAUGAACUGAACCGUAGGAAGAGGUUUAGUAAAAAUAACGCUUUGCUUCUUGCUGCGCCAUGUUACCAAAUUCCCACUUGAAAUGGCUUCGUGCCGCAAACAAACAGUAAUGGCUUCGUGCCGCAAACAAACAAACUUGAAAUGGCUUCGUGCCGUAAACAAACAGUAAUGGCUUCGUGCCGCAAACUUGAACAACGUUAGGUAGAGCUAAAGCAUCCAUCGAGCUCUCAGCUUCAUAAUGUUCUCCAGCCAUCUUGGCUUAGAGUAAAUGUUCUCCAACCAUCUUGGCUUAGAGUAAAUGUUCUCCAGCCAUCUUAGCUUAGAGUAAAAGUUCUCCAACCAUCUUGGCUUAGAGUAAAAGUUCUCCAGCCAUCUUGGCUUAGAGUAAAAGAAACUUAGCGGAAACGAUCAACAGAGCAUCCAUCGAGAACUCAGCUUCAUAAUGUUCUCCAGCCAUCUUGGCUUAGAGUAAAAGAAACUUAGCGGAAACGAUCAAUAGAGCCAGGAAUUUCGAGUUCCUGCUCUGAUACCAUGUUGAAUUUUUGAUGUGUAUUUCAUAUCAAAACAAUUACAAGAUGAAACAUUAUAUAGGAAAAGAAAGAGAACAUAAGCCUAACUUGCCUAACUUGCCUAACUUGCCUAAUUUCCUAACUUGCCUAACUUGCCUAAUUUACACAAAGAAGGUUGACUAGCCUAACUUCACUAGUCAUCCAACAUGUUUAUUUCAUGCAUGCAUUUUAACAAAAGAUAUGACUUGCAUGCAUUCCAACCGCCACCAUUAGAUGACGGAUCAGCAAGGUUGUCACCAAAAUUAGAAGGCAAACAAAUUCUGCGCAAGGAAUUGAUUGGGAUCUGAUAUGUGUUGAAAUUGGAUUUAUUGUUGGCUUUGGAAUAGCUAGUGGAUCAAUUUUGUUUUGCAAGAGAUGGAGUAAAUGGUAUUACAAAACUAUGUAUCACAUUCACGUUAAGAUAUUCCCUCAGAUGGAGGAAAGAUUUGGCCCUCAUCGAAGACAUGCUCACAUACACCAAAGGUGGACGCGUUGAAACGAUUUUGAAGAACAAUACAAGUGCUUGCAGUCACGUUUUCUCUUGAACUGUUUUGUAUUCUGAGUUGUAAAGCUCCAACAGAUGGGAUUGAACCCCGUCGAAAGAAACGGUUCGUGGCACAAGCUUUGUAAGCCUCCUCUGCUAGAGUCUACUUGUCGGUUAGUUCCUUACUUGGCUAGUUGUUGACAGUAUAUUUCGUCUGUGUUUAUUAAGUGUUUGUGCUAUUUUACCAAAGAAAUAUCUCAAAAACUUAGCUCUCAUACUUUCAAACAUAUUAUAUAAUAAUGAGCAAUAAUUUCAACCCUUUUACUAUUAUUUAAUAAUUAUGGUGUUUUUUUUUUCUUCAUAUGUUUAAUCUUUACUGCAGCCUCCUUCCUUGUUACUGAGAUCAAUAUAUCUUAAUCGAGAUUUAUAUCUUAUGUACAAAUUAAUUCAAAAUCAGAACAGUCAUAGGUUUGAAAUUUUCAAUGAGAAUGACAGAAUGAAAACAUCACAAAUAAAUUUCAUGGAUAAGGUUUGACUAGCAAAACAAAAUAAUAAUAAUAGAAAAUAAAAGUUUGAUAGCAUUUCUUACAUAAGAGAUGUUGGUACUUUUUUUUUUUUUUUUGAACAAAUGCAUUUUUAAUUUUAAAUAAACUAAUUAUUUGUUAGUAAGAAAUUAAGAUGGAGUCUUUUAGCCUUCUUCUUAUGUAGCUAUUGUAACUCUUUUUUUGUUAAUUUGUUAUUACCCUAUUCACCACACUAUGUUUGGAUAAGAGAAAUCAACUUGAAAUUUCAACAAAACUCAUAAUUUAGAAAUUAAUACGAACCAAUUAUAUUGUUUGGAUUCGUAAACAUAGAAAUUUAGAAUUUCCGUGUAGAAUAAAAACUUGGAAUUUGAGACCUCUAAUUUCCAAGUUUAAAUUCCUUAUAAAUGUGUCAUUCCAAAUUUCUACAAGUGAAAGGUUAAAUAAAAGUUUAUGUCUUUGUUCUAUUAGGUUAACCAAACAAAAAAAUUGACAAUUCAAGAAAAUAAAAUUUCGUCAUUUUUAUUUCCGUUUAAAAUUCUUUAGUAAUUUUAAAUUUUUUCAUCCAAACCGUCCCUAAAGGUGAUAAUAACCCUAUAAUUAUUAGCAUUUUCUCCAUCAUCAUUUUAUUCAUUAUUAACUACCCAAUCUUUUCUGUAAGUAUUAUUCUCUCCAUUUGCUUCAUCUUUUCUAUUUUUACUUAUUGGCUAAAGAAGGGUGUUCGUGUGGUGGAUCUUUGGACUUUUUACAUUUGUUCUAAGACAUGUUUACAUGAUUUUCAAGCUUUCUGUUAAUUAACAAUCGGUGUUUGUGGCAAACGAAACAUCUGUUCCUCUUGAGGGUAAUGACAAGAUUAAAUUCUUUAACUCCGAUAUCGAGUCCCCUGUACUUUACAUCUCUGCAUUUUCAAAUCAAUUGUUAUUAGUGGGAAAGAUAGCUAGAAUGUUAAACUGUUUUGCAUUUAUCCCAUUUGUUAUUAGUAGAACCCAUGUAUCUGAAUGUGGGUAUCACUCAGUUUCUGUAAGCUUUAGCCCCGUUGUAGGGCCAAAUUUUACCCUCUCUUCUCCACUCAAGAUUCAGUCAACAUUGAAUAAAAUAGCCUACAUUUAAAACCCCACAAGGGAUAUGGGGAAAGACUUUGAAGUCAACAAGUCAAGCAAACCACAACCAACUAACCAGUCACUUGCCCUUUCAACACUUUGAUUUUUCUCUUGCCCGUUCAACAUUUUGAUGCCUUUUUUAUUUCAACCCAUGAAUAUAUGCCAACAACUAAGACCAAAUUGGUGUUUGGUUCACACACCAUUACACAUUCUUCAGAUGCAUGCGUAAUCAUUCCCACCAAAAAACAAAUUAAAUUUACAAAGAAGAAUAACUAGGGACCUGCCUAAUCUGUUCCUUCCUUACAUUUGGUGUCACAUAUCAGCAACAACUUCCGAUGAAAACUCCUCUGCUUUCAUGGCUUUUCUUACUCCGCAUUUGCUAUGUUUCACUCACCUUCCAUACGCUUGUGGUCUCUACCCAAUGUCCCGGCGAUCAGCAAUCUUUGUUGCUAAAAUUGAAGAACACCCUCGCAUUUAACCAUACAGCGUCUAAAAAACUUGUGAAGUGGAAGAAUGGAUCGGAUUACUGCUCUUGGGAAGGAGUGUCCUGCAAAAAGGGUUGUGUUUCGAAUCUGGACUUGAGCAGCGAGGCGAUUACUGGUGGACUUGAUAAUUCCAGUUCUCUUUUCGGUCUGAAGUCAAUCGAGAACCUGAAUUUGGCUUACAACAACUUCAAAUACACUCAGAUUCCUACCGAGUUCAAGCAGCUAACGGGUUUGACCAAUCUGAACUUGUCGAAUGCUGGCUUUGCGGGGCAGGUUCCGAUUGAGAUUUCACACCUUACGAGGUUGGUAACUCUUGAUUUGUCUACCUUAUAUUUCCCCGGAUUUCCUUCACUGAAUCUUGAGAAGCCGAAUUUGAAUGUGCUCAUUCGGAACUUUUCUGAGCUUCUUGAACUUUAUCUUGAUGGAGUGAAUAUAUCAGCACAGGGGAAUGAGUGGUGCCAAGCUAUAUCAUCUUCACUGCCAAAAUUGAGGGCGUUGAGCUUGUCCAAUUGUAAUCUUUCAGGCCCUAUUGAUAGUUCAUUACUGAAGCUUCACUCACUCUCGGUUAUUCGUUUAGAUUACAAUGAUUUCUUUAUUCAAGUUCCAGAGUUCUUCUCAAAGUUCCCAAAUUUGACUUCCUUGCACCUACGUGGUUCUUGCUUAUAUACAUGUUCUAGCUUAUAUGACAGAGGUUCUUGCUUAUAUGGUACAUGUGCUGGCUUAUAUGGUACAUUCCCAGAGAAGAUCUUCCAGGUACCUACACUACAGACUAUUGAUUUGUCAGGCAAUCAACAGCUUCAGGGUUCCUUACCAGAAUUUCCAAAGAAUGCAUCUCUUCGGUCCUUGGUUUUAAGCGGAGCUAACUUUUCAGGGUUACUACCAAACUCUAUUGGCAACCUCAAAAUGUUGUCCGAGAUAGAUAUUUCGUGGUGCAGUUUCACUGGAUCAAUCCCAAGGUCAAUAGAAGACCUUCAUCAAUUGGUUUAUUUUGACAUGUCAGUCAACAAGUUCAAUGGUUCAGUUCCAUCCUUCAGUUUGGCCAAGAAUCUGAUCAUGAUAAAUCUUUUUCACAAUCAACUAACGGGUCAGAUUAAUUCCACUCACUGGCAAAACCUUACUAAUCUGAUGUAUCUCGACUUGAGAUCCAAUCAAUUAGAUGGGACUGUUCCACUAUCUCUUUUUUCUCUUCCCUUGCUGCAAAAGCUACAGAUUUCCAAGAAUCACUUCUCUGGUCAGUUGCCUGAAUUUGCUAAUAACUCUGUACUGGACACCCUUGAUUUAAAUAGCAACAAUUUGGAAGGCCCAAUUCCCAUGUCCAUUUCUAAUCUCCGAGGGCUAAAGAUUAUUUCACUUUCUUCAAACAACUUCAGUGGGUCGUUUCCUCUCAGUGCUCUUCGACAGAUAAGAAAUCUUUCGAGUCUUGAUCUGUCAUACAACAGCUUGUUGAUUACUUCUGCUGAUAUUAAUUCCUCUUAUUCUUCCUUUCCUCAACUUACCACAUUGAAAUUGUCUUCUACAAAGUUGAGAGAAUUUCCGCAUUUCUUGAGAAAUCAAUCAAAUUUAGGCACUUUGGACCUAUCACAAAACCAGAUUCAUGGUGAGAUACCCAACUGGAUUUGGAGGCUCAUUAAUCUUUCUGAACUAAAUCUUUCUUGCAACUCCUUAGUAACACUAGAAGGUCCUUUACUUGGAUAUCCUCCUUCUCUGUCUAUGCUUGACCUUCAUUCCAACCAGCUUAAGGGACAAAUUCCAAUGCUUCCACAAUUGGCCACUUAUCUAGAUUACUCAAGAAAUAAUUUCAGCUCAAGCAUUCCGGCUGACAUUGGUGAUUUCCUUAUGUACACUGUGUUCUUCUCUCUUGCAAGCAACAAGUUAAAUGGAAGCAUUCCAGAAUCAAUGUGCAAGGCACCAUAUCUUCAACUUCUUGAUCUGUCCAGUAAUUCCUUAAGUGGCAUGAUUCCCCAGUGCUUAAUUGCAGGAAGCAGUUAUAUUGGAGUACUUAAUUUAAGGACCAACAACCUUACUGGUGCUAUUCCUGAUAAAUUUCCUCCAUCCUGUAGUUUGCAAACGGUAGACCUGAAUGGAAAUCAGAUAGGAGGCCAAUUUCCAGAAUCUCUAGGCAACUGCAACCAGCUAGAGGUGUUGAACCUUGGAAACAAUCAGAUCACUGGUACUUUUCCACGCUCUUUAAACAAAAUGCCCCUAUUACGUGUCCUUGUUUUUCGAUCAAACAAAUUUUAUGGGCGCAUUAGAUGUCCUAAGACCUAUGGCAGCUGGCCAAAGCUUCAAAUUAUUGACCUAGCACACAACAAUUUCAGUGGUCAUAUACUCGGAAGAUGCUUGAAAACCUGGCAGGCGAUGAUUGCCGACGAAGGUGCUGGCCUGUCACAACUCGACCACAUCAAAUUUCAGGUCCUAUCAUCACUCUCUCAGAUAUAUUACGACGAUAAAGUAUUUGUUACCACCAAAGGUCUAGAGAUGGAGCUGGUGAAGAUUUUGACUAUCUUCACCUCAAUUGACUUAUCGGGGAACAAAUUCACCGGAUCAAUACCUGUGGAAAUGGGAGAACUCAAAUCGCUCUAUGUCCUCAACUUGUCUAGUAAUGCUCUAACAGGUGAAAUCCCAUCAUCUUUGGGCAACUUACAACAUGUUGAGUCCUUAGACUUGUCGAACAACAGCCUGAGCGGGAAAAUUCCAUCACAGCUCACAAACCUCACUUUCCUUGCAUUCUUGAAUCUCUCAAACAAUGAACUGACCGGAAGGAUCCCAACCUGCACUCAGUUUUCGACAUUUCCAGCAGAUUCCUUUGCAGGCAAUGAAGGGUUGUGGGGGCCUCCUUUGACAGGUUAUAUCCCCUCAGGAUUGCCACUACCAGCACCACUGAAAAAAGGUCAUUCUAAUGCUCGGCCUGAAAUUGAUUUUGAUCUUAUAAGUGCUGAGAUUGGAUUUAUCUUCGGCCUUGGAGCUUUCAUCGGGCCUCUCGUGUUCUGUAAGCGAUGGAGGAUAUGGUAUUACAAAACUGUGGAGAACAUCUUCUUCAAGAUAUUCCCUCGUCUGGAUAGAAGAAGCGGUUACAGAGGAAGACAUGUUUACAUAAACAGAUUUUGGAGAUAAACUCACACUCAAUCAUGCUUGGCUUGACCAAAACCCUAUCUUUCUGGUUUCAAAUUUUCAUUUCCUAGCAAAUAAGAAGCCGUCUGAUCAUAUCGACGAGCUGAUCUUGUUCUUAGUAAGAUAAAUGCAUGUUAAAGUUCUGAAUACAUUAGCUUCUUGUUGAAUUGCUGAUUCGUCGAAUAUUGUAACGUAAUCUUAAUGUUUUGUGUGAACUGUGCUUGUUUAAAGCAAAACACUUCUUUCAGUUUUUAUUCUUGUAAAGUUUGGAUGAAUGUGAAGUUUCAGUUUUUGUUCUUGUGAAGCUUCAACUUCUUCGGAAUUUAUUAAAACUUUGAUCUCAUUUAUUGACACGGUUAAUUGUUUCAGGAUGUAGAGUCAUAAAUUUAGAAAUUAUACUUUCUAGCAUCAAUGGUUAAUAGCGUCACUGCCCACAAUUUGAUAGUUCAAACCUAAAAUCGAACCCUCAAUAAUCAACCGGAUCGAAAUUGAAGGAAAAUUGUAGAACCUCAGAGUAGACAUGUAGAUGAGUGAUCCAACUGAUAAGCUAAGAAAUCAAGUCUCCCUUGUUAGUGACAACAUAUCUACCUUUGCCUAAAGGGCAGAAAGAUUCAGGGUAUCCUAGUCUAAGGGAAACCAGGGUAGUUGGGGUAGGGCGCAUCGCAUGGGACCAUAUUUUUGACCGUUUAAGGCAGAAUAAAAAUCCAACUCCAAAGACUCCAAAACUGGGGGGCCAUACGUAGUACAUGUACCACUCAACGACUCCUUUUGCUUGUCUGGACUCUAAAUUGGUAUGGAACUCCAAUCAUUACCCUUGUUCAUUAACCUUUGUGUAUGUGCUUAUUUCCCUCGAUUUUUCCUCGUAUAUUUUGGUGUGAACACUGUUUUAUGAGUUCGGGCAGGUUUGGUAUUGCUUAUGAUUGUGCUCGGUAAAAAAUGUUAGUGUUUAUUGAUCUUAAAAGCGUUUUUGGAGAAAACACUUGUACUUAUUUGAAAGGCACUUUCUAGUAUUUUGUAGGAAAGCACUUGGAGUUUUAUUUAAGUAAACUUGUUUCUAAUAAAAACACUUCUAGCAAAAGUGUUUAAGAACAAAAAUGUUUCCUACAAAAAUAGUCCUCGAGCUCGCAGUCUUUUUUAUAUGCAGAUCAUAGUAUGAUAUAACAAAAUAACUAAUUUAUGUCACCAAAAAGAAAAGUUAAAGCACUCCACAUUAGAGCUAAGUAUUGGGCUAGAUUCCCCCUAGAAAUCAAGCAUGGCUUAACCUAUUUUGAACUCACCAAACUGUCAUAUUUUUAUUUUAUUUUAUUUUAUUUUAUUUACUUAUAAUUCAACAUCUAUGAUAAAAUGAGAUUAAAUUUGAUGGUAAAAAAUAUUUGAUGGCCCAAAAUUAAAUCUAAUGCCUAAAAUAAUUUAAAAAAAAUCAUUUAAAUCAAAUUUCACUUACAACUUUAUAAAUACCUAUGUAUUUUUAAUUAAAAUUACUUAUGGGAAUUUAAAUAUGUUUAGGUUAAAAUGUUCAUAAAAAUAAAUUAGGAUAAUCUACAUCAAUUUUAUUUUCAAAAAAGUUAUUGACAAAAAAUAAUUAGGCUAAAAUUAUUAUUUAAUAAUAUCAGACUAAAAUUUUAAGCCAUAAUCAUUGGAAGAAAAAAACAAUUUCCUAGUUAUGGCUUAAAAUUUUAAACUUUAUCUUCAAGCGUUGGAGAUGGUCUAAUAAAGAUACGACUCACAUGUGUUGGUGCAUCUAUUAGAAAGGUGAUACAAAUAUAAUAUAAAAAUAUAUUAUUAAUAAGCGGAUAAUGUUAGGAAUACCAAUUUUUUAAACCAAAUUUGCAAAUCAAAUAAUAUGGUUGAAGAUGAUUGGAUUAUUAAUUAAAUGUCGAUUAACGUACUUAUUACUUAUUGGUGACACAUUAUUUAGUUUAAAAAAUUAAUCUCCUCAACAUUACUAACAGUCAUCUCAACUUUAUCAAACUCCAUGGCUAAAUGUCAAACUUUACCGCCAACUUUGCAUGACUUUUGCUCUUUACCAACAAUGACAAUGAAAUCACCUACAAUAUCAUCCAUAAUUAAAAAUAUAACAAAUAAAUAAUAAACUUGUCCUUCUUUUCAAAGAUUGACCUCCAAUUCAAGAUGUUUGACUCAUCAAUGAUUUCACACUAUAAAUUAGGUAAUAUUUUUACUUACCUUCCUCGAAGACAUACUCAUCAUCUUAUUCAUCAUUGUUAAUAAGUUUAAAUUUUGAGUUUUGUGUCUAUUUGUUCUUCUUUUCAAAGAUUGAUCUCCAAUUCAAGAUGCCCGACUCAUCAAUGAUUUCACAAAUAAAUUAGGUAAUAUUUUUACUUACCUUCCUCGAGUAAUAUAGAUACUCAUCACCUUAUUCAUCAUUGUUAAUAAGUUUAAAUUUUGAAAUUUGUGUAGUGGAUAGACACAAAUCUCAAAAUUUAAAAUCAUCCAAUGAUAAUAAGCAUGGUGAUAACAUCAUUUCUACUUGAACGUGAUGAGCAAAAAUGCACCUAAAAUUAUAGACAUAAAUUUUAAAAUUUAAACUCAUUCAACAGUAAUAAGUACAAUGAUAACAUCACUAUCACUUAACUAGGUGAGCAAAAAUGCACCUAAAAUUUAUGGAUUUAAAGAAAAACUAAUAAAAAGAGCUUGAAAACUUUGAGUUCUAACGAUAAGGACAAAAUAAAUGGUAAAAUGAAUAGUAUCAGGAUUGACUUUUUAGUGUAAAAAUGUGAUUUUUCGUUAAAGUGAACAGUACCGGAAGUUUUUUAUUAAAAUUCCCUAGAUUUAAUCCUUUGGCACUGAAAUCAACAUUUCUUACCAAGAAAAUGAUGCAUUCCAAAUUAAAAAUUCACGUGUUCAUUGUUUAACACGAAAAGCACCAAUUUAAAAACCAAAAUAGCGAAGACAUUUGGUACAUAAGAACGUACACACAGUUUUUUCAGGCUAUAAAUUAUUUAAGGAUGAUAAUGGUCUGGUUUUGCAACAACCAGGCCUUACAAUAAUUGAUUAAUUAAUAUGUGAGAGACAACCACCGUUUGGUCAGAUUUGAAGACUGAUUCUUCUAGUUAUUCUAUGAUUUUGAAUAAACAAACAAAACAAAACAAAAAAAAAAGAUUCUAUGAUUUUGUUUUCCAAGAAUUAUUUUAACUUUAAAUUAAUAAAAUCAAUUAGUUUUCGGUUUAAGGAUAGUAGUCUGCACCUGAUUUCAUGAGUUUGAUACUUGAUUGUGACAUUCAUUUACUUCAUAUGCGUUGGUCCGUAAUACAGAAAAAUUCUUUAACAUGAAAAUGAUCUUUUUAGUUUUUAAGUAACAAAUUUGGGCCAAUCAAAGUGAUACUAUACCCCAAAACAAUAGGCAAUGACAAUAAUUGAAAUUAAAGUUGUAUAAAAAUUGACUAGAAGUGAACUUUUCUUAGCACGCAGACAAGACGGCUUACACAAAGUCCAACCGUUGUAAUAAUAUCUCUACAAAUUUCCUAUUUUUCUAUAAAUUUAAAACAAAAGGAUUUAUCCAAAAAUCUCCAAAUGCAUAACGCAUGCCACUUAAAAUUUGGAUCAACAAAGGCAAUCGUUAUUUUUCCACAAUUAAAAAAUAAUAAUAAUCAAAGGCCGCCCAAUUAAGAACGAGUCCACAUUAUACAAAACACGCGUUUCUGAGUCUUCUUUCAAAUCCCCAUCCCAACAGUUCACUCCGCUUUUUUCUUCCUCCUUGCUCUUCCCUCUAAACUCUUCGUCCUUCCGUGCUAACUCCGCUAGAUUUUCGUCCGGUCAAGGACUCGAAUCCACGGGCCAAAAGGGUUUUUUCAUGGAUGUUUGCCUUCAUGUAUCCAUUGAGAAAAUCCUAGCCUGCUCUGCUUCCUUUUUUCUGAGCUUUCAAUGAGAAUUCCUCUGUUUUCAUGGCUUUUCUUAAUACCCUUUUACUACUUUUCACUCAGCAUCAACAUAUUUCUUGUCUCCGGCCAGUGUCCCGGGGAUCAGAAAUCUUUGUUGCUACAAUUGAAGAACAGCCUCGUAUUUGACACUGCAACAUCUAAAAAACUUGUGAAGUGGAAGAAUGGAUCGGAUUACUGCUCUUGGGAAGGAGUGUCCUGCAAAAAGGGUUGUGUUUCGAAUCUGGACCUGAGCGGCAAGGCGAUUAGUGGUGGACUUGAUAAUUCGAGUUCUCUUUUCAGUCUGAAGUCAAUCGAGAACCUGAAUUUGGCUUACAAUAACUUCAACUACACUCAGAUUCCUUCCGAGUUCAAGCAGCUAACCCGAUUGAUUAAUCUGAACUUGUCAAAUGCUGGCUUUGCGGGGCAGGUUCCGAUUGAGAUUUCGCACUUGACGAGGUUGGUAACUCU